rnacentral:lncRNA from 1 species
GUUAUCAACCUCAGAAUUCUUUAGUAAAUAAAAAUGACUACAAUAUGAAUAACAAAGAGCAUUUGAACUAAACUAUACAAAAAAAUAAAAAAUAAAAUAAAAAAAGUUAUUGUUAUAACUUUUGUCCAUUAUUCGUCAAACAAAUAUGGAUGACAAGCAGAUUAAUUUCAUUCUCCAUUCUAAUAAUUAGGAGCCCUAUGUCAUAAAAUGGUAUGUAGACAAGCUUCAUAUCACAUAUAUGUAUCUUCUAUGACUGACAAUAUGUGGGGACAUUUCAAGCAUAUGAUUGCUUCAACAUCAACUUCUGCCAAACUAAAUUUGUUUAUUGUGUUAAAAAUAGUUGACAUUUGAUAUUUUCCUUUGCAUAUAAAUCUGUUCCUCUGAUACUGAGUAGUAAAACUGUUUGAUGAUAAGCAAUAGAAAAGAAAAUUCUAUGUUAUUAGCAACCCAUAAAUCUAUGACUACACUUUAGUUAAAUGGGGGAAAAAAGCUAUGUACAAGUGUUGGCACAGCAACAUAAGUACACUUUUACAAAACAAUGUCAAUCCAACCUGAUGUUACAACUUUCAUCAGUUCCUUCCUCUUUUUUCUCUUCGUAUUGAUGACACUUCUGUAAGGAUGAAUCUGUCUGGUAUAUUUCUGGACUUUUAUUCAAAUGACAAUUGACUUACCAUUUAUGUAAUUGAAAAGCCUCAUAAUUGUGAUUUUAUUUUCAAAUGGGGUGAUAGAGGGAAUUCAUGUUUUAUGAGAUAUUACUUGCAUUCUUUCUCUCCAUGAUGAACAUUAGUUAAACCCUUUUUAUUUUGAUAUCUGCAGAUUCAUUUCUUAAAUACACUUUUGAUGAAACAAUCUAUAACAACAAUCCCUUAAAAAUUACAUCAAUCAUUGUCAUAGAAAGAGAAUUGAAGAAGAGAGAACUAGCUCAUGAGAUCAAUUGAAAAAAUACUGAAACAGCAUAAGUGAAGAAGCAAAUUCCAACCUACAUAAAUCUAAAAGGAAGCAGAGAUAACUGAAACAACAGUGUCAAAAAAACUCUCACCCGAUCCAAGCCCCCUGGAAGAGGAUCAACCACAACUGUUGGAAUCUCCUCCAUCAAAUUGUCAGCAUUUCCAGAAUGCAAAACUCGUGUGAACUUUCCCAUAUCUGAUCCAGGCAUGUCUUUUACCUUCUUGUACCAGUAAUACAUAAUCCGACACUGCCAUUGGCUAUAGGGAGCAUCAGUUGCUGUAAGAGCAACAUGAUAUUUCGAAUUCUUCGCGUUCCCAUGCCUCUGAAUCACGGGCUCUAUCAACCGAUCUGCCCCCCAAAGGCCCGAGUAUGAAGCCUUGUUGUGUAUUACCACAGUUAACAAAUUAUAAGAUGCAAAGAAAAACCCAAGUGCCAAAAGCACCAAAAGUAUUGGUGAUGCACGCCCCAUGCCUUUUCUCCCAAUCAUCUUUAUGUGUCACUCAAUUAGGAAUACGGAUUGUAAAUCCUCAAAAUUCAACAGAAGUCAUUUCUGCUACCUACAAAAAUCUUUUGAAUAGCAACCAAUUUGGCCAAGCAAAAUCCUCCACCACUUCACAGCUCAAUUACAAGUAUAGCAAAGUCACACUUACUCUAAACCCAUUACAGCUCAAUCAGAACCCAGAAAAAAGCAAUGGACUAUUCUGCAUUACCAUUACAAGAGAGAAACUAAUAAGUCAAGGUAUGGUUUGAUGUUAGAAGAGCCAGAGCCACAUUGCCAAUAAGCAAUAAAAUGAAUUAAUUCCAAAACUACAAAAAAUUAAAAAAAUCAACAAACUAAAUCAAACAAUUCAGAACUACACAAUCCCAUUAGUUCAACCAAAAAUAAAAGGAAAAAGUCAUACUUGAGCCAGAAUUCAGAGGAUUAUUAACUUGACAAACAGAUCUAAAGUAAAAAUAAUAAAAUGGACACACUUAAAACAGAGAGAUAGAAGCACAUAAAGGAAGAUAACUGAAGAAAGUUUAUAACUGAAGAAACAACUUAAAAGAGAAAUGAAUGCAGAAGAAAAGAGAUUAACCUGUACAAACUGGGCACUUUCUAACUGAAAACACCCUCCUCCUCCGAGUCUGUUGGAGUUGGAGCGAGAGAAGAAGAAAGAGUUGGGAGGUUUUUUUCAACGCCUGCUAUAGAAAGGUUUUUCUUCUUUUUGUUUUUCGGACAGAACACUUUGGGACGUUUGAAAACUCGGAUACUGACCGACUGAAUCUUGCAUAAAAGACUAUUUGAAAAGUCGGAUACUGUACGUGUAGUUGAGUUAAAAAAACAAAAAUUGUAUGUAUAAAACACCAUGACGAGUCAGUCAGACCAAAAAACAAAAAGAACGUUUUUACCGCAAUACUCGGUGGUGAACAAAAAUUAAAUGAAUAAAAUGACGUAAUUGUGAGUCAAGUCAAUUGGUCAAGGCAAUGUGUCGCUCCUUUACACUUUUUUUAUGUAUUAGAAUAGUUAGAAGUGCAAUGACAAUCUUUCUAAAGAAAAUGGACAUAUUAUUUAUAUUUUAAGCUUUACACAUGACCCGUUUCAAAGAAGGAAUUAUAAAAUACUAUGAUAGUAUAGUCACGUGAUAUAUUUUAUACACAUAUUAUAAUAUAGGUGGAAUAUAGUCACUAGGAGUUAGUGCAAGUGCACUUAACCACAAGGGCAGGUUGAAGGCCAGUUAUCAUCACUCGUUUCAAAGAGCUAGAAAAUCCUUUUUUUUUUCUUUUUCUUUUUUGUACUUGGCUUACAUUUUAUAAAGUAAAAUGUAUACAUUAAGGCAUAAAUGGAGAGAUCCUUACAUUAAGCCUAAUUUACGUAUCAAUGAAAUAUGAAUAGUGGAUCCUAAUGCAGAUAAUUGCGACAAUUGUGGGAAAUAUUAAACCAUGAGUACGUAUGAGUAGUAUUGUUGGAGUAGGAUUUCUUUCAAGAAGAAUACCUCCACAGGUUCUUGACUGAAGACCGCACGCUUCCUUGGUUGAAAGAGAACUCCAGAUUACGUUCCCGAGGUCGAACGGUGGAAAUGGGGUGAGUACCUGCAAAAGUCACUCCAAUGCUCAAGUCAGUGUUUGUGCGGCGUAUUCUUAGUGUUCAAUUGAAUUUCUCAUCCUUUUGCUGGAGGUCUAGCCGAGUUUUUAUAGCACUUCGAGUUCUUGGGUUUAGCCCCAGUUCCCUAGCUCUGUGCAUCCCGUCCUCCACUUCAUGGUAAUGGGAUCAGAUGAGCGUGUUUCCCUCGCUCCGCACUUUUCUAGUGGGAGGGAAGUUUGAUCAUCCCAUGUCUUCUAGUUGUGGCAUAUGGGUUAAGCCAUGAUACGUGAGAUUUGGUCCCCACAGUGUCCCCCUUUUUUUCUCUCUACAUGCUUCUCGGGUGGAGAGGGAAAAAAUGAUCUAAGUGGGACUUUGGAGCAGGAUUUUCUUCGCAUGUCGUCAUGGUGGGCUCAUGGCUGAGCCCAAACAAGCCAUACGUUUCCCUUCUUAGGUUUGUUGGUCAAACCUAGAAAUAUGAUUCUCAUUGGCCUAUCACCAACCCAUGCACGUUGCUUUCACACCUUGCAUGUGAAAUGUCCAAACAUGAAUUCUCAUGCACGUUUUUCAAGUUCCAACUGUGGACUGUUAUCCCCAUGUGGAGUAUCCAAGUGCGGACAGCCAAUCCCGUGUGCAAGUGGACCCUUUUCCUUAUUUUGGGUUUCUGCGCCUCUGUCGAUCCGGUGAGUCCCAUGACCCUUGCUUUCUCUUUCCUAGCCGAUCCCAAAUGGGUUGGGGUGCACCUGAUUUUAAGCUUUUGCCGAUCUGGUGGGUCUCAUGCCUCUUGGUUUCUCUUUGACAGCCGAUCCCAGCCCCGCUCGGGGUUUGCUUGGGUUUGAGCUUUUACCAAUCUGGUGGGUCCCAUGCCUCUUGGCUUCUCUUUGAUAGCCGAUCCCAACCCCAGUUGGGGUGUGCUUGGGUUUGAGCUUUUGCCAAUCCGGUGGGUCCCAUGCCUCUUGGUUUCUCUUUGCUCCAAGGUGUUUCACGACCUUUUUUUUUUCUUUUCUUUUUUUCUUUGCUCUUGAGCUAUCCAUACGGGCCCUAAUACCCCUUAGUUGUCCAUCCGGAGUUGUGCGCCUUUGGCCUCUCACCCGAUCCAAGGUGUUCACGACUUUUUUUUUUCUUUUUCUUUUCUUGCGCUUGAGCUAUCCAUACGGGCCCCAAUACCCCUUAGCUGUCCAUCCGGAGCCGUGCGCCUUUGGUCUCUUAACCGAUCCGAGGUGUUCACAACUUUUUUUUUUCCUGUGCUUGAGCUAUCCAUUCGGGCCCCAAUACCCCUUAGCUGUCCGUCUGGAGCCGUGCGCCUUUGGUCUCUCAACCAAUUCGAGGUGUUCACGACUUUUUUUUUUUUUUUUUUCCUUUGUGCUUGAGCUAUCCAUACGGGUCCCAAUACUCCUUAGCUGUCCAUUCAGAGCCGUGUGCCUUAAGUCUCUCAACCGAUCCAAGAAGAAUGCUAUCCAGAAGAAAUACCUCCACAUGUUCUUGACUGAAGCCUGCAGGCUUCUUUGAUUGAAAGAGAACUCCGGAUUACAUUCCUAAGGUCGAACGGUGUAAAUGGGGUGAGUACCUGCAAAAGUCACUCUGACGCUCAAGUCAGUGUUUGUGCAGCGUAUUCUUAGUGUUCAAUUGAAUUUCUCGUUCUUUUGCUGGAGGUCUAGGCGGGUUAUUAUAGCGCUUCGAGUUCUUGGGUUUAGCCCCACUUCCCUAGCUCAGCGCAUCCCGUCCUCCACUUCAUGGUAAUGGGAUCAGAUGAGCAUGUUUCCCCCGCUCCGCACUUUUCUAGUGGGAGGGAAGUUCGAUCAUCCCACGUCUUCUAGUUGUAGCAUAUGGGUUAUGACAGGACCCGAACCAAAUUCCACCUUGGAAUUCGAGUCGAACCCUGUGCGUGUCCGACACUUGGCGAGUGUCGAGCACAAUUGACCUAAUUGCCCUUCUAAUUGAAAUUUCAACCUUGACUCCUGCCGAAAAUUCGGCAGAGUCUCCCCUGUACUUUGCUCAAUCCCAAAUUUUCACCUGUCAGAACGAGCAUAAUAUCCAUACAACCAACUGCCAGCACUUCAAUAUACAAGCCAAAAGUUUCAAUCUCACUCUAGGGCAAUAUAUCAGAGCAAUUCUAAUAGUUUACAGAGGAAUGAACCUUUUUACCAACCAACACUUUUGUAACAAUGAAGCGAGGAAGGCGAGAUGGCCCGGUGGUGGAUUUCCUGUGCACGCAAGAGCCUGGGGGCGCAAAACAUUUGAAAAUGUGAGUGGACAAAAAUAAAGGUUCAUAAAGUAUCCUAAGAAUAUACUAACCCCCAUUGUAAGAAUAAUUAAGUAAAACUGAAUAUAUACUCUGUAUUUGAAGUAUACUAAACUCAUGGCAUUCACAUGCUGAAAUCAAGGUAUUUAUAUAUCUAUAUAAAUAUAUAUAAACGUAUUCAAGAUAAAACUUGCCUGAAAGCACUGAAAUUUAAAACUUGCAUAAAAACACUGUACUCAAACUUGCAUAAAAGCAAUGUACUCAAACCUUGCUUAAAAGCACUGCAAUCAAUUACAACUACCACUCGGAUGUACCCCUGUAAUUCCGUCAAUUCCCCUGGCAGGUCUCGGCGACACACAGUCUAUCCGAGCCGCAAACUGGCAGGAUACAAGGGACUAUAGUCAGCCUGAUCCGCUGGCAGGUCUCGGUGACACACAGUCAACCCGAGCCGCAACUAGCAGGAUACAGGGGACCGUAGUCAGCCUGAUUCGCAAUCCUGGCAGGUCUCGGUGACACACAGUCAACCCGAGCCGCAAAUCCUGGCAGGUCUCGGGACACCAAGUCAAUCCGAGCCGCAAAUCCUGGCAGGUCUCGGUGACACCAAGUCAAUCCGAGCCGCAAAUCCUGGCAGGUCUCGGGACACCAAGUCAAUCCGAGUCAAUCCGAGCCGCAAAUCCUGGCAGGUCUCGGUGACACCAAGUCAAGACAUCGGCAUAACUGAGGGUAAUAACCAUAGAUGGGUACUCACGGUGGUUUAAAAUAUAUAACAUUUCUGGAAAAUCUGCUGAAGAACUGAAUUUUUAUUAAAUCAAGAACUCUGAGAAAAUAUAAUAUUAUAAUAUUAUAAUAUUUCUGAAAGAUAUAAUGAAUAACUGAAUGUUUAUUAAGUCAAGAACUCUGCUAUCAUAAGAACAUAGAAAGCUCCUGAAAAAUCUGAUAAAUAGCUGACUUUUGUUAAAUCGGAAACUAUGCUGCUAUUUUAUCUGAUGUAAAUCUCAAACUCUACUUUUUGUAACUCUUUAGCAUAUCGACUAAGCAGCAUAUAAAUAAGAUAUGUAACUUCACAAAGCAUACUAGGAAAAAUCACAAUUAAUAAAACUUGUUCAAGAUCAAAUAAUAAAACUCAUUAUAUAAACUCAUUUAUAUAAAAUCAUUUAUGAAAGAAAGUCCACUCACUCCUGGUCCGAGCUAGCUAGACCUCCUGAAGGUCUCUCUUGCGGGCCUGCCUGGUCCCGGGUGCCUUACUCGACAAAUUUGGAGAAGAAUUGAGGGAGAACGAGCGACUUGAAGAUCUGGUGAGCAUCGUCGGUUCCGGCGCGAUUUCCGGCCAGCGCAGGUCACGUCGCCGGCGGGGAAGGGUCCGGGAAGGAAGAGGACGUCUUCCCGGUCGUUUUGGUACCGGCCUCGCCCACAGCCGUGGUCGGUGGCCGGAGUUACAAGCUGAAGAAGGAGGAGGGGCGGAGAGGGAGGGAGGUCGGCGCGAGGAGAGAGAGAGCUGAGCAGGUUUUUAUAAAUCCAACUUUGAAAUAUUUACGGUUAUGCCACUGAGAAUCUUUUGACCAUAACUCUCUCGCUACAACUCCGAUUCGGGCCCACUACGUGUCUAUGAAAUCAUUUCACCGUGCUCUACGCAACGGUGUAAGUGGAAUUGUCAAAUUCCUUCUCGAUCAAAAAGUCACCUUUUUCUUAAUAAAAUAUUCCGAAGGCGAAAUUGUCUUUUCGCAAAAUAAAAUAUUCCUUAAUUAUGAAUUUUUGGUUUGGGUUAUUACAGGUUAAGCCAUGAUACGUGAGAUUUGGUCCCCACAAGUAUCGGUGUAAACAAUUGAGACAAAAAAAGAAAGAGUGUUGCUAAACGAAUCCUAAAAUUAAUUAAGUGCACCUUACUAUCAAAGUAUUUAUUGAAUUAUUAAUUUAUUCUAAUAUAAAAUGACCAAAAAAGAUAUAUUAAAUUAUAAAAACAAAUAUAAUUUUAAUAAAUACACUCUACUCACUAUAUUCAACCCUAAUCCAUGUUUAGAUUGAUUAGAGAGUUGUAACUUUUUGGGUGGAUCUCGUGGUCUUUUCAGACUAAUCUAAGGUUUCCACUUCUCAUGUUGAGUAGGAUUUCAAAAGGUAAUACCAGUGUGAAUGCAUCUCAGCCUCCUCUGUCUUCUCUCGUACUUGGAAUUUGGAAGCAUUCAAAUCCAGCAAAGAAGUCACCUUCUCAUACUUGGCACCACGACAAACAAUUUCCUUCAAAUAAAUUAUAUCUUCUUACAUUAAUCCAAUCUCGGAUAGGUACCGUACAAUAAUCUUAUAUAUUUUUCUAGCCCAACUACUUUGCAAGUGUCAAUUAUAAUUAGAGUCAAGACCUUUUUGUAUUUUUCUUUACACUUUCACCCUCUCAUAUGGUCCUACUAUCAACAACUCAACACGCAUAAAAGCCUGUAUGGAACAAAUCAUAUACGUCUUGUAUUCAAUCACUUUUUUCUAUUCAUACCAUAGAGAAGAGAAAAGUAGAAAUAUCAAAACGGUCUUCAUUUGAUAGCAUUAAAACUUUUGUGUUGAAAAAGAUUUAAGAAGAAUCAUCAUCUGGGUCAUAUUUCUGACCUAUCUUUCAGUUUCAGUGGGUUCAUUUCAUAAAAUGGGGCUUUAAUUUAGAGUGCUGCUAAAUGAACUCUAAAAUUAAGUAAGUACACUUUAUGAUCUAAGUACAUUAUAAUAUUUAAAUCAAAAUAUAAAAUUAACUAAGUACACCUUAUUUAACUAGGGUGUAUCAUGGGUAUUUUUGAUAGUUAAAUAUGGUGUACUUAGUUAAUCUUACAUUUUGAUUAAAAUAUUUUAGUGUACUUAGAUCAUAGGGUGUACUCAGUUAAUUUUAUGGUUCGUUUAGCACCACUCAGAAAAAAAAAAAAACUAAUGUAAACAAUUAAAAAAAAUUAACAUGUGGACCUUAUUACAAAAUUCGAUUAAACACGUAGGUAUAUAUUUUUGAAAAUAUUUUUGUUUUUAUACACUUCACAAAUAAGCAUUUUUUUAAGGGAGCGCCACAAGGUUCAUCAUUGGGCAAGGCAAGGCCUGGCUGGCUUGAAAUUUUGGAUUCGGGUCGAGCUCUGGUUUUACAGGCUUUUUUUUUUCUCCUGGCAGGCCGCCAUGGUCCUAAACUAAUCGGGUUUUUUUUUUAUAUCAAAAUUUUAUUUAUUUAUUUUAUUUCUAAGUAUUUUAAAUCUUUUUGUUACACAGUUUUUGUCAAAAGUGAUGGAUAAAGAGUCUUCUCUUAAACAAUAGUAUAGAUUACUACAUAGCUUAAGAAAACAAAAAUAUAAUAGCCAAACUCUUAUACUAAACCUAGACCAACAGCCAAUAUAUUUAAAAAAUAUUAUACCUAAAAAUUAAUCUUAUGAAAAUGUGUUACUUCUAUCUCAAACUAGGAUUGACAUCAUGAAAAUUAAAGCAAUUUGUGCCAUUAGAAUUAAUAAAAUCUAAAUAAGCUUUCAAAUUCUUUAUUGAACCAUUAAAUUUAAACUUGACAAAAAAGGGGCACUAAGAGAUAUAGUGUAUAUAUUGCUUGUUUGUACAAAAUUUUAGACAACAUUGAAAAAAUUAGCUUAAUUUAUAACAUGUGUAAACAAAAUUAGAAGUUUAUUAGUUCAUCAUACAUAUUACAUUAUUUUGAUUAAGUAUAAAAUGAGGUUAGGGAGUGUAUCAAUUAAAUCUUUUAAACAGUUGGCAUUGGCAGGCGGGCAUAGAUUAGGGUGGGCUGGGUUGUGGGUGAGCCUAGUCAGGAUGGGGCAUGGGUAGGCAGAGUGCUUCAAAUCCUAAGUCUAAGCCCUACCUAACCUUAGAGCGGGUCUAACCAUCGGCCGGACUGACAUUGUCCUUUCAGCCCUCAGGCCAAAUGAUGAUCCCUAUAUAGGCCCAUCAAUGGAGCCCAAACUAUAGCCUUCCGUUUGGAUGGAGAAAAAUAACUCGGAAUUUAGCUAAAAUUUGAUAAUUAAAGAUGAGAAAUUGAUAUUUCCACUGUUUGGCAACUUUUUUUUUUUUUUUUGGGUCAACAUUGUAACUUAUUAAAUAACACGAGGGAAAAAUCGUGAUAAUUGUAGAUUGAGAUUCCCGAGUUUAAUUUAUACCACAAUAUGCAUCAUGUCACAAUUUUUAUUGAGCAGGAAUUCAUUUUUCACUGUAAUUUUUGUCAUUUACAAAAUUCGAAAUAUAUAAAUUCAAAUACUAAAAUUAUUAUAAAAAAAUUAAAUAAUGAAGAUCUAAAUUCCGUCAUUUAAAAAUUAUAUGCAAUCAUUGAAACGGAGAGCAGAAAAAAACUAAUUUGACUUUUCAACAUUCCGAAUUGUACCAAACAUGGCUUCAAAACCCUGCCACCGGUUUUCAUCAUCGAGCCCAAACCCAAUUUUUAACACACACCCAAAAAAAAAACCAAAACUAACCAAAACAAACACAAAAAGGCAAACUGACGCAUCCUCGUUUUCAUCCCCACCUGACAACAAACAAAAAUGAAAAUAUUACGUUGAUUUAUGAUUUCCGAGUAUAUUGGCAUAGUUCUAUAUGACAACAACUGUGGUUGGUUUGGUUAGUAAUCACCCUACCUACAAACUAGUGUCAUAAAUAGUUUCACUGUCUUCAUUUCAACACUAUUUAUUCUGCAAAUUUUUGGUUGCAAUUGAUUGGCUAUCAUGUCAUAAUGAUCGGGUGGGGUAGUCGUGUUAUGACAUUCAUAGGCUUCGUAGAAGCAACAAUCAGUUGCUCAAUCCUCUGCAGCAGCAGCUGAAGCUGAAUAUGAUUUUAAUUAGACGCAGUAGCUACUUCUCUAUCAGUUUGGAUGAGAAUGAUGUUUGAAAUGGAGUUAAAACUUUUGCAGAAGAAAAGUGGGUGGACAUUUUUCACAGAUAGAGCCGAAAGAGGACUUGUAAGACACAUUAAGGGGGAUAAUGUUAUAAGUUUCUUAAAAUUUAGUAAUGGAAUGAAUGCAGGGAUUUGAAGAGCCUGAAUGAAGCCAUGUAAUCAUCUUAUUUUGUGCAUGGAAGAAAGAUUAAACACAACUACAGUACAUGUUUUGUUUCUCCCUCUCUAUUCUUCUGCAUAUUCUUCCUCCAGCCUUAAAUUUUAGAGCACAAUGUGGAAGUUAAAAGAUCCUUAACAAUCUGAUACUGUAAGUCAACUGUCUAGAUUGUUGUUUUCGAAGCCCUUCGAGACAGAAUUAUCCAACAAAGCACACGAUAGAGCACAAAGAAGCCGAACAUGAUCCCCACAUUGAUCCAUCUGGUGUCCUUGUCAAGUCCCCUACUCUUCAACACAUCAUUGCCUGUUAACAAACAUUUUGAGUGGGAGUAAUCUUGAGGAUGCCAAGAGAAACACUCGCUUUGAAUGCUCCAGUACUCGUUUAUCAGCAGUGUGUCCAGCGGAUACCUAUAAAGAGAAACAUAGUACAUGAAGAGCCAGUAUUUUGGUAUGCUCUCUUUCGGAAUGAAGUAGCCAGAGAAGAGAAAGAAGGCUCCAAGAACUGUGCAGAUAAGAGAAUUUCCUGAUAUGAAGUCAGGAGAGACUGCACUCAAAAAGAGCACCAGAGAACUAGCCAUCAAAAUGAUGAGCCAAACCACGAAAGUGAAAAAAGCAAAGGCAGCAAUAGAGGGAUUGAGUCCUACUAGCCAAUACACAGGAACAGAAAAGAGAAUUGCCACUGCAAACAAGAAGGGUAGGAAGACAAAGGUAUUGGCAAUCAUGUAAGAGGAGAUUCUAUAGGCACCCCUUGAGGCUUCCUUCAUUAAAACACGUCGCUCUUGAAGGUAUAUCGGUAGCGCCUCAACUGUAGAAGAGAGGAGAAAACUGAGACUGAAAGCAAAGAGGCCCAACCGCUCUGCUACUCCUUCUUCAUCCUUCCUCACUUUCAUGUAUACGCUUGCCAAGCCAAAUCCUCCUACAAGAGCUUGCAUUGUUCUCGCCAAGAACAGCUGCUUUGUUCUAUAAAUGAUCUUCCAAAAUCUUGAGCACAAAAACAUAAUCUCAUACAAACUAGAAAAAUAAUAUGUACCAAUCUUUCUGCUAUCUUGUUGAUCUCUGACAAUUUCUUCUUCUGGCCAUGAUGAGUAGGAGUAUGGUUCUUUGUUCUCUGUCCCAGAUAUUUGAUCAGUUCUCGAAUACGAAUCUUCCAGUGUCUGUAUUAUUUCCAUGGAAAAUUCUAUUGCAUUAAGUUGCACUGGAAUUUGCAGUCCCAAUUUGCUUAUUGUUUCUUCGAGUAAUUCAAUGCUACCAUUAUGGACAACAGAGCCAUGAGAGAGGAUCAAAAAGCUAGAGAUGUGAUAGAGAAUUCUAUAGCUGGGUUGGUGUAUUGAUAAAACCACAGUUCUUUGCUUUGAUUUGGCCAUUGUAGAAAGCAUCUCAAUGACUUGAAGAGCUGAAGAGCUGUCUAGGCCUGAAGUUGGCUCAUCAAGGAGCAAAAUUGGUGGAUCAUGAAUCAUAUCAACACCAAUUGAUACCCUUUUCCUCUCUCCACCAGAUAUCCCUCUGUUCUCUUCAUCUCCAACGAAACUAUCUGCGACAUGUACAAGACGGAGCUCUUGCAUUAACCUCUCUACCCUAUCCUCCCUCUCUUUUGCACCAAUACCCUUGAGCCUAAACUUGGCAGUAAACAUCAAAGUUUCCUUCACAGUGAGCAGAGGAAGCAAAUUAUCUUCUUGUGCAACAAAUCCACAUAUCUUUCGCAAUUGAGCAGGACUAGUUAUCUGAUGAUCGUUGAUCGAGACGCAUUUGGUAUCAAAAUCAUUAUCUUUCACCCUCCCUGAUACUAUUCUUAAAAGGGUAGACUUUCCAGUGCCACUUGGGCCAACAAUGGCAAGAAUUUCAGAACUUGUGGCAGAAAAAGAGACAGAUUUGAGAAUGCUAACUGGCUUAGGCUUCUUUUGCACCAGAUGACAAAAUGAAGUGGUUAUAAAACCCUUACUUGGGAGAAAAGUGUGGGAAAGGUUUUGUACUGUGAGCUUGUAAGUUGGGUUAUUGCUGGAAUGGUGGGGUGGUGGAGAUGAGUGGUAGAAUGAAGAGGCAGGGCUGGUGGAUUCUUCAGGGGAGUUUGAGGUUGAAAAGAGUAUCACUGAGUCAUCUCCAUUAUUCACGCUUGGCUGCGGUUGCUGCUUAAAGCAAGUUGCCAUAAUUUUUUUGAGCUCAGCUAAUAUUCUGCCUGAAAAUGGAUGAGAAAAAGAAAUUGAAAUUAAUGUACAAGAUGAGCCAGAGAAAUGGAGGUUGGAGGAAAGCAAGAGCCAAAAGAAGGUGGUGUCUGGUUGGUGGAGUUUGGUUACCUAUGGAAAACUUUAGACUUACAGGGCUAUGGGAAACCUUCAUCAGAGUCUAGAUUUUUGGUGAAGUGGUUUAGAAACCUCACAACAAACAACCUAAUAAAACUUUGCAUACCGAUCCAAAGACUGUUCUAGGGGAUGCUUUGCAGGUUAAUUAACUAGGGUUACGUCAAGCAAAAAAGAAAAAAAAAAAAACUAAAAUGUAUUUGCAAAUUUAGUGUAUGUAAAUAACUUGCUUUAAUAUAAACUAGCCUCUCUGCACGCGCUUCCGCGCAUGCGAGAGGUUUUUUUAAAAAAAAAUUUAAAUUUAUUUUAGAAUUAAAAAAGAUAAUGGAUAUUUGUGUUCCAUAAAAAUAGGAUCCAUUAUCUGAAUUUUCUUUUAAUUUUAAUUUUUUUUAAUACGAAAAAUUGUGAAUUUACCAUAUUAUCCUCAUUUAAUUAAUAAUUUCAAUUCUUAAGGUUUGCAUUAAACAAGGGCAAUUUUUGGUAUUUUGAAUGUUUCACCAUUCUCUGCCUUUUGCUUUAUAUAUAUAGAUGAACCCAGAUUUAAAAAAUAAAAAAAUAAAAUACUUUGUUCAUAUAGAAAAGAAUUAGGGAUCCAAUGGGGUCUAACUUAGUAGAAAAGGGCUUUGACUUAUGACUAGUAAUUUCAUAUUCGAACUCCUAUGGUACCGUGGGAAGAGAAGAGACCUACCCAUCUUAGUUGAGCUACAUUACCGACUUUAUAAAAUAGUGUUUCAUGAUGAAAUGCUUCAGAAGUUCAGAAUCAAUGUUUUUGUGCAAAAUCCAGGCAGUACAUUUACCCCAGCAAAUGCCCCCAAUAUCUCAAGCUUUAACAAUUGGCCAACUCCCAGAGGAGCUGAAAAGGCCAUAUAGAUUUAAUUUCCAUCAUAGAAGAAAACGUCAAUGUAAGAGGGGAGAAAUAGACACAAUAUUCUUGUUGAUUGAUGGGGAUAUCUUAUUAUCAGGCGGCUUUAUAUGGCUCAAUAAAACUUGAAAUUAUAAAUGGUGAAUCUCUCUUUCAAUCCAAAUCAUUAUUGCCGUUAUUCUUGGCUAUAUAUAUAUAUAUAUAUAUAUAUAUAUAUAUACAGAGAGUUUUCAUUGAGGGAUCCCUCAAAUAAGCUUAUUUGAGGGACACCCCUUGUAGGCCCCACUCCGGAUUGUAUUUCACUAAUCCAAACCGUCUAUUUUGUAGAUACUUAUUCAAAAAUCAUCUCUACAAAAAAUCACUUGAAUCCGAUAUCAUUUGACCACUCAAUUAAGUUAUUGAAAUUUUAGCAUUUUCUUGAAACAUCGUGUUCAUUGAUUUUGUAAGACACAAUUGGAUAUCGAAACGGUUUCCGAUUUGUCUAAUUUUUUGUAAGGAUGAUCUAUGAAUGAAGAUCUAAAAAAUAGAUGGUUUGAAUCAUUGGGAAAAAAAUUGUAGGGUACCCUAAAGGACGUCCCUCAAAUAAAAUUAUUUGAGAGAUCCCUCAAUAUAUAUAUGAAUCAAUCAAGUGAAUUAUCAUUUUAUAUUUUCUUAAUAUCAUAUGUAUUACUUCUUAUUAUCAAUUUCAUGUUAUAUCUUCUUAUAUUAAUCUUUACCUGUGUAAAAAAAGAAUACAUUUUUUUCUUCUUUAUUUUUGAUUACAUUGCAGGAAAGAAACUCCACUGGGGUUUGAUUCUGGGUGCCAUGGAGGGCAGGGGGAAUCCAUUAUCACUAUGGUGGGAAUCCAUUAGCACAUUUUUUUUAUUUUACAAUAUUUUAAACUACUCUAAAAAGAGAUCAAACUUGAAUGUAGGGCAACGAACAUAGUGCCUUGACCAAUUGGCCUAACUCACAUAUGCAAAGAAUAUAUUUUUUAAACAUGGUAAGCAACAAUUAUGGCUCUAAUUAGGGCUCGUUAAUGGGCCAGGCCAGGCUAGCCCGGCCCAAAUUUAAUAGGCUUGGGCCAGGCCUGGUCGGGCUUUAAAGAGGAGAGAGAAAAUAUCGGGCCGAGCCGAGCCGAGCUAAGCCCAAUGGGCCCUACUUCAUUAAAAAAAAAAUCAUAAACUUAAUCAUAAGGGCAUUUUAGUCCAAAUUUGAGAUUAAACUCACUUAAUUCCAAUAUUUUUACAUCAAACUAAAUUCAUAAAACACCCAAUAAAGUCACAGAACUUAUAAGAUUUUCCACAAAAAUAAUAAAACAAAGUAUUAUUUUUGAAGUUAUUACAUAAUUAGAUCGUAAUACGUUUUAAGAAAUAAUUUUAAAAAAUAAUAAGUAAAAAAAAAAUAUUUUUAAAGGAUGGUAUGAAUAAAUAUGCAAAUAUUUAGUGAUGUGUUCAAGAAAAGCAUGAUUAUAUUUAGUGGUACGAUUAUGUUUCGUGAUAUGAUUAUAUUUGGUGAUGUGAUAUGUUGUUCAUCUUAUAUAAAUAUAUAUAUAGCUAAUCAUCCAAUUAUAAACUAGGAAUGAGUAAAGAAAAGUAAAUAAAAUGAAACAAAUUAUAUAUGUGAUUUAAGUGAUAUAAUCCUAAACCUAAACUCUUAUUUAUACAUAAUUAUAUAUGUAUGCGGGCCUAACGGGCAGAGUUUUUGUGGACGGGUCGAGCCGGGCUUUCUUGGGCUUAAUCGGGCCGGGCCAGGCUUCAGACACCCAAGCCCAAGCCUAGCUUGGCCCAAGGCAGGCCGGACCAUCUCAAAGUCCAUAACGGACCAGGUCAGACCGCACUUUUUUUUGAUGGGCCGGGCAGGCCUCUAUCGGCCCAUGAGUCCGCGGGCCAAAUGAUGAGGCCUAACUCUAAUUACAAAGAGAAAUACAAGGAUGGGUUGGAUUGACCAGUUUUGUAUGAAUCCUAUGGAAAAUCGCCCGAAUUGUUUUUUUUUUCAGUUAGAAAUUGAAAAUAUAAGUUGAAGUGACAAUUUAAAAAUUUUCUCAAUAUAUUUUUGGGCCAAAAAAAAAAUUUAAUGCCUUACCUCUUUACACGUACGUACAAUUUUUUCGUAGUUUACCGACUAUAUUUUUCUGCUCUGAAUGAGAUAUGGAGUUGCUCUUUCUAAGUCAAAUUACCACGAAGUCCACCGUCUAUGCCUCUGCACAGCAUCGCUCUUUCAGUUUCUGUGCCUCUCUGCUCAUGGUUUCACUACCACUAGCCUUCUGAGUGUUGUUUCUGGUUUUGCACGGUUACAUUACUAUUUCUCUCAUCCCUCUCUCAUGGAUUCAAAUGAAACCCAACAACCCAUUGAAAACCAACAACAACCCAAUCCAACUCUCCCCUUCACAUCAAAAUUGAAACCCUAUGCAUUCUACUUAUCAUCCAUCCUAAUUCUCAUCCUUGCUAUCUCAUUCAGUUUGACCAAAACAAACUACCUCAAAACCCAGCAGCUGAAGUACACAUUCUCAUCACAGCCCGCCAUUUUUCAAGCUCUGUUUGGCUUUCUUCAACCAAAACAAAAAACCAAGCAAACCCAGGUACCAAAUCCCAUUUCCAAGCCCCCCUACUGUGUUCUGUGGAUGGCUCCUUUCCUUUCAGGUGGUGGGUACAGUUCAGAAAGCUGGUCAUAUAUUUUAGCCCUUCAUGAACACAGUAAAAACCCAAACUUUAGAAUGGCUAUUGAGCAACAUGGUGAUCUGGAGUCCCUAGAAUUCUGGGGGGGCUUGCCUAAAUAUAUGAAGAACUUGGCAGUUGAGCUUUACCACACACAAUGUAGUAUGAAGGAGACCAUAGUCAUAUGCCACAGUGAGCCUGGUGCUUGGAACCCUCCAUUGUUUGAAACACUCCCUUGCCCACCAACUGCUUACCAAAAUUUCAAGUCAGUGAUUGGCCGGACCAUGUUUGAGACCGAUAGGGUGAAUCCGGAACAUGUGAAGCGCUGUAACCAAAUGGAUUAUGUUUGGGUUCCUACUGAGUUUCAUGUGUCUACAUUUGUACAAAGUGGGGUUGAUAAAUCUAAGGUUGUGAAAAUUGUGCAGCCUAUUGAUGUGAAGUUCUUUGAUCCACUUGAGUAUGAGCCUUUAAAUCUUGCCUCUAUAGGGAAGUUUGUUAUGGGCAAGACAACCCAGAAUUCGAAAGUGAAGAAGAAAUUUGUAUUUAUGAGUAUAUUUAAGUGGGAGUAUAGGAAAGGAUGGGAUGUGUUGUUGAAAUCUUAUUUGGAAGAAUUCAGUGAGGCAGACGGGGUUGCCUUGUAUCUUCUAACAAAUCCUUAUCACUCUGAUAGAGAUUUUGGGAAUAAGAUAGUGGAGUUUGUGGAAAAAUCUGGAAUGCAGAAACCAGUGACUGGUUGGGCUCCAGUUUAUGUGAUUGAUACUCACAUAGCACAGAUUGAUUUGCCACGGGUAUACAAGGCAGCUGAUGCAUUUGUUCUUCCAUCUAGAGGGGAAGGGUGGGGAAGGCCUCUUGUUGAAGCUAUGGCAAUGUCAUUGCCAGUGAUUGCUACGAAUUGGUCAGGGCCAACGGAGUAUCUGACUGAGGAGAAUAGCUAUCGACUGCCGGUGGAUAGAAUGAGCGACAUAAUGGAAGGGCCUUUCAGAGGGCAUCGCUGGGCAGAACCUUCUGUCAGUAAGCUUCGUGUGCUCAUGAGGCAUGUGCUGAAUAAUGUAGAGGAAGCCAAGGUGAAAGGGGAAAAGGCAAGGGAAGACAUGAUCACAAGGUUCUCUCCUGAGAUCGUUGCAGAUAUCGUUACUAAACAUGUGCAUAAUAUACUUCAGAAGGUGGAUCAGUAGUUGCACUGUUUUCUUUUCAGAUCUCAAGAAGCUCCAAGUUUGCUUGCGCUUGGCUAGGUGUUGAUCAUGAAGCUCAGGCUUACAAAAGGCUUUGUCAAGCCUGAUUAAGGAAGCGAGGACAUAUUUAAACGUUCAAACGUAGCUCCUCUCUAAGUUGAUUGGAUGCUAAAAUUUCAAAGCAUUGUUGUGAGGAAGCGAGAAAACGAGUCUGUCUCGUAUUUUAUUGCUAGAUUUUGAUUGUAUUUGAAGGGUCAGUGCUGAAUUCAUUAAACACGCAUAUGAAUUCUACAUGUGUUUCGAACACAUGCAAUGAAUUAGAUUGUUGCUCUUAUAAACAUAUUCCUAAUAUACAGAGAACAUAACUUCGGACCUUUCAAAGUAUCAGAUCAGCUGCUGUUUGAAACUUGAAAGGUAUCUCUACUGUUAUAUUCGGAGCUUUAUAAUCCCUUCCAACUAUCUCAGCUAGCAUCUGAGUCGACCUUGGCAUUAAGGCAUUGGCAUAUGGUUGACAUAGGUUUCAUUCGGGAAUUUGACCACGUUAUCUGCAUUGAAAAGGUGACAGUGGGUUAGGCCAAAUGUUCAAGGCAGUGAGCUCAAGUUCGAUCCCUCUCUUGUUAAAGAAUACACGAGUCCCACAUCGAAAACUUAACAAAAUAGAAAGUCUCAUAUAAGAGCAACUCCACCCAUUUGCCCUUAGCCAUGGCAAGGGUGGAGCUAGGGCAGCCACUAUUCACGUGAAUAGUGGUUGCCCUUGCAAAUAGUAAUUUGUGUUUCCACCCGUUACCCUAGCUAAGGGCAAUUACUAUUCAUUUUUUUGUUUUUUCCUCAUAUUUUUUAAUGAAAAUAAUUAAUUUGGGUAAUAUUUUCAGAUAAGAUUUUCGGGUUCCUACGUGUCAAGACUAUUCAUAAUCAGAUAAAAUUUCCGGAUAAGAUUUUUGGAUUCAAAUUUCGGAUGAAUUUUAAAGUUCAAAUUUCAGAUAAAUUUUUGGGUUCAAAUUUCGGAUGAAUUUCAAAAUUCAAAUUUCAUACAAAUUAGGGUUCAAAUUUCGGAUGAAUUUCAAAUUUCAGAUAAGAUUUUCAUUCAAUAAAAUCAAGCCACGUGGCAUGUCUAUCUUGCCAAAAUUUUCUAUAAAACCAGAGUCUCAGCUCAUACCUCUCACACCACAUCUUUCUAUAUUUUCAUUUCUCAGAGUUUAGAAUUCAUACUUCAUUCAUUCUGAAUUGAAGAAUUUAGGAGAUGCUUGGAGAGGCAAGAGAGAGAAACAAGAGAGAGAAACCGUAGAGCAGAUGAAGUCAAUGAGUUGCAGAGACAAGUCGAUGAGCAAGUUCUCAUAGCAGUGGCUUUGCAAGAAGAAGAGAACCAAGGUCGCCGCCAUGGUUCACAAGUCGGCCGCUGCCGGAAUGUGGAAAGACAUAGGCAUUCUCGGGGUAAGAAUCUUUUGGAAGAUUAUUUUAUCCCAACUUCUUUGUACUCUGAUGUUGAUUUUCGAAGGCGAUUUAGAAUGCAACCUCAUUUGUUCAAUAAAGUCAUGCGUGAUAUUUGCAAUUAUGAUGCAUACUUUGUUCAAAAGUGUGAUGCUGCUGGGGUUUUGGGGCUUCUUCCGGAGCAAAAGCUUACAGCUGUUAUACGAAUGUUGGCGUAUGGAGCAUCUGCUGAUCAGGUGGAUGAGAUUGCCCGGAUGGGGAAGUCCACUACGUUGGAGGCUUUGGUAAGAUUUUGUCAAGCUGUUGAAACUCUGUACACUAGGGACUACCUGCGUAGACCUACUCCCAGGGACCUCCAACGACUUCUACAAAAAGCCGAAGCUCGAGGAUUCCCUAGAAUGAUUGGUAGCAUCGACUGCAUGCACUGGCAAUGGAAGAAUUGCCCAACUGCCUGGCAAGGUGAUUAUGGAAAUCGAAAAGGCCAAAAAAGUAUCAUCCUUGAAGCGGUUGCUGGUUUCGACACAUGGGUUUGGCAUGCCUUCUUCGGAGUUGCAGGAUCACAAAAUGACCUCAACGUGCUGGGUCAAUCCCCGGUCUUCAACGAUGUAUUGAGAGGCCAGGGCCCCAAUAUCACCUAUGAAGUCAAUAAUACAGUGUACCAGACGGGGUAUUAUCUAGCUGACGGCAUCUACCCGAGGUGGACCACUUUUGUCAAAUCUAUUCCGAAUCCCCGAUCCCAGAAGCAAAAAUUAUUUGCUACCUAUCAAGAGGGAUACAGGAAAGAUGUCGAAAGGUGUUUUGGUAUCCUUCAAGCUCGGUGGUUGAUUAUUCGAGGUGCGGCCCGUAUGUUUGAUAAGGAGAUCCUCAGAAGCAUUAUGAUGACUUGCAUCAUCCUCCAUAAUAUGAUUGUGGAGGAUGAGUAUGAUUAUGAUGCUUUAGAGGUGUACGAACCGGAUCCAAUGAACACGGCUUUGACACGGAUUUAUGAAAGACCCAUAGGACCAAGUGGAGAACCAUUUGAGCCGGAACCGUUGGUGAGGGAUGGUCAUUUGAUGACCCGAAUGAUAGAUCGAUAUACAGAGAUGCAAUCUUCGUAUAUUCAUGAAAUGCGUCAAGUUCACUUGAUGGAGCAUCUAUGGGCGGUGAAAGGCAAUGAAGAAGAAUGAUGGAGCAUAGAUGCUUUGGUUAUGUUUUAUUUAGUUAUGGUUUGGUUGUGUUGUAUUUUUAUUUAUUAUGCUUUGGUUUAUGGUUUGGUUGUGUUGUAUUUUUAUUCAUUAUGCUUUGGUUGUGGUUUGUUAUUAUUAUUGUGCCUUAUUUGUAGUUUUUUUUAUUUUUAUUUUGUUUUGUUUGAAGUAUGGAAUAUGUUGAAUAAAAAGGUAAUUUAUUGAAUACUUUGUUUAUUAAAUAACGAAAUAUAAUACAAGUCAUUACGAAUUACUACUACUAAAAUAAAAUACAUGAAUUACAAUAACUUUAAAAGAAAACAUGAAAAAUACAAAUACAUAAAAGGUAGGCUAACAAAUUUAAUGGUUUCCAUCAUUUAACCAAUCCGUGUUGCUAGGCCCAUCAUCCCGGAAAAUUUUUCUUCUCAUAACAUCCCUUCGUUCUAGUUUCCAAAAUUGUUUUGUUUCAGGGGACAUAUGACUUGUAUCCAUGGCCAUGGUUUCCCGAUCCGUGUUGUUUAUAUCUUUUUUGCGCAAAUACUCCCUUUCUCGUGCGUACUCAGCUUGAAGGGUCAACUCGUUAUCUUGGCGUUUUUGCUCCAUUUCAAUUCUUAGGUCAUUUUGCCUUGCAAUUUCCUCCAAAAACUUUGAAUUAUAAUUGCUUGAAUUACCCACUUUCUUUGCCUUCGCGGCCUUUCGGCCAAUGGGCCUCAGCUCCUUUUCCAUGGGUGAGUCUUGACUCAUAGGAGAAUCAAGAGGUGAAUCCGGUGCCAUUGAAUCACGGAGUGGAGUCUCGUUUAAUACAACGUCGGGACCCGUUGGAAUAAUUAUGAACCGUUUGUAAUAUUUGACCACCUCCCAACAUUCAUGAUGGGUGAAACUUUUUUUGCCACCCCCGGUUGCACCGAACCACAUUUGUGCUUGUAUAAUCUAUUUAACAAAAAAAUGGAAAUGCAAUAAAUAUUUAAAAUAUAUUGGAUAUGCAAGUAACAAAAAAUAUAAUAAUGAAAAUGCAAUUAACCUUACAAAUAAAUUAGAAGUGCAAGAAAAUUAAGAAACAAGUGGAAAUGCAAGAAAUAUUAACAACAUAUUGAAAAUGCAAGACAUAUGAACAAAAUAUUUAAAUUGCAAUAAAUAUUAACAAAAUAUUGAUAAUGCAAGAAAUAUGAACAAAAUAUUUAAAAUGCAAGAAAUAUUAAUAAAAUAUUGAAAAUGCAAGCAAUAUUAACAAAUUAUAUAUAUUAGGAGAUUAAACUUAAUAAAAUAAAAAUUAUAAAAUACUUACCUCGUUAGUACGAUUUUGCCCGCUUCUAUAGUUGUCCAUCGCUUUUGCUAAGGCAUUUCUCCAUUUUCCCAACUCUUUAUUCAGGAUUUUCCACCUACUGGAUAACGCCAUCUCCGUACGAGUAGACCCCGGAAUUUUUUCACAAAAUUCGGCAUGAAUUUUUUUCCACAUAUGAAAAAAUUUCAUCUCAUUGCCGGACACGGGACAAUGACAAAUUUAGAGCCAAGCCUCACACAAUGAAACAUCUUCCAUGGUGCUCCAAGCCCCUCCGGUUUCGAUAGAAGAAGCCAUAAAAAUAUGAAAUCAAAAUACUAGAUGAAAAAGAGGAAAAUGUUGAGUAUAAAGAGUGAAUAAUGGUAGAAGUAGAAGAAAAUGUAUGAGUAUUGGUGUUGAAAGUGAAGGGUAUUGAUAGGUAUUUAUAGAAAAAAAAAUCAGAAUUUUUUAGAAUUUUUAAAAAAAAUUUACGAUUUUUUUUCAUAUUUUUAUUGCCCAAAAAAGCCUCAGCCGUUGGAUUAAUUUGGAAAAGCAGAUCAGAAGGCUGGGGAGGAGACACGUGGCAGCGUACCGUUGGAGCUGGCAUCGCGCUGACGUCAGCGUGCAAUGCACGCGCCAACGGUAAAAAAAAUUUGAACUGUGCUCGCUGACGUCAGCGUGACGCGAGGCUGACGUUAGCAACACGCGAGUUGGACCUGGGGCUGGUCUCGCCUUCGGGCUGGCCCGAGUUGGUGGGUCCCACACCACCCCCGGGCCUGGGUUGAACGCUGGAGCAACUUUUUUUUUUUUUCCUGCCCUCGCCUCGGGCUGGGCUCCCUCGGUGGAGCAACUCUAAUAAAUGAUUCCACUCUUAAUAACAUCGCGGCCUUUUGUAUAAUAACCCCACACAUACUAAACAGGUAUUUAAGUUAGGAAUAAUAUCGAUGUUGCUAGUGGUGGGCCAAGGAUCCGUCCCUCUGAAAUCUUAACAUCUCAUACUACAUUAGAGUAGUUAGAAUAUCAGUUUGGAGUCACUUGGAUUGCAUCUGUUUGAGAAAGGUUCCUUUCAGGGCUGUGCCCUGUUAGUUCGUUUGUUUGUUAUAGGCUUCAACUUCCUUUCAAUCGGAAACAUUUAAUUAGAAAGAAAAAAAAAAAAAAAAUUCACACACACAACUUUCAUCAUGCAAGAUGAGAAUUUGUAAGAAUGGGGAAGUGCAUGUGUGCACUUUCAAUUCUUGCACUCUUCUGGGUGGGAACAAAUAACAGUUAUAUUAUAUACAUGGUCAGAUAUCUCAUUUUCAAGAUUUAGUGAAUUUAUUAUAUAUAAAAAGUACUUAUUGACAUGGUCAGAUAGAUCACGGAUGCCUAGCAAAAACUCAGCUUUUUGCUUUUUUCAUUAUGGUCAGAUAGAUCACAGAUGCCUAGCAAAAACUUGCGAAAAACAUUACUCAAAUCAUUCAAUCAGGGUCCCUCAACCCUAGGUUAUUGAAGAUAGGGUGCGAAAACUGCAAGAACUUCCUUGUAGACAGGCUUCUUGAAAUCCACAGCCUGUACCAAAAAAUAAUAAUAAUAAAUACAUGUUCAAAUUAUAAAAAUAAUAUAUAACAUUAGCUAUUCAAACGAUAUGUAUUCUAAGUUUAACCCACAAGAUCAAUAAUUUGUUCUGCUGACAUCCAUGACCACUCGCCAAACUCAGGUUUUUCACUCCCAUCACCUAAAAGAUUGAUUUCUUCAUCCUUCCCGGUGAACUUAAGAAGAAGCCUGUGAAAUUGCACAUACAUGUAACUGUGUAAAUAAGAACAUGUGAAUAUGAGCAUGUCAUCUCUAAACUUCAACAAGUUAUUCUCUUACCUAAAAAAGAAGAAAGCAAAAGCAGAAGCAAAACUUUAGAAUAUGGUUUUCGCACUAAUCUUGAGCACCAAUUCAUGCACAAAUGAAUGACUGCUACAUUGAUUGCAUGCUUAAACGAUUAAACUUGUAUUGAUAGUUAAAUGAAAAUGAUGGGAUGCCUUGUGGUUAUAAACUGGCAUAUAAUAUUUGUCCCCGGACGAAGGAUUAAACAGGUUGCAGCCUACGCAACAAGCAAGGCAUUGUGAUCCUGACACUAACCACUUCUGUGCUUGGCCUUUCCAGUCUGAUCCCCAUUGUUGCUGAAGUUUUGCCCGAACUUCUGGUGGGAAAUCAUAUGUUAACCAAUAAGGUACCUGAACAGGACAAAAGCCAAAAAUAAUCAUAACUGAACGUUUUCCCACAAGCGGAUAUGUACCAGAAAAGGUACGGAUAAUAGACAGCUAAAGGACAUUAUAACACACCAGAUAAUAUGCAAUAACUUAUUACCUAUUAAUCAAUGUAACAAAAAGAAAAACAUAACAAACAUAAGCUGCAUAUAAGUGUCUAAAGUAAAGAGAAACAGAUAAAAGUAAUCACACAUGUUAAUGACUCAUGUUGAACACCCAAAAAAAAAAAAAAAACUAUCCAUCAUUUUCCAAAAUAACUUGAAGGUUCACCAGAUCUUCAGGUGGUAAUCCCAUUUCCUGCAUUUCCAAUUUCUUUCUAUCUUAAUGCAAACAUAAACAAAUGGAGUGUGUUAGUUAGGAGAGAGAAUGUUUUCAUAAAGAAUAGGAUUGGUAUUAAAAAUGCCAAAUAAGCGUCUUGUUUAACUGCAUAAGUAGUUGGAAAGGAAUACUAGAAUAGAAUCAUGAAAUCUGCAACCUUGACUAUCUCUUAGAAUGCUAUUAAUAGUAUAAACCAGAAUUACUACAAUACCUCCAAGAAAAGGUGGAUUAAAUAACCAGAAAAUAAGGAACCAGAUGCACCCCCGUAGAAAUCACACUCAUUCAAAGUAUCAUCCUUAGGUGUGUCCUUAUUGCAGGAGGGGAGAAUAAGAAAGGAUUCAUAGUCUCGAAGUCCUCCUCAUUCUUUUCCUACCUCUAUGACAAAGACUUCCUCUCUGAUCUUCCUAAUAGGGAAUAGAAUACGUUCGAGAUUGUGAUGGAGAUAAGGAGUUCAGUGAUAUUGCUAGAAUCGAAGGAGGGAAAGGUGUAACAAGGAUGUUUAGGGCACUUGAUCGGACUAAGAUGUAUUUAGCUGUAGACCUUUUUUUUAAAAUAGAAACUUUAUAAAAUCAAAAGAGAUAAACGAGGAAACAAGCAAGUGGAUAAGGAAUCCACAAGAGCAAAACAAAAGAAAACAGCAACCUCAAGAACAAAACAAACAGAGGAAAGAAGGACAAAAACGAACAAGAAGGCCACCCAGGAAAAAAGAAAAGAGCAACACAUCACUUCACAACCGCUAACAAAUCUAGCAUAAUAGAAGAGACAGCCAAAUUCUUAAAAACAGGAGUAACCAAAGCCCAUAACGCCGCCCAAAACUUCACUCUAUCCCACAUCUCAGCCACCCCCACACCCUUGUAGUCCUAAAAAAUUCUUCUGUUACGCCCCAACCAUAAGUUCCAGAACACCGUAUUUAGCUGUAGACCUGACUAGGAUGUUUUGGACUGUUGACAAUGACAGAAGGUUGGGUGAGAUGGAUAACUACUGUAGUAUACUCAUUACUUACCCACACCAGAAGCAUUCAUAGUAGAGUAUCGGCUCAACCCAAGCCCAGAUAAUACUUUAUUUUAUGCCAAUAAUGUAAAGAAAAGAAAAAAGCAAUCCAUAAUAUCUAUCAGAACCAAAAAUUUAGUGUAUCAAAAUCUGAGAAAACGAAUUAAAGAUAAAUAUGAAAGCGACGUACUUAGCACAAAUAAGAUUUUAUUCCCAAGAUCUUAAGAUUAUAUAUGGAUUUGAACUUCACAUAAGAUCCUAAUUCAAUUAAAAAAUGUAAAAAAAAAACUAAAACAAUUCAAACAAUUCAUGAUCAGUGAAAGGCAACUACAUCAUUAGCUCCAAUUGCUUAAUAUAUAAUGUGUUAAUUGUUAAUGUAACUAACAUGAACUUAUAGUGCUUUCACUAUAAAACUGCAAAUUUGUGAUGAAUAAUGGAAUAGAGUGUGAACCAUAAAAUUCUGGAAUAGUAGGAACAAGAGAAGGGAGAUUCAAUGAAUUCUGUGACUCUAUCUAACAAUCUCCAGUUUAAUGAUUUGAAUUGUUGAAGAGAUAAUAUACAUAUACUAUCAAGUUUAGUAAUUCUACCAAGGCUAAAUUUAGAGUGCAAAAUUGUGUAAGAAUUGGAGAAAGAAAAUGUGGAAAGCAUUCUACAAGAAAUACCUAGGCCUAGUAUAACUAAUCAGUUUCAUGUGUGGGCUUUCGACAGAAAAUUGAAGAACUACCAGAGCAGAAGUUUGCAGGGUCAUUGGUCAAACAUCUCUUUCUUUCAGAGUUUUAACUUCAACAAUUUUUUUUUUCUUCCACAUCUGCUAACUAUAGUUGGAUUUCCACUUACCGCUCAUAUUUGCAUUUAUGAAAAAUAAAUGUUGUUGCUUUAUCCAAACACCAACAUGGUAAGAAGCAUAUCUAAGCUCAUCCUUGUAGACCACUUAGUUCAGGUUUUCUAAUGCUUUCCCCUUUAACUGCUAAGUUUAAUGUUUCCUUCACCAGACUUUAUUGGUGUCUGAUAACCAAAUGAAAACAACCAACAAAAUUCCAACAAAGACAUACAACUCGAUUAGCAUAUCUUUUUGCAUUCUCAUACUUACUUAACAAAAUUCAGACAUAAAAAUGUUUGGUGUAAUGUUGCAAAAACAUGAAAACAGGAAUGGAAAUACAAGUGUAGCAGCAGAAAAGUCCAACCUCUGCAAGAAUUUCUGCUGAAUUUACUCCAGUCUCUUCUCUUAGUUCCCUCAUGGCUGCAGUUCUUGGAUCUUCAGCCUCAUCAAUACCACCCUUUCCAACACAAAUUUUAUUAAAUACUAUUUGAAUGAAAAGAAAACAACGAAAUCUCACACAAGAGGAAAUCAAGUAAUGACUGCAGCUAGUAGCUACACUCUUGGCAUGUUCCUAUUAAAAACUCUAUACUUUUCCUCCCUCUACAUAUUCAAUAACUGAUUCAACCAAACUUCAUUUAGUCAUGCCGUAAACGAAAAACAGCAAUCCAUGAUUAGAGCAGAAGGUAGGCACAUUAUCAUUAACAGGAUCCUAACUAGUACCACAUAAGCAAUUAUGGACGAUAUUCAAUUCUGAGAAAAAAGUUUUGUAAUGGUUGUACAUUGGAUUCUUUCAUGCCUUACACUGUUUCAUUCAACAAUAUAUUUACCAUUUGGAAAUCCAAUACGUUUUCAGAACUCGCCAAUGUUCAUUUAAUCUUGUAAGUGGAAGCCAAACCCCACAUAUUAAUAUCAGGAGUACUGCCCUUUUAGAUACUUCAUGUUCAAUGAAAUGAGAUGGCAGAUCUAAGCUGCAAGUCAAAACAGUAUGGCUAAACAGUUGUCAAUUUUGGUACUUCUGGACCUUCUUCCAAAUUGAAGAUCCUUCCUUUCCUACUUGUAUAUAAAAUGUUAUAUAGCAGGUAAGUUGCCUGACCAUAUUCAAAGGGGUGGUCAUUAUUUGUUACCGAAAAGUUCUUCCUUUGUACCAGAUAUUGAGACAUAGGAAAUGCACAAUUCAGCGCUUAUUAAAAAUUUUGUAAUCUAAUUCAAUGUUUCAAGUGCUUGCUUGGAUGCUCCAAAGAAACUUAAAACUCGUGUAUGUGCAGUGUGUGUGUGUGUGUAGGCGCAGGUUUGAUGGAAACUCGAAAAAAAUUAUAGUUGUUAUUUUAAUAGAGAAUUGUUAUUUUUAAUGUUGAAAAGACUGUAAUGUUAUUCAAUUAUAUUAAAAAACAAACUCCAAAUAGCAUAUUUGACUCAAUCCAGGCAACUUAGGAUUGUAUUAGUAUUAUUUUUUCCAAUACAAUGCAAUCCAAUCCUACCUAAAAAUCCAAUCCCCAAGUCACCAAACAUCCUUAUGAAUUUACCUGGGGCAUUUGCCAAGCAUUGGGUAUAUCUAACCUUGAAGCAGCAAAAAUCUGCGUAGAAAAACACGUAUACAAACAAAUUCAGUUUAUGGAGAUACAUACACCUAUACACACGAGUUGGCACAGACACAUAUAAAAGGAGAUGAAAACCUGACCUUCUUAGAAUCGUUGAUGAGACAAAUGCCGACAUUCCUGCGGUAACCUUGGGGAGGAGCUUCCAUUGAUGACGACGAUGGCGAUGGCGAUGAAGUAUGGGAGGAGGUACAGAGGAGUCUAGUAUGAUUGAUGGGUUUUUGGGGGAGGAGUAGCAGGUGCGAAAAUUUGGUGAGUUUUGGAGGGCAAGUUUGGAAGGAUUGAAACAGAACAGGAGGCCUGAUGAGAAUCGAUAAAGGAGGAAGAUGCAGUGGGGAAUUAAGCAAAGCGAAUCGGCAUAUAUCCAUUCAAUUCAAUGAUAACGUCCAAAUAGGGGUGUUGGGGGGGGUGGGGACAUCUUCCAACUCCCUGCUUAUGCAUAUCGCUAUGGCUCCUGACUGGGCCUGUUGGUUUUAAGAAGGGAGCUGAUUUCCCACACCCCUUUCCUUACAUCCCUUUUGUUUUUAAUACUUUUUAAUCAAUCUUGUUCUGUUUUUUUUUUUUCUAUUCUAUCCUUACUUCACUUUUAUAUUAUUUAUUUUUCUUUAUACUUAAUUUUCCAACUUACACUCAAUUUUCAGUAUUAAAGGGAAGAAAAAAAAAUCGUACUCGAUUAAAGGAAAAAAAAAAACUGAAAAUAGAGUGCAAGUUGGAAAAUUAAGUAUAAAGAAAAAGAACUAAUAUAAAAUUGAAGUACAAUUAAUGUAGGGUAAGGGUAGAAGAGGAAAGAGAAAGAACAAAAUUGAUUAAAAAGUAUUAAAAAGCAAAAUAGAGUGUAAAUGGAGAAAAUAAAAGUGGGGAAAUCAUAUCCCUUUAAGAAACCUUCACCAAAGUAAUGCUAUAUCUUCAACAAACAACUAUAUAAAAUAUAGGGUAAAUUAAUUUUUUUUGUCCUCAUGCAUUUUCUAUUUUUUUGUGUUUUCUUGCUUGUCUUUAUUCAACUCUUUAGGCCCUAUUUGGUUCACGAAAAGGAUUUGAUGGGAGAUUUCCCAUGUCAUUUCUCAAGGGAUGGGAAAAUUGAAGAUUCAUUUCCUAUGUUCGGUAAUGUUGGGAAAGUAACCGGGAAAUACCACUUUAUUUCAUUUCCCAUGUUUGGUUUGUGUAGGAAUGUGAAAUAAAGUUUGUUUAAUUUUCCAAUUAUGACCAUACUAAAGUAAAUAAAAAAAUAUAUAUAUUUAAUGCUAUAUUGUAAUUCUAAAGUGUUAAUGAGGACAAAAUUGUCAUGAAAAGUAUGCAUUUAAUGUUGGCUCAUUUUCCUAAACUUUUCCAUGGAAGGGAAAACAAAACCCAAGAGAGGAGGAGGGCUUCACUUUCCCACCUACUUUCUCAUGUGCCAGGCAACCAUUUCUCAUGCAUGGACUUAUCAAACAUGGAAAAUCAAUUGAUUUUCCAUCCCCAAGCCUUAUUUCCCAUGAACCAAACAGGGCCUUACGGUCUACCCUCUUUCUCGAUAUCCCAAUUCUAGCGGUUGUUAGCAGAAGUAGAGAUAGAAGGAGGUAGCCGAAGGAAAGGCAAUCUAUAUAUGUCAUUGGAAAGAACAUGAUUGAGGGUUUUAUACUGUAGUAUGUAACUCUACAUGGAAUCAGUCACUAUAGUAGGGGCUAGACAUGACUGUGAAGAUUCAAGCGAAAUGCAUCGAGGGGUCGUGGACCAACCCUCUUAUCCGUCUACCCAUUAGUUAGGUCAUUCACACUCUAUCUUCUUUAAUCAAUUCUAACUGUUCACUCUUUGUUGACUAUUCCGAUGGGGCUUCUCUUUGAGUGGAAGCCAUGCACUGUUGAAUACAAGCAACAGUUUAUAAGUGAAAAGGGGUUUCCCACACACACUACUAAAGUACCAUGAGAGUUAGAAUGUAAGACCACUAGUAUGUAAGUCAAGGCUGUGGAUGCAAAUUUCUCCAUGAGUAGUGCUACUACGAGUGAUCUGCAAAACAACAAAUGUUAAGGAAGAACACCGAUGUGGUGUCUGCCAAGGAACCCUUGUUGCUUAAGUAAGAUGGUGUUUAUGUUAAUAUAGAGUGAGAGAGUGCAAAAUGAUUAAGACAGUGUGAACCAAGUUUGCAUUAUUGUUUGAUGACUUAUGUUUAGGUAUUUAUGGAGGCUGUUGGUAGUUGUAGUCUUGUAGAUGACAGGUGGUAGGUGAUGAGCCUUUGUGGGCUUGCACUUCUCUGAUGUGGAGAAGAUAAUGGGAUUAUGGAAGUUAGCCCACAACGACACUAUCCAUGUUUGUAGGAUAGUGGUUGUGAUCCAUUUCGGAUUUCGUGGCGACGCCUGCUGGUGUAUGUGCUUUGUUGAACAAUGAUUCGUGGUUGAGCAUUCCUCCUCACCUCAACCGACGUUCCCUGAGCCUUGCUCGGCUAAUUGAGGUUGUUGUCUGCUUACAAGCCUUGCGACAUAUGUCUUCUUGUGUAGACCUUUUGCUUUCCCUCUCGUUUCAUUAAGUGCAUUUUCAUCAUUCAUGACAUGAAGAGUCCACGUGGCGUGCCCCUGAGUUGAGGUGCGAAUUUGUGAUUCCAUAAAGGUCCUGUUCUAGUUUUGGUUCUCAUUAUUUUAAUUUAGUAAUCUUAAUCAUAUAAUUUUGUGUAUUGUUUUGGAACUGAAUGCCACAACUAUGCAUAGAUCAAAAUGCCUUUAGAUGUGGUAUUUGCGUAUGGCCAAGUCGAAUUUCAUCUUGUAACACCCCCGAUCCAAUUUAAUUGUGUUAUUUAAUUUUUUAAUAAUGAAUUACAAUUUUGCCCUUGAGGGUAGGGGCACUUUAGUCACCUUUUGUUCCAGAUGGAUUUUGAGGAAUUGAAGUCUAUUUCUUUUCUCUAAUAAAAUAUUUAAAAAUCAAUAAUUUCUUUAUAAAUAGUCUAACCAUUUUCUAUUUAAAUGUUCUUUAAAAAGGUCAUUGGAUUUUUUUUUCUUCAACAAAUAAUAAAUAUUGUUAAUAUAUACAUAAUUGUUAAAAAGAUUGAAAUGAAAUUAUUUAUAAAAAAAAUUACAAAAACAACAAUACAGAAGUCGAGUUUCGCGUGGGAUUAUGUGGGCUGAUUAUAAGAGCAAGCCCAAUGAUUGGGGCUCUAAAAAGGGUGGUAGAGCUUCAUUUAAAGCUCCAAUUUAACUAAAAAGGUAUCCAUAAUAGUUAGAGCUCUAAAACCAAAAAGACAAAAAAAUCAUUUAAGUACUAAAUUGUUAUAAAAAUAAAAUAAUCAUGGUAUGGGAAGUACCACUGAAUAUUGGGAGUAGAAUUAUAUUUGCUCUUUGUGGUGUUUACACUGACAUAAUUUCUUCUCAGAUAGAACUCACUGACACUCAGAUUUCUCACUCUCUCUUCUUUCCUCUCACUCUUCCUUUCUUCUCUUCUCUUCUCCAUUGGUAUAUCUUUGCAAGUAGAAAGGAUGCCUAUUUAUAGGCAAAGCAAAUGGCACUCUUGAGUGAUAAGAGAGACAUCAUGAUGCUUUUAUCCAACAUCAUUAUUAACAUUUUGACUAAUAUCUCCUUCUUUUCUUCAUGUGGGCUUCACCAUUUUCCUAUACAACACUCCCUCUUAGAGACCACAUGUCCCUAGAUUGGUUGCCUCAUUAAAACCUUGCUUGGCAAAAUCCAGUGGGAAAAAACCUAAGCGAAGGAAAAAGAGUACAACUUUAUUUGGGACAUAAGGGUAAUGUUAAAUGCGCUCAUAUUGCCUCGUUAAAACCUUGCUAGGAGAAACCCUAGUCGAAGGAAAAAGAGUACAACGCGCAUAUGUCCUAUGUUAGAGGACUCUUGAGUGCUCCCCCUGAUUUUGCAUGCUCUAAUUUGAUUGCUUGCAGAGUUAUCGUAAUCCGAUGUCAUGCACUAAAUUUUGGAAUGUACAUUUGGCAAAGAUUUGGUGAAGAGAUUUGCCAGGUUAUCGCUUGAAUGGAUUUGUCUGACUUUAAUUUCUUGACUCUUUUGAAGCUCAUGUGUGUAGAAAAACUUUGGUGAUAUGUGCUUGGUCCUGUCACCCUUGAUGUAUCCUCCUGUGAUCUGAACAAGCUACAUUGUCCUCAUUCAGGAUUGUUGGAGUGUCCAUUGCUGAGGAUAGGGCACAUGUGCUUCGAAUGUGAUGGAUCACCGACCUUAACCAAACUCAUUCACAACUGGCUUCAUGAAGGGCAAGUAUUUCUUAGUGAUUGGAAGAUGUAGCUACCAAUGUUUGUUUCGUUGAGCGCCAUGAGAUUGCAGUUCCUCCACAUGUAAACACAUACCCAGUUUGUGAGCAUCUUUUAUGUCGAUCAGAGAGAUAUCAUGCAUCAGCAUAUCCAACAAUACUUGGGGCAUUGGCGAUUCACUGGAAUAGAAUAAGCCCAUGUCUGUUGUCCCACAAAGAGAUUGUAGAAUAUGUUUGAUGUCGGUCCAAUGUCGGAUUGUUGGAGCAGAGCUGUAUCUUGCUAACAAAUUUACUGAAAAUGCUAUGUUAGGUCUGGUACAUUGUGCUAAGUACAAUAAAGCACCUAUUGCACUAAGAUAUGGUACUUCUGGACCAAGGACUAUUUCAUCAUCUCCUUUUGGACAAUAUGGAUCUUUCUUAGUGUCAAGCGACCGAACGACCAUUGGAGUGCUAAGUGGAUGGGCUUUAUCCAUGCCAAACCGCUUCAAUACUUUUUCAGUAUAAGUUGAUUGAUGCACAAAAAUCUCAUUAGCAUUGUGCUCAAUCUAUAAGCCAAGCCAAUAUUUUGUCUUUCCAAUGUCUUUCAUCUCAAACUCACGUUUGAGAUAAUCAGUAGUCUUUUGGAGCUCUUCAGGAGUUCCAAUUAGAUUCAUGUCGUUGACAUAUACUGCCACUAUCGCAAAUCCAAACUAUGAUUUCUUAAUAAACACACAUGGGCAAAUAGGAUCAUUUGUGUAUCCUUCCUUCAAUAAAUACUUACUGAGAUGAUUGUACCACAUUCGCCCAGAUUGUUUUAGCCCAUACAGUGAUCUUCUCAAUUUAAUUGAGAACAUGCCUCAUGGUUUAUUCCUAGCUGCUUCAGGCAGCUUAAGUCCUUCUAGGACUUUCAUGUAUAUAUCUAUAUCCAAUUCUCCAUACAUAUAUGCAGUAACGACAUCCAUAAGUCUCAUUUCAAGUUUUUCUGAAACCGUCAAGCUUAUCAAGUAACGGAACUUAAUUACAUCCAUUACUAGAGAGUAUGUUUCCACAUAAUCAAUUCCAGGUCUUUGUAAAAAACCUUGGGCAACAAGUCGCACUUUAAACCUUGCGAUCUCAUUUUUCUCAUUGAGCUUUCUUGUAACUACCCACUUGUAACCUACAAGGUUCACAUUGGGUGGAGUUGGAACAAUAGGUCCAAAAACACUCAUUUUUUUCCAAAGAAUUCAAUUAUGCAUGGAUUGCAUCUUUCCACUUAGACCAAUCUUGUCUUUGUGUGUAUUUAUCAAUGGAGCAAGGCUCAAUAUCAUCAUCUUUUAUGAUCUCAGUAGCCACUGAGAAUGCAAAUAUAUCAUCGAUAAUUAUCUCAUUUCUAUUCCACAAUUCAUCGUGAACGUAUAAUUUAUGGAGAUUUCUUGACUUUCACGUAUAGCUGCCAUUUCAGGGGCUCUUGUCUGACCGAUGACAUUUUCCCUUUUAAGAAGUACCUGUGCCUCUUCGUGGGCAUUUGAAUUAUGAAUUGUGGGCUCUCCAUUCACUUUAUUUGGAUUCAUUUUGGUCAUUGACUUCCUCUUUCGAGGGACUAAGUCCUUUGAGCCUACCACGCUUCAGGCGUGCAAUAGAUGAAUCAUUUGCUGGCUCAUUAUUUUGUCCAUUAUGGACAUCAAUUCUUGUAGGUGCAUUUGCAAUUGGGAUAUGUGAUUUCGUCACCUUUGUUACAUCAUUACAUGUAUAUGGCAUCUGAUUUGCAAUACUUUGGAGGUGAACGAUCCUUCUCACUUCAUUUUCACAUUGAGCUGUAUGAGGAUCGAGAUGAGACAAAGUGGGUACAUCCCACGAUAAUUCACUUCGUUCUUCAGGAACGAGUUUGCCUUGUUCUUUAGGAACAUAUUUUUCUCCUCCUUAAGUGGGAAAAUUGUCUCAUCAAAAUGACAAUCCGCAAACCGUGCAGUCAAGAUAUCACCCGUUAGGGGCUCCAAAUAUCUGAUGAUAGAUGGUAAAUCAAAACCAACGUAAAUUCCCAAUCUGUGUUGAGGGCCCAUCUUAGUACGUUGAGGUGGUGCAAUGGGCACAUAUAUCGCACAACCAAAAACUCUUAAAUGUGAAAUGUUUGGUUGUUAUCCAGCACGAGUUGUAUUAGAGAAUAUUGAUUGUUGGCAAUGGGCCUCAACCGCACAAGUGAUGCUGCAUGUAAAAUGGCAUAUCCCCAAGCAGAAAUUGGCAACUUUGUUUUCAUUGGCAAAGUGUGUGCUAUCAAUUGAAGACGCUUAAUUAAAGCUUCUGCCAAACCAUUUUGAGUAUGAACAUGAGGAACAGGAUGUUCAAUGUCAAUGCCUAGUGACAUGUAGUAGUCAUCAAAAGUCCGAGAUGUAAAUUCACCAGCAUUAUCGAGUCUGAUUGACAUAAUGGGAUAAUUUGGGAAUUGGGCUCGUAAUUUUAUUAUCUAAGCCAAGAGCCUAGCAAAUGCCAUAUUCCGAGUGGACAAAAGGCAAACAUGCGACCAUCGGGUAGAUGCAUCCACUAAGACUAUAGGGCAUGUUUGGUAAGCUUCAUUAGGUUGGACUAUGCUAAAUAAGCCUUGAAGCCCAUGUUUGGUAAAAUAAGGAAUUAAGUUAAAAGGGAUUGUGGAGUCCAACAGUAAAAAAACCUCCUCACUCGCUCUCCUUAUACAGAGAGGCUGAAAUUGCCUUCGCAAAAUAAGCCAUUCGCUAUAUUGAAACAGCGAGUCCAGCUCUCUCUCUCGUUCGCAACUCUGGCUCUUUCUCGGUCGUGACUCCAGCUCUCUCUCUCUCUCUCGUUCGCGACUGCUUCUUCGAAUCUUGACCAGGUAAAUUUUCUGGUCUCUAUUAUUCCUUCUUCCCCUUUGGGUCAAGUUCGAAUCUUGACCCAGGUAGUGAAAGUUUGGGUAUAGCCGUUUGUGUGGUUUUGCAGUGGUUAUUGUCAGAGUCUCUUAUUCCUUCUUCCCCUUUUGGGCAAGUUCGAAUCUUAACCCAGGUAGUGAAAGUUUGGGUAUAGCUGUUUGUGUGGUUUUGCUUUUGUUUUUGUCAAAGCUCUGGUUGUUGUCAAAGUCUACGUAUAGCUCUGGUUAUUGUCAAAGCUCUGGUUAUUGUUAUCAUAAACUCUCUCUCUUCACAAAUCAUGCGAUCAUAACAGAAUUAAUGGUUUGAAAUUGUUCUUAAUGAUCUGGAAUAGUAUGUUUCUUUUAAGCCCUCUUGUGUCAAGCAUAUGGAUUUUUGUCAUUCAUCUUGUUUUCUCAUGGUAGAGCACAAAGUUGCAUUUAGUUUCCUAUAAUUUUCACAUCAGCACUAGUUGAAUUAUUUUUUAAUUGUAAAUUGUUUCAGGUGGCGGACAAUUUCUAUAGACCUGAUUUGAAGAAAGCAGCUCUUGCCAGGGUGAGUGUUGGUCACAUGAGUCUCAAGGUCUCCAAGUCUGGUGUCAAGAAGAGGAAUAGGCAGGUUGUCAAGACCCCUGGUAGGAACAAGUGUUUUUUUUCUUCUUCUUCCAAUGUAUUAAUUUUUGAGAACCGAUGAUUGCUUCUGUACUUAACAUAGCUCUAACUGCAAACUGAAUUUUCAUCGCUUGUUAAUCUAAUUUUCAGUUCCGAAAGAGAAAAAGAAAAUUAUUGAAUUUGUAGUUUAAAGAUGUUUUAAUUUUAAACAGAAGUAAGAAUGAACCCAUCUACUUCAAUUGAAGUGGAACAAAACUUAUGUGUGAUAUAUCUGUCUUAUGUUUUAAAGUCAUUAUCUUGUAGGGAGCUGGUUCAUUAUGAGCUUGUUUACAAUUAUUCAGGAUCCAAGCAUGUAAUUUUCUACCUAUUAACUAAUAUGUUUUGUGGCCUGUUGCUUAUUUUUCUCGUGCUGCAAAUAUGUAACUCUUAGCUUUGAACAUGACUAGAUCACAGAAUCGUUGAAAAGAUGUGGCAUCUUUGAAAGCUCAACUUAUGUGCUUGCCGCUUGUUUUAAUUCUUCUUUUGAUGAGGUAAGAUCACUGAUGGACAUAUUUUAUAUUAUAUAUUUAACCUCAUUCUUAGUAUAUUUUGGUUAAUAUCUUGGAAGAAUUUUGAUACUUUGAAUUAUAUUUCCAAUAUAGGACUUUCGACUCUCUCUAGAGCAAAACAUAAUCAAAUUGAGGAAUUUUGGAGUAAUUCUAGUUGGAGGACGUUCUUGAGUCGCUUAGCUUGAUCGUACCAAAAUUUCAGAUUUUUCUUCCAAGCGGUUAUUUUCUGGCAACAAAAUAAAGGAGCAGUGCGCGGUGCUGGAAUAGUGACGUGCUGGGCUUUUAUUGCGUUUUUGGAGCCCAAGAUGACCUCGGAUGGGUUCGUGGCCUUCUAGAGAAGUGUUCAGAACAUUUUUAUCUUUAAAACAAGCUAUCUUGGGCCAGAUUUGAAGUUGAUAUUGGUGACUUCAAAAAGCUACUGGUCACUCGUGUGUUUCACAGGAUCAAAACCCACAACCACAGAAUUCCCAAGGCUUCCAAACUGGUCUUAGAGGAGAGACCUUUACUCUCAGCAAUAUUGAGAACACUGAGUCACCCAGGAACCACUUGACCAAUAAUCUUGCAAGGAUUGUUGUCAAGACCCAAUAUCCAUCUGAAGGUAAGAUUAAUUCCAGAAUUGGUUGUGGUCCUGAUUUGGGAGCUAUGGUUGAUGUAUAGAUGUGAGUUCUUUGUCCCUGCAAAUACUUACAUUAAUGUGCACUGUGUAGGAAAAAUGCAGAUCCAUGAGAGGGCAGUCAACACACAAGCGCAAAGGGCAUGGAAUCACAUGGGGGUGCCAAAGGUGGACCCGUGCAUCUGGUGAGUAUAAUUUCGAAUGCCUGCAAAUUGUGUGAUUGCUGCUGGGUGCAUGAUUCCAGCUGCUGCUGGGUGGAAGAUUCCAGCUGCUACUAGGUGCAAGAUUUCAGUAUAGGAUUUUCUGUUUUUGAUGCUUGCUGCUGAUGGUUGUGUCCUGCAUUGAGUCAUAAACGGCCUGCAUUGAGUCAAUUAUGUGUUAGGAAUAGAAAGAAGAAAAAAAAAAAACAACUAGAUAAAGAAAACAACAAAUUUUUUUUUGUUUUUUUUUUUUGUUUUGAAAAUAAAAGAAGUAAAGAGUUUAGAAAAAUUGGGUUGCCUCCCAAUAAGCGCGCUAUUUUAAGUCUGUAGCUAGACUUUGCAGAAGCCUGGUGGUCAAAUCACUGGUUCCUUCAGAGUCAAAGACUCGGCUGCAAUGUCAAAGGGUGUCUCCAUGUAGGGUUUCAGCCUAUGACCAUUCACCUUGAACGUGUUGCCUUUAUCUUCAUUAGUGAUUUGAACUGCUCCAUGAGGAAAAACUUGAGUCACUAGGUAGGGUCCAGUCCAGCGAGAUUUUAAUUUCCCUGGAAACAACUUGAGCCUUGAACUAAAUAACAGAACCUUUUGCCCUGGCUGAAAUUCCUUCCAUAAAAUUUGACUGUCAUGAAAUGCCUUAGUUCUUUCCUUGUAGAUGCGAGAACUAUCAUAAGCACCUUGACGAAUUUCCUCUAGCUCAUUUAACUGCAAUUUCCGCUUUUCCCCAGCUGAGUCAUAUGCAAAAUUUAACUCUUUAAUGGCCCAGUAAGCUUUAUGCUCCAGCUCCAUAGGUAGAUGACAGGCUUUCCCAUAAACAAGUCGGAAUGGUGACAUCCCAAUAGGAGUUCUAUAAGCUGUCCUGUAUGCCCACAAAGCAGCAUUUAGUUUGAAACUCCAAUCCUUGCGUGUAGAGCUCACUGUUUUCUCCAAAAUACGCUUUAUUUCUCUGUUUGAAACUUCAACUUGACCAGAUGUCUGUGGGUGGUAUGGUGUAGCCACGCGAUGAUUAAUCCCGUAUUUUGCCAGUAGGUUAGCAAAUGGUUUAUUAAUAAAAUGCUUCCCCCCAUCACUAAGAAUAACACGCGGUGAAGCCUUGAACCUUAACAUGAAUAUGUGAUUUUUAUUUAAUUGCUUAUGAUGAGUGCAUGCCUACUUGAAUUGUUAAUCACUGUUUUAAACUAUCUAAUUGUCUUAAUGCCUGAUCACUAUUAGGAUCUUUAGAAAAGUAAUUGGAUGCAAUUUUGGUCGGAAGGUUCCCUGAAAUUGAUGCUAGCUUCUUGUGAUUAAUAAUUGUAAUUUCACUUAAGAUGAACACCACGUCUUAAGGGUUGCAUGGUUUUUCAAAGGGUUUUCACAAAAGUUAAUGAGUCUUUCAUGUUCAGAUUUGAUCCGAACGUCCGGACGGGUUGCAUGUUGGAUAUACGUUCUGUGUUGGAGGUUCCAAGUAGAAUAUACAUUAGGAAAACCUAACCUUCAAAGUGGCAUGUGCAAAUCAUAAGUAAUUGGUAAAAGUUCAUAGGAUUGCUAGGUGAUGGUGAAACCCUAGUGUUUUUAUAAAUUGAUAUUCAAAACUCUUUCUUUCAAUCGUAUUUGUUUUUGUUUAAUAUUUGUUUUUUAGAAUCAACCAAAUUUAGAAUCAUCUUUCUUGACUUUUUAUUUUAAGUAGUAAUUGGAAUUUGUUUUUACAUAAAUUGCUAAUUAGUCCUUGAGGAAAACGACCUUGCAUGAGCAUCUAUACUACAAUAGCCUUGUAUUCUUGCAAGUAUUUUAUGUGAUUUUAACACUGUUUGCACAAGUACUAAAAAUCCUAUCAAGAAAUUGGCGCCGUUGCCGGGGAUCGAACCCGGGUCACCUGCGUGACAGGCGGGAAUACUUACCACUAUACUACAACCAUAGCUCCCAAAUCAGGACCACAACCAAUUCUGGAAUUAAUCUUACCUUCAGAUGGAUAUUGGGUCUUGACAACAAUCCUUGCAAGAUUAUUGGUCAAGUGGUUCCUGGGUGACUCAGUGUUCUCAAUAUUGCUGAGAGUAAAGGUCUCUCCUCUAAGACCAGUUUGGAAGCCUUGGGAAUUCUGUGGUUGUGGUUUUGAUCCUGUGAAACACACGAGUGACCAGCAGCUUUUUGAAGUCACCAAUCUCAACUUCAAGCUUGGCCACAUGGGAUUCCAAUUCUUUGACAAUUCAAGUGAGCAUCCAAUAGCUGGCGUCCUUUCCAAUCUGGGUUGGGAAUCAAGCAGAUGGUGUAAUUUCAAAAAAAAAAAAAAAAAAAUCAGUUCUGGGGUUCGACAGUUUACCUACGAGAUGCACAGAUCUGGGGUACUUACUGGUGGAGAAUAGACCCUUGUUCAGCUUCAGCUUGUUUUCAUCUUGGAACAAGUUAGCAUCUGGUGACAUGGAUUGAGACAGAUCUGAAUUUGAGGAAUCCAGGGACUCCAAAACCAUCCAAAAAUUCAGGAAUCCAGGGAUCUGAAUUUCAUCUUGUGUUUGCUGCAGAUGUGGCCUCCUCACACAGAUGAAAAUGCUGGUGUAAUUGGGUUGAAAGAGAGGAAAGGAUCGUGAGUGUUGGAGAGAAUGAAGAAGAGCGAAGGCGGAGAUGGAUGGUCUUGAGAAGAGAGAAAUCAGAGAUCUUUUCUGAUUCUCUGGACACAGCGAGAGGCUUUGGUUUCUCCAAGCAAUAUCAUUUUUCUUCUGCAAAAUGGGAAUGGACAGAAGAGAGCCUUUCAGCUCUGGGCUCGGGCUAGGAGAAGGGAAUCCAAUAUUUUUUUCAAAUGACAGAUGCAGCAGCUAGACCAGGUUAUAUUGUAGCUGUCGCUCAUAUUCGACGCAAGUGUGGACGUGGUUGAGAUGGUCAGCGCUCUUUGCAUCCCGCUCCAGGUCCUGCCUUCGACUCACCGCAGCGUCACCUCCACAUCCCUGGUUUGUUCAUUUUUUUUCUUAUUUCGUUUUGGUUUUUUUUUUUUUCUCUUUUUUUUUUUUUCCUGUUUCUGUUUUAUGUUCUUUUUUUUUUUUUUUUUUCUUAUUUAUUUUUCUCUCCUAAUUACUUCUUUAGUUGUUUCCUUUGUUUAUUUUCAACACCUUGGGGACAAAGUGUGAUUUAAGUUUGGGGGUGGGAAAGUAAAUUUUAUAUUUUUCAUUUUUUUUGAGUCUUGUUUAAAAAUUUUCGUUUUUUUUUCAGUCAAUAUCCAUAGAUUAUUUUAAACGUUAGAACAAAUAGACAUGGUGAAAAUCAAUCCCACAGUAGAGUCUUUUCUAUUUAUUGUUGCUUAGACACUAAUUCAUGAAUUAUACUUUGAAAUUUGCACAUCACACCAACAUGGUUUUUUUGGGGAGUGAGAUUGGAAUACUUACUUUUUGUCCAAGUGUGUUUUAAUUUCUGUUCAAUAUAAAUAAAGUUAGUAUGUGUUAUAAAGUAAUAAUUGCCUCACCCGAAACUUUGCUAGUAACCGGGCCAGUCCUGCCUAAUCAGCAGUGAUUCUCGAGACAAAAGGUAGAGUUUUGGCAUGAGGCAGGGUGGUUAGUUGGUUUCGUAGCCUUUUCAGCUUGAGUUAAUAAGUCUUUAGGGGUGUUCUACACCUAGUGCCCUAAAACCCGAGUGGUUUGGGAGACAUUGACCUAAAGUUGGCUACACGGUUGGAUCGAAAGCUUAAGGGAACCAACAUUGCACAACCACUACUGUUACUAUAAAAGAAAAAAAAAAGUGUGAAGUAUGAAUAAAAGGGAUGAGAGUUAAGGGUUUUAGUCGAGUCUCCAUAACCAUAAUGGUUCACUUUACACCGAAAGAAGUUUGUGAAUUCUUUUCUAAUUGAGUCUAAAUAGCUUAGACUUUGUGGUGGGAUUAGUUGGAUCUAUUGAAAGGAUGUUCUAGUUUUUAAAAUUUUCUAUGGAUUGCAACUUGAAGAUGGAAAUUUUGUCCUAGUUAAGUGUUAGCCAGAUGUCUAAUCUGUUAAGUUUUUAUUUGAGUCUUGUUUCGCUUGAGGACAAGCAAAAGCUAAGUUUGGGGGUAUUUUGAUGGACAUAUUUUAUAUUAUAUAUUUAACCUCAUUCUUAGUAUAUUUUGGUUAAUAUCUUGGAAGAAUUUUGAUACUUUGAAUUAUAUUUCCAAUAUAGGACUUUCGACUCUCUCUAGAGCAAAACAUAAUCAAAUUGAGGAAUUUUGGAGUAAUUCCAGUUGGAGGACGUUCUUGAGUCGCUUAGCUUGAUCGUACCAAAAUUUCAGAUUUUUCUUCCAAGCGGUUAUUUUCUGGCAACAAAAUAAAGGAGCAGUGCGCGGUGCUGGAAUAGUGACGUGUUGGGCUUUUAUUGCGUUUUUGGAGCCCAAGAUGACCUCGGAUGGGUUCGUGGCCUUCUAGAGAAGUGUUCAGAACAUUUUUAUCUUUAAAACAAGCUAUCUUGGGCCAGAUUUGGAGGAGAUUUGGGGCCAAAACGUGGCUGGGCAGAUUUUGGGCAGAUUCUCCUAUUCCAAUUUGGACUUUAUUUCCUAGUAUUAUUUUAUUUAAUUAGUUUCCUUGUGGGGAUAGAAACGAUGUACAUUGGCAGCUAGGUUUUAAGGGGUAUUUAAGCUCUUUCUCACGAGGAAUUGAGGACUCCCUUUUUCACUUUUGAACUUUGUAUUUGUGGAGAGCAAUUGCUAGGGUUUUGGGUUUUCACAAUUUUCAGGUGUUUUCGUUCUUUUCUUCUUAAUGAUAUUUUCUUGGAUUUCAAUUAUGAGUAUGCGUAACUAAAUUUCUUUUGCUAGGGUGAAGCCUUGAACCUUAACAUGAAUAUGUGAUUUUUAUUUAAUUGCUUAUGAUGAGUGCAUGCCUACUUGAAUUGUUAAUCAUUGUUUUAAACUAUCUAAUUGUCUUAAUGCCUGAUCACCAUUAGGAUCUUUAGAAAAGUAAUUGGAUGCAAUUUUGGUCGGAAGGUUCCCUGAAAUUGAUGCUAGCUUCUUGUGAUUAAUAAUUGUAAUUUCACUUAAGAUGAACACCACGUCUUAAGGGUUGCAUGGUUUUUCAAAGGGUUUUCACAAAAGUUAAUGAGUCUUUCAUGUUCAGAUUUGAUCCGAACGUCCGGACGGGUUGCAUGUUGGAUAUACGUUCUGUGUUGGAGGUUCCAAGUAGAAUAUACAUUAGGAAAACCUAACCUUCAAAGUGGCAUGUGCAAAUCAUAAGUAAUUGGUAAAAGUUCAUAGGAUUGCUAGGUGAUGGUGAAACCCUAGUGUUUUUAUAAAUUGAUAUUCAAAACUCUUUCUUUCAAUCGUAUUUGUUUUUGUUUAAUAUUUGUUUUUUAGAAUCAACCAAAUUUAGAAUCAUCUUUCUUGACUUUUUAUUUUAAGUAGUAAUUGGAAUUUGUUUUUACAUAAAUUGCUAAUUAGUCCUUGAGGAAAACGACCUUGCAUGAGCAUCUAUACUACAAUAGCCUUGUAUUCUUGCAAGUAUUUUAUGUGAUUUUAACACUGUUUGCACAAGUACUAAAAAUCCUAUCAAUCACUCUGAAAGUUGUGGUAGAUCAAGCCUUGCAUUGCUUCAGGAUAUCAGAAAAUGUUAGCCAUUUUGACUUUAAUAAUUUUUGUUGAAUACUAGAUUGAACAAAAAGCAGUAGAGAAACUAUCAACAAAAAGCAGUAGAGAAACUAUCAAUGGAAAAGAGAUUGACUUGGAGGAGUUGGGAGGUAGAGUAGACCAAGCCCAAAUACAAAAGGUACACUCUUGAUCACUUUUCUAACGGCAAUUAUUUUUGUUCUGAUUUUGUCUAGUUAAUGAUCAUCAGCUCUAGUAAUUUUCAGCAUUAUAAGAUAACUAGCAUGGAACUAGGGAUAUCUUCUCUUGCUGAUGCCAUUACUUGAUGGAUUGCCUCUCGUGAUGCCUUGUGAGAAGAAUGACGUUCAUGUUCUGGGAAUUUAGAGCUUCAUUUGAAGGUGGCCAAGGAAACAGAAAACCUGUAGCUUACUAUUCUUGUUUUAGCAAUUUCAAUUGUCGAGUGUAAUAUGUAAGUAUACUUGUAGGCAAAGGUGAAAUUUGGAAAACGUGAUUAUGCUACCUAUACCCAGCAAUGAGCCAAUGACAAAAUUUGCUUGAAAUCGUGGUACUAGUUUAGUUGUGAGAUUGCUUGUAUGAGAAAAAUUCAAUUGUUGAUCAUUAUUGGUUUCUUGGAUAGUUGUAGACUUACAUAUCUAUUAGUGGGGAAGAUGCGUCAUCUUUCUACUAUGUUCAUGUGGUGUUUCUAAUUUUACUUUUCCAAGUUCAGAGAGACAUGAUUUCCCAUUUUAUAUUUAUCUCCAGAAGACUCUAGAAACUUUUGCCUUUUAAUGAGAAAGGGAAGCUCCCUAUUUGUUUUUUAUCACCAAAUUUUGCUGAGGAUUGAUUUGGUAAUACUAUGCUCUAAUAUGUAGUUUUCAGAAAUGUCUUAGUCAUAGAGUUUUAGAUGCAACUCUUGUUUAAAUCCUAAUUCUAGUUUACCAGGUUAAAUGCAAGAUAUAAAGAAUGUUUGCCUAUAUUUUUGUCAUAAUUUCCUGAGUUAUCUAUUUUAUCCUCAGCCAACAUAUUUUGGUAUAAUAACAUAAUAUCACCUGGUAAAGAUUCAAUUAAUUAAAUUCUUUAUGUUUGCAUACAAAUAAAGACUACAUCAUGCAUAAAAUCGGUGGAAUUUAUAAUUUUAACAACAAAUAAAAAGCUUUUGGUUUGGAGGAAAGAAAUGUACAUGUCAAUUUGGUAAUUAUAAUAACAAAAAAAUUACAUUAAUUAUUUAAAAAUUAUUAUUUUUAAAUAUUAAAAUAAUUAUUUUUUAGUCCGACACAGCACUAAACAUAGGUCUUCACUAUUUUUACAAUCCAGUUUCUUAGUCCGACGCAGCACCAAACAUAGGUCAGUACUUAAUCCAGCUUAGGCCAAUCCGAGCUAAUCCGAGACAGUCCUAGGAUUUAGUCCAGUCCAUGACAGUCCGCCGUGACAAACGACCCCAUAAAGUACUGAAAUGAUCAACAGGGAGGAUGAAUAGGCCCACAAAUGUCCCCUUGGAUUCUCUAUAAAAAUCAUGGGGAUUCAACAUCAACCUUUGAUUGUGAUGGUCUGAUCACCAACUUCCCUUGUGAACAAGCUUGGCAAGAGCUGUCACUUUAUGCCAUAAUGUGUUUUCUCAACAAGGGAUGUCUAUUAGAGUUGGUGAUGAUCCUACGCAUCAUAGUGGAUCCAGGAUGACCCAACCGAUCAUGCCAAAGCUUAAAAGUAUUUGAAUCAAUGGGCUUCUGGUCCACGACAUUAUGUGCCUCAAUUGUCCAUAUGGUUGUAUAGUACAACUCUGAUGAGAGCACACAAAGCUUCUCCAGUAUACGCUUCUAGGUAUCACUGGAGGUAAUGCAAAGAUAUUACAUGUUUUCCUCAUUCUUUGUUUCAACAUGGUAACCAUUCAAACGUAUAUCUUUGAAACUCAAUAGAUUUCUUCUAGAGUUAAAUGAAUACAAGGAAUCUUGAAUAGACAGUAUUGUUCCAUUUGGUAACAUGACUUGGGCUGUUCCUGAGCCUUCAAUCAGAUCUGCAGGACCUGAUAUGGUUGUUACCUGUGCUUUUGUAAGCAUCAAGUUUGAGAAAUACUUUCGAUCUCGAAGGAUUGUGUGAGUAGUCGCACUGCCUGUGAGACAAAUAUCUUUGCUAUAGCUCUUGUUUUGGGGGCAUCCAUAAUGUAUAUCCAUGCCUUCAAAUAAAUAAAAUAAGUUGAAUCAAUAAACAAUUAUUCAAUGUAAAGAAAACAUUGCCACUUUUAUUGGAUUGAAAUGAAAAUUAAAAACAAUACUUCAGAUAAUACAAAUGGUACAUUUAGAAAUUUAAUCUAAUUCAGACCCAUAAACUUCAUUCUCUCUUUCAGAAACAAAAUCAGAAACAUCCAGAUGCGUCUUGUCUAACUGACACGAUAUUUACGAUAGGCCAUUUGUGGCUGGCGGAUUUGGUAUAGUAUGAUCAAUGUAAUUUAUCUCCACUUUCCUGUUCUUAAGUGAAGUUUGAUAGAGAUCCGCCAAAUGCUUCGGCAUACGGCAUGUACGCGCCCAAUGUCCCUUUGCACCACAUUUGUGACAAGUGCUUUUAACAUUUCUAGGCACAUGGCUUAUCUGUGCUUUCCCCUUAUUCCGGGAUGCAUUUUUGCCAUUCGUGAAUGGAUUACUCCUUGGACCCAAGCCAUAUGAAUGAGCACCACGAUCUUUUCUACUCCCUUGCCAGUGGGCAGGCUUGCCUCCUUACCCACGUUUGUGGAUAUUGCCACGAGAUGAGGUAGCAUUCACUUCCUGAGAUGUAGCAUUUACUUCAGGAAGUGGUGCUAAGCCAGUUGGGUGAUAUUGGUGAUUCUUCAAUAAAAGCUCAUUAUUCUGCUCAGCUAACAAAAGGCAAGUUACAAGUCCUGAGUACUUCAUUAAACCACUAUGCCUAUAUUGCUGCUGCAGGAGGACAUUUGAGGCAUGAAAGGUACUCAGAGUUUUCUCGAGCAUAUCCUCCUAAGAUCCCGAGCGUCUACCAUUAUACCUACAAUGAUCGGGCAUACUAUUGCUAUCCAUAAUGGAAAUGAGCAUUUGCCUAUUUAUAUAACGGAUCAUAUGGUAGGACAUAAAUUGGGAGAAUUUGCACAUACUCUAAAUUUUCGAGGGCAUGCGAAAAAUGAUAAUAGAUCUCGUCGUUAAUAAUUAAUUAUGAAAUAAUAAAAUAUAAAUGCUUGUCGUUCAUUAAUGAGAGGUGAACCUUAUGAUUAUGAUAAAGAAGAGAAAGGCGAACCAAUAUACAGAAGUAUAUGCCCUAGGCCAACAUAUAUGUUUUCACCACACAACUUCAUCAAUGAGGUGAUUCUGUGCAUAGGUGAGUUGUACUCAGACAUUGUCUUGAAAUCUUGAAAUCUCAAGUGUGUCCUUUCGUAUCUAGCUCUUGGGAGGGUCACCGUCUUCUGGUGAUUGUACCUUUCACAUAAAGCUUUCCACAGAACCAACAAUUCAUCAACCACCACAUAUUCGCUUUUCAGUGCUUCAUGAAUGAGACGAUGAAGAAAAAUCAUGGCCUUUGCGUUUUCUUCAGGCAAAGCAUCACUCCCAUCUACAAUUGUUUUUCCAAGGCCAUUGGCACGUAAAUGGAUCUUGGCAUCCAGGACCUAUGAUAGAUAGUUGUCCCCAAAGAUGUCCAAGGUAGCAAAUUCCAGCAUUGCCAAGUUUGCCAUCUUUAAAAAAAAAAAAAAAAAGAUGCAUUAGAAUUUGCAAUAAUCUUCAGGCUUAACAUAUUUUUGAACUUCAUGCCAAAAAUAUCUUGCACAUUUUACCCGAAACUUUAGGCUCGGGAUUUGGGACAUUAAGCCAUUUAUUAAUAGGAACUCCCUAUGAUUGUUUGAGGAACUUUAGACUCUCAUUAUUCAUGUAUAUUAAUUGAUGAUAAAAAUAAAGUGCUAUAAAUUUGCUGGUAUGGACGAUAAACCCGCAUCAUACUUCAAAUGAAAGUAAAUGUGCAAUACAGUAAAUUGCUUGUUGUAUGGACGUUAAUCCCGUAUCAUACCUUAAAUAAAAGUAAAUGUGCAGUAAAGUAAAUUCAUAAAGUAAAUUGCUUACUGUAUGGACGUUAAUUCUGCACCAUACCAUAAAUAAAAGUAAAUGUGCGGUAGAGUAAAUUCACAAAGUAAAUUGCUUGUUGUAUGGACGUUAAUUUCGCACCAUACCUUAAAUAAAAGUAAAUGUGGUUGUAUGGACGAUAAAUCGCGUCACACUUAUAAAUACUGUUGUAUGGGUAAUAAACCUGCACCAUACAUAAAUAAAGUAAAUGCGGGGAUAAAACCACCAUGUAAUAUAUAUGAAGUAUAUAACAUGUUAUAUACUGUGGGCAAUAUAACUGCGCUACUAUUCAAUAUAUAAUAAGAUGGGUUUUAAGAUCACACCAUCAUUUUAUUACCAUCAUUUGUGUUACAAAGUGAUGGGUAAUGAAAAUGACACCACCAUAAAAUAACAGGAUGAGGUAUAAAACCGUAACAUUCCAAAUUACAAAAUAAAAAAAAUAAAUUAAACAAACAUGGAUGAAACAACAUAAAAAUUGUGAGAACACAAAAAAAAAAAGUUUGCAUGUCAUCGUAGUAGUAAAGUGAGAGGAGAUAUAUGACAGAGAGGAGACAGAGAAAUAACCACAUAGUGUUGAGCUGAGAAAAUUUAAAAGUAAAUGGGAGAGACCAUCAUGCUGAUAACGUGUUAUAAAAAUAAAAUAAUCAGAGUAUAGGAAGUACCACUGAAUAUUGGGAGUAGAAUUAUAUUUGCUCUUUGUGGUGUUUACACUGAUAGAAUUUCUUCUCAGAUAGAACUCACUGACACUCAGAUUUCUCACUCUCUCUUCUUUCCUCUCACUCUUCCUUUCUUCUCAUCACUUCUCUGCUCUUCUCCGUUGGUAUAUCUUUGCAAGUAGAAAGGAUGCCUAUUUAUAGGCAAAGCAAAGGGCACCUGUGAGUCAUAAGAGAGACAUCAUGAUGCUUCUAUCCAACAUCAUUAUUAACUUUUUGACUAAUAUCUCCUUCUUUUCUUCAGGUGGGCUACAUAAAUGGGGAAGGGAUCUGCUAUCUUUAUUUUUAAUGUCCCUUCAUGUCCCUUAUAUAAUUUGUUGAAAUGUGGCCACUCACUUAACCCCAAUAUUAACACUGUUAACUUUACUUUCAAUAAAAUAAAAUUACAAGAAAUUAAACCCUAAACAAAACAAACAGAAGUCACAAAGUUCCCCAUCCAAUACCCAACCUUGACAGCCCCAAACCUCGCUGGUUCCAGCCCCCUCACCUAAGCCAUACACAACCUCCACCCUGCUGCCCACUUCUCUUCCACUACCACCUCCUCCUCUUCUUCCCUAUCUCCCUUCAAAUUUGGGUUUCUCAAUUGAGAGUACUGGUAUAUGGUGAUUUUGUGACUGAGGGAGGAGGUCAGGGAAGGGGAGGAAGGGGAAGUGGCAUGAACGUCAUGAGGGGUGGUGGCUGCUGCUGCUAUAGUGUUGGUUUUUUCUUUCUAAAUUUUAUUAAGUUAACAGUGUUAAUUCAGGGUUAAGUGGAUGGACAUGUGUCAAACAAUUAGACAGGGGACAUAAAGGUACAUGUAAUUUGGGGACAGCAGAUCCGCUCCCACAUAAAUGACAUUCAAAUAUGCAAGCGGGGACAAUUAAAAUUGGAGCGAUUAGAUGAGCAAGGAUGUAUAGUCAAGCCUGUGACACACACAAAGAAGAAACGGCCAUAGUCGCAACGACAGCGGCCACAGUCGCGUUGCCACCAUCUGGUCUAUCCUGUCACUCCAACUUUCGGUUACGACAACAACUGGCUAAUCGUGACUAGCCGGUCCUCGCCACGAAGAAAAACCAAGAAAAAAAAAAAGAAUUUGACCUACCUUGGUAUGCACGGCGACUCCUAUCCUCGAUAAACAGUACACUCCUUCAAGAUCUUUCUUACAAGUUAGAAAGUAGAGGAUGAUAAGUUUGCCAUUUGAAGAAGAGUGAAGAGAAGCUUUGUAUUUAUAAAGGUUGGGCAUCCUAGAUCAAGGAGGAAUCACAAGUCUAUUCCCAUUGGGAGUCCAACUAUAAGAAGAAGUUAAAAGCCUACUCCAAUUAGAAGUCCAACGCACAAAAGGAGCCCAACUCAAAGAAGAAAGUCCAGAUGCAAUUGGAAAGCCUGAUAAAUAUUUGUCUCCUCCAUAGCUCACAAACGCUAUGCAGAAGCUGGGUGGCAUUGGUGAAAACAUAUAUUUCACCAACUAAUAAGAAGAUAACACGUUAAAAAUGAAUAUUCCUUAGAUGAACUAAUUACUCUAAUUAAACUAUCUUUGAUUUAAGAUAGGAAUAUCUCCCUAAAUCAAGGAUCCAAUUUCCACCAAAUCUCUUAGAGUAAUUCCUAUAAUCUUUUUAGGGAAAGAAUAAUCCUAACCAAAUAAGGAUUAUUCUCCCAAAAUCCUAGCUAGCACACAAGGAGACUAUAAAUACAUAGCUACACAAGACAUUCAAGGCAAUUCUAAAUUCCUCUUUAAAUUCUAAAACCCUACAGAAAUUCCUCACUCUCUAUCUCUCUCGCCGCCCCCUCACUCUCUCUCUCACACGGCUAAGCGCCAUUACACACGGCUAAGGCCACCCGACUCUCCAUGUGAGAGAAAACUUCAUCCACUUUAGCUAUUAUCGUAUCUUAUCAAGAUCCAAUUGAGUUAACUUAGACAUCGGAAGGCCUUUGGCCAACACCCCCAGGUGUGAUCUAUUUACUCAUAUUUAUUUUACAAGGAUAGAGAAAGAGAGAGAAGGAAGAUUGAAGAUUAAGAAAUUAACCUGCGAAUAUUCUCCCGUGCGAAAUUUUGCUCAAACAACUAAAGCUAAAAAUUGAUAUAUAACUAACUACCUCAAUCUUUUUUGCAUUCAAAUUCAUAAAUUUGAGUUCCAGUUAAAUAAAUUUUUAAUUUUUUAUCAAGUGAAACCCUAAAUAAAUAAAAUAAACUUCUGAUAAGAAUAGGUGAACGGCUUGCCAGAAUUAUCAGAAAGACUUUUGAUUAGGUAUUCAUGACGUGGUGGGAAAAAUGGAGAGCCGGGAAGCUGACCCCACAAGGCCAUUUAAAACAGAAAUAUGUCUUUCAGAGUAGGGUCUAAUCUGUAAGAAUAUGGAUAUGGAGUCAGCAGCAGAUCACCUUCUCCAAAAGUUGUGGUGAAAUGAGCUCCAGCUAAGAUCAAAUGUUUUUUCUCUUUUUUUUUUUUCAAACUCAUUUUUCUCGUCCAUUUGAUUUGCCACACGGUAUUUAACUAAGAAUAUUGUUCGAAAUUUAUAAACUUAUAGUAGUUCGUUGGUCAGAUUCAUGUAUGAGAGAAAUGUGAAUAAAUUAAUUUAGUGGUUCAUGAUUCAUGCAUCUAAUUUUUUUUUUAAAAAUAAUAUAAACGAUAUUAAGAUAAGGGAGAAUCGAAGCUAUCGUGUAUAUCAUAUUAUGUUGAGAGGGAGAGGACACUAAUUUUGAAGGUAUUUGAUGUAAUGUAGAAUUUAAGAAGAUUCAAAGUUUCCAUUACAGGCUAAUGGUCGUACAUGUUUCUACUCGAACACCAAAACAAAGAGUUAGUCUCCAUAUAUUAUUUUGUUCAUAAUUUAGCUAACCCUGCCCCCAACAAACAUGAGAUAGACCAAAAUGUAAAUUUGUUUUCAGAAAAAUUGGCAAAACUCAUCAUGUAGCAAUCUGUGUUCUGAGCAACUUUUACCAUUUCAAAAUUUUCCAGAUGUACAAGGAACAAACUGAUACAAUUUUUUUUUUCCCCAUUUUUCCUUUAUACUAUCGUUAAAUGAAAAUUGAAACGAAAUAAUGGAAAUCCAGUAUCAUUUCCUAGUCAGUGUUUUUUUAAGAGCAAGAAAUGAUGUUCCAUUAAAACCUUAAAACAGUACAGAGCAAGAACCAGUAUGUUAAUGACUGUCUCGUUAAAAUUUUCCCGGAGAAAACCAUGUGGAACAAAAUUCAGAGUAACCCAUGUUAUCGACUAACAAAAGAGUCAAAACUCACACAAACAAAUCUCACCCAUUUCCUGGUCAGUUGAGUGUAUUCAAAUUCUUGGAUAGUUAUUAACUAUAAAUAAAAUGAGAAUUUUCUUUUAUAAUUUUUUAACGGUGAUAGCGAUAGGGAUUCGAACUUGAUACUCUUCCAAGUACAAACUAGACUACCAUGCGAAUUAUUCCAAAUCCCAAUCCAUUAUUGCCUCUGAAAGGGAAUGCAGAAAACGUUGUACACAUUACAACAACAUUUGGACACAACAUUGGCAUGAAGUUAUAUUAUAAAUAACCUAAAAGAAAAAAGAGAGACAGCAUGCUUCAUAGCAUCAAAAUACACUUAGUUAAACAGCAUCACUAAACUAAGCACAGAAAAGAAAUUAACAACAAGAAAGACGAGAAAAAAACACAAGAACAGAAAAAAAAAGGAACCAUUCAAGUUCCAGAAGGUCUGGGGGUGGGGGGCUUCUUGUUGGGCGCAGGAGAGUGAGUGGAAGAUUCUUGCCCAUGCGCUUUUGGUGGUGAGUUUUUUGAGCUCUCAGUUGUAGUAGUUGUUGCAGUGCCAGCAGCAAGUAUGGUGCCUUGGGCCAAGUCAUGGAGGUCGUCGCCGGCUAUGAACUCCGGCGGGAGGACCUGCGAGGGCUGCCGGCGGUGACGAGACUCACGUGACAUUGGCAAAUUAUUGCUUCUCUUUAUGUUUCAGAGAGAGAGAGAGAGAGAGAGAGAGAGAUGAAGGCAGAAGAAGUGGUGAGGUUUUGGUUUUGUUGGUUGGUGGUGGGUUUGUGAGGAGAAAUUGGUGAAUGGGCGGAUUAUUUAUUUAUGAUGUCGGGAGGGGAGUGAGUGGGUCUCUCUCUCUCUCUCUCUCUCUCUCUCUCUCGCGUGGAAGGAGUGAUUUCAUUCUGCCCUUCACGUGCCUGGCCACUCAAUAUCAGUCACGCCUACUUUUCGGUCAAACUUGUCUUUUCUUAUAGUAAUUAUGUUUCUAACCAUGCAUGGAGGCAAUCAACUUCAUCUUGUUGGGCUCCUAAUAGGCGAAAAUGAUUUAUUAGAUAUUAUGGAUUACUGGUUACGGAGGGACCGUUUCGUUUUUGUAGGUUGGUCUGGCCUAUUACUCUUUCCUUUAUUAGAUAUUAUGGAUGACUGGUUACGGAGGGACCAUUUCGUUUUUGUAGGUUGGUCUGGCCUAUUGCUCUUUCCUUGUGCCUAUAAAUCCCCAUCCUCUUCUCUUGAUUCCUCAACUCUUCUAAACAACAAAAUACUUCUUUCCCCAAACAAAACUAAAAAAAAAAAACCGUUAUAAUUUAGAUUUUCUUUGGAAGGGCUCAAUGUUGGAGCUUUCGAGCUUCAUUACUAGUAGUAUUGUAGAUAAACUCAAUGAUAUGUUAAUGGAAUAUAUAAUGUGCACUAGAGGAACUAUUAAGGCGUAAGGAGGUGCAGUUGCACCUCUUUUCGCUUGAAAAGUCAUUGUAGGUGUUGAAUAUUGCACUUCUGCUCAGCCUAGGAGACACACUCUAGGUGUUUGACUAAAAGCCUAAACGAAGUCUGUGUUGCUUUGUUGUGUUGCGCUGCACUGCUGCACGCAUUGCCCUUGUUUUUUUUUUGUUUUUUGUUUUAAAUCCUGACCAAAACGACGCCAUUUUGGAUCAGAAUUUAAUAAAUAAAUAAAUAAGAAAGAGGAAACCUGGGCUGCCAUUUCAUGGGCUUUAACCUAUUUCUAUCUAUGGCAUGCAUAUAAAAGGACAAAAGGCUUUAAACAAGGGCUUUUAACAACAAGGCUUUCUUUUUCUUCUACAACAAUUGUAGGUUAUUUGUAAUGCUAUUUUUUUUCUAUGACUUAUGAAUGAUAUUGGUAUUGUUUAAAUUAUAAGGAUAUUUGAUUGUCAAUUUUUUAUAUAUAAAGCUUUUAACCUUUCAAAAUUACACAUCCGUUAAAAAAUUCAUGAGUCCGCCAGUGAUGAUGUGAGUUGCUUAUUUCAUAUUAGGUGGGCCCAAUAUCUAUUAUGUAUUGGGUUCUUAUUACUGGUUUUGGACGGAUUUCUAUUUGUGUUGAGAUUAGGGCUUUUCCUUGAUGGGUGGAAAAUCUAAUUGAGACACUAUAUAAGUAAGGUCUCCUCACUAGUAACUACACGAAUUAUUGUUAUAUAUCUCCAUUGUAGUUGUGCACACUGAUUAGUGAGAAAGACUUUGUUGGUGCAGUGUCAGAUUAUUAAGGAUGAAUGCUCCUUCUCAAGUUAAUAUCUUAUGUUGUAUGAAUAUCGUACUCGUACUAACUCAAGUCAUCAUAGACUAGAAAAAUUAGGAGGAAAAUUAAGAAUAAUAUAGUUUCUCUUACUUGUCCCUCGAUUUAAAAAUGAAUCUCUUGGCAAUUGAAUUGAUAAAAUGUGAUUAAAAUAAAUUUUAAAAGAAUGGUAUAUGAUGACUUUUUGGAAAUGCAAAUAAGACUUCCCCGAUUUUAACGUAUUAUUUUAGUCAGUCCUGAUCUUUUAGACUACAGGAGUCCAAGAGAUUGUGGUCACCCACCAUUGGAUAUUAAAAAAGUUUCUUAAAAGGAGUGCAAGAGUGAGUGAUCCGUUGAAUUUACAUCCAACGGUGAGUGACCACAAAUCUCUUGGACCCCUGUAGUCCAAGAAAUCAGGAUUGUUAUUUUAGAAUCAUAAAUAGUAAACAUGUGUGUGCACAUUCUCUUUUUAACCGUACUUACACUUUUCGUUGAAAAAAUAACAUGUUGAUUGUUAGGUCUAGGGUUGCCUUUCAGUCGAAAAAUCGACGAUGGAGCUUACCAAAACCAAAAUAGGAAAUUUCGGGUUUCUUCAAUAACUUCGAUUUCAUUGGAAAUAUUGACAGUUUUUAUCUUUCUCUUUGCGGUAGGACAUAUCUUAUUUAUUCUACCUUAUCUCCUUCUCAGUGAUAUGCCAAAAGCCUGAAACCAAUAUCACAAGGUACCCUUACGGAUAUACCGCGGGUGACAAGCAUUACAUUCCAAAACGCAGUAAAUUAGGACGAUGCAGUUGUAUGUGGAGCCCUUCCAUGAAUGGCUACUAUUAAUUUCAUUGCCGAAUUGCACAGAUAUUUUAUGACUUUUCAGUUUGGACCAGUCAAAAAUCUGGUGAGACUUGACCCCUAUAUUGGCAUGCAUUUGAAAUUAGGGCUUGGCAGGACAGGGUGCUUAACCUAAUUCAUCUAUGAUCUUAAAACGGAUGCUAAUUAAAAUGUUCUUUACUGAUGGAACUUCUUGACGGUGGGGAUCAUGCUUCCAAAGAAAAUUUCGAUGAUGUUAUUUACUGCAUUUUCUCGAAUUAUCCACACCCAAAAAAGAAGAAGAAUAGUUGAUCAUUAUGCAUGCUAGAAUAAGUAAUGGACUUAUUACAAAUUCCGGAAAAAUUAAUUAUAGAAAUAAUUGAUGUCUUGCCCUAUUGUUCAUUUAAAGUUACCACUUUGGAAUAGAGUUUUAAUUUAGAACCUACUUUUAGUUUGGCGAAGCAAAUUAUCGAGGGUAUGGCUGCUAAAGAAGGCAUUGCUUUUGUAGUGAGCGCUGAUUAAUUAGAAAGUGAUUUUCUUUGAAAGGGCUUGUAACUCAAAUUGGUUAAUAGCAUUUACUCUUACAUUUGAAAUUCUAGGUUAGAUUCCCUCAUCUUCCAACAUCGCUUGUGUAAUUAAAAAAAAGUAAUUCUUUUUAUAUCAUUUCUGCUAUAUUUAUCACUCGGAUUCUAUUUGUACUAUUUUUCCUUUUUGAACUGGGAAUUCUAUUUGUACUUCUGUGGGGUUGUUUAUGUUAGGAAAUGAGGACCUUUAAGACUUUACAACUAUUGGAUAAAUUAUUUUGGAAAAAAAAAAAACUAUUGGAUAAAUUCAUGAUAAUAAUGAUUAUCACGUGGUAUAUUAACUUUAAAUGUACAGUGUAUUUAGAUGAUAAGGGUUGUCACAGCUAUUUAAUGCAUUAAAUGAAUGCAUUUGAACAAUGUUUGGUUGGUAGGAUUGAAUUUUCUUGGCUUUUUCAAUUUCAAUUAUUUACAAUCAUGCUUCUUAUUUUUUUAGUUAAAAUUUAAUUAAAAAUACAUAAAAGUAAUUUUAUGAGCUCUCUAUUCAAUUUGAACUUCAAUCAUAUUCCAUAGUUUAGGGAUUCAAAUACUAUAAUUAUUUUUUAAUUCAAUAUAAUUGGUCAAUCUCUAUAAAAAAUUAUAUAAAAAAAAUAGUAAGCAUUAACUAAAAUUUAAAACUAUGAAUAAAACAAAACAACAUUAAAUUAUAGGGAGGCACUAUGAGUCCUUUCUCUAUCUCAGAUUUAGGAACUCCUAGAGGUCUCUCUAUUUUAGGAGGAGGAUAGGGAGUAUGGUUGGAGUUGUAAUUUUCCAAUUCCUCCCUAAAAUUUGUCUAAGGAGGUGGUUUAAGGAGUCCAUUGUGGAUGCUCUUAUGCAUUGUGUAUGGCAGUGACGGAUGAAUAUUUCAUUAUCUAGAUUAGGCCUGUAAAAUGGGUCACCGGAUCAGCUCAGUUGUGAGACGAGUUUGUUUAGGCCUUAUCUAAUCCUUAGGGUUUUUCGACCUUAAGGGAUGUAUGGGCCGGGCCAGGCCUGCCUUAUCUUAAACAGGCUAAGCCCAGACCCUACUCAAGGGCGCUAAGAAUUUUCGAGCUCAUGGACGGGCCAAUAGACUGAACUUGUCCCUACCAAAUGGGCCCCUGAUAAUGAAUUAAAUGCAAGGACCAAGAAUUUCAAGUUUUACCCUUUUGUCAUUAAUUAAGUAGCACCCUUCAUCAUUUACUCAUCCGGAUUCGAAUCCUAUGCUUUGAUCUCCUGAGAUUUGAAUCCACAUGACUCUUGUAUUGAUGCAAUGACUACAAAUUAACACCUAAUAAUGUAAAACAAGAAACAGAUAGAAAAAUAAUUGGAGAAUUAAUCUAAUGGGUUCAAGACUUUUCAUAUGGAAUAUUAUGAGAAUAGAUUCUGCAACCUUGGGGAAAUAUCUCGAAUAUGUUCUCUAUAUGACGACCUAUUAUUAAGUUUUCCAGUAGUGAAAUUGCUUUGGCUAAAAGACAGUUGAAGAAGCCCUGCAAUUUUCAGUUUGCAGAUUCCAACAGGAAGAGAGAUGGGAGGAGGAGUUCCAAACAGAGAAAAAACAAGUGCCAUCAAUCGGAAAGCAAAAAAGAAGAAGAAAGAGUUUAAUUGUCCGAGAGGAACUCCAACUGCAUUUGUUUCUCUGAUAUCUAACGUUUGAGUGCUCUUUCUUUAAUUUGUUUUCCAAAUUAAAAGCAAGCCGUUUGAUAAAGAUAUAAAUUAAUGUAAACGUUCCAACGAAAAAAACAAAAUUGUAAAGGACAAAGUAGAGAUGGAUACAAACUGCUGCUUGGAGCAUAGCCCUUAAAUUAUUCUCAAUUAUAUCUGUGUUGGGGAACAUGUACGGUCAUGAAGUAGACACUGAUAUAAUUGCGCACCAGUGCUAAACAACUGAAGGAUAGAGAUGUGGUACACAACUACGCAUUCGUCCUCAUUGGUCCCUUCCUUACAAAGAUAAUCUUCUAUAUGCAUAAAACAAAAGGUAGUGGCAAGGGAGAUGGCAAAACCCGCCAAUUGGAGUUGAUCUGUAUUAGCAUCAACCGUAUAAGCUUCCCAAAUAUAAACUGUAAAAACAUAAAUAAUUAACUUUGACGUGCAUAUAUUAGUUGUUAACACAAGAACAAUGGAAUUAGAGCCAUACUAUUUGCAAAAGGGUGAAUUUCUUUACUUUAAAAAAAAAAAGUUACUUCUCUUUUGGAGACAAAUCAAUGAAAAAAAUAUAUUUGCAGAGUUAGGACUAAAGACUUUACCCUUACUAUGUGCAUUGGUGUUGGGACAAUCUUUAGUAGCUACAAAGGUUCUCUUCUUUAGCUGGGGGAAGAAUCCGCACGAAUCGGAUUUUUUGAGGAACAUAUGGAGAGAGAAUUGGUUAGACAAUGUGUGGUUGUUAAACAAGGAUCGGUUUUUUAGCAAGAUACGGAAUGUAUCGUCAAAUAUUCAAUAUGACUCCACAAGAUCUAGUUUCGUUCAAGUAAUGGAUUCUAGCCAAUUGAAAGGAUCCUCUGAUCAAUCCAGAGAUCACUUCGAUUCCAUUUGGUAAUGAAGAUUCAGAAUAUCACACAUUGAUCAAUUAAAGAGAGAUUCAACAAUGAAAAGAAAGAUCAAUUCUUUGGGAUCCUUCUUUUCUUCAAACGGAACGAACAGAGAUAGAAUCAGAUAGAUUCCCUAAAUGCCUUUCUAGAUAUUCCUCAAUGUCCCGCCUAUUCACGGAACGUGAGAAGCAGGUGCUUAUUCAUCUGCACUACUCUGACAUAUGGUUCUAGAAGAAAUCAAAGAAUUUCUUGGGAAUCCCACAAGAUCCAUUCUUUCUUUUUUCUCUAACAUAUGGUCAAAACUUCAUCUGGGUUCGAAUCCUACUGAGAGGUCCACUAGAGAGAAGACCUUUGACUUUGCAUAUUGGUGUUGGCAAUGUAUGAAAUUGUGUAGCUUUAUGCAUUUUAAGGUUAACACAUUGGGCUAUGUAGGUAUAAUUUUUUUUACCCUAAUAAAAUGUCAUUGGGCUACAACCCAUUGUUGCCCACUAAGUGGUUCCGCCCUUGGGUUUUUCUUCAUGGUAUGAGGAUCCUCCUCAUAUCAUCCAAGACACACUUCUGCAAGAUCUUUUGUAAUCAAUUUCUUUGGUUCAAUUCAUCGAUUUUAUCUAUAAAAAAAUGAAGUGGCAAGGGGACUGACAUUAUUUACCCUUGCACCCAAGGUUCUAAAUUCGAUUCUGCCCUCCCCCAAUAUCGUUUGUAUUUUUUUUUUCAAAGUAGUUUGAAAAAACUUAAAAUUGUCUUUAUUCAAGAAAAAUUUCACAGCACAACUAUAUAUAUUAUACAAGCGAUAUUGGAGGGCAAGGAAUUGAACCUAAGACCUCAGGCGUAUGAGUAAAUGCUCUUAAUAUCUUGAGCUACAAACCCCUUGCAAAUAUAAUCUUCUAUAUGCGUAAAAUAAAAAUGUUUAGAUUUGCAAAUAUAGACUUCUAUAAAAUACACCUGGACUUUUAAACUUCUUUAAAAUCUUUUAAAAUCUCAAUUAAAUACACCACUUUGAAUCUUGACUAAUUUGGACUUGAUUUGGGAUUUAUUUCAUAUUAGUUUAAAUCAAAUUUAAUGAGUCUUGUGUCAUGUAUGCAAGCAGUUUGUGGGGCUCACAAUUUGAGCUAGGGAUGGCAACAAGUCAGGUAAGGGCCGAGUAUGACAAUACCAUUCCCGAACCAUCCCCGUUUAAUAGGUUUCGGGGAAUCCUGUCCCCAUCAUCGUCGAGGAACUAUCCUCAUACCUGCCCCGAAUCCCUGAUUUUUUUUUUUUUUUGCAUUAAAAAUAUUUAUCAUACAUUUUAACAUUAAGUUUCAUAUUAAGUUAUCAUUCAACACAUCCAAAUUAAUUAUAAAGUUCAACUCAACUAUUCAAAAUCACAUCAAUAUGAAAUUCCAUAGAAGAUUAGGAAGAAUUAGGAGAGGGAGGGUAACUUAGGGUUAAACAUAAAUAUUAUAUAUAUAUAAAUAUAAACAUAUAUAUAUUUUCGGGUUGGGUUCAAGGAUGGGGACGCCAAUACCAUCCCCUCCUCAUAUCCGUCGGGGAUUUUUCAAGUUCGAGGAUCCCCGUACCCGAUAUCCGUUUGGCCCCGAAAUCUCCCCCCAUUGGGGUCAUGGACCUGACAGGACCCACCCCGGCAAGGAUUUUUGCCAUCCUUAAUUUGAGUCUUGAUGGUUGAUCAAUUUAAAAGAAUUUAAUAUAUAUAGCUUCCAUUGAGGGAUGGAUACCCUUGUAGGGUCCACUAAGCAUUGUAUUUCACAAAUCCAAAUCGUCUAUUUUUUAGAUAAUCAUUCAAAGAUCAUUUCUAUAAAAAAUCACUUGAAUCCAAUAUCAUUUGAAUAUGUUUAAAUUAAUAAAUUUACAAUAUGUUUAAAUUAAUUUUAAAAAAAAGAGCAUUAUAAACUUUUUGGGUAAGUGAAAAACUCAGUAAUUGAAAAAAAAAAAAUCCACUUGGCAAAAAGCCCUUAUGUUUAAAUUUUCAAAUAAUUCAAAUAUUCCACUAUUUAAGAAAGAAGUUUAAAACAUAGGCACUUUAUUUAAAAGGGACAAAUACUUAGUGUAAAGAACCAAAAAAAAGGAAUAAGAGUUCAUAUCUAGCAAAAAUUCUCUAUAAAUAUGAAUUAAAUAAAUAAAAAAAACUUCGAGCAGUUAGUUUAAAUUAGGCAAGUGAUUACUUUAUUUUGCACUAGCCCCUUAGCACAUGCAUUUCUUUUUUCUUUUUUAUUUUAUUUUUUGUAUUAAGAAAAGAUUACAUUGGCAGUUAUGUUCCAUAAAAGUAGGACUUAUUAUUUGAUUUUGUUUUUAAUUUUAAUUUUUUUUAAUAUGAAAAAUUGUGAAUUUACUGUAUUAUCCUCAUUUAAUUAAUAAUUUCAAUUCUUAAUGUUUGAAUUAACCAAGGAUAUUUUUUGGUAUUUUGAAUGUUUCACCAUUCUCCACCUUUUGCUUUAUAUGUAUAGAUUAUACACUGGAGAUUGACUAUUGGAACUUGGUUUCAAAAUUUAUUUAUUUUACUAUUAAAAAAAAAACAAUAUUAGAACUUGGGCACAAGCACCGUGGGCUUGGUCAAGUUGAAAUCAAAAGUAAAUUGGGCUUACGCACGAAAGCACAUAGAAUGUUUAGAGAAGGUCAAGUCAAUUUCAUGUUUAGAAAUUACACUAUAUAAGGAAGAAAGACCUUUUGGCAAGAUCUCCCCAAUUCAGGCUCUUAAAGGAGACUUCAUAAUUCCCUCCAACUUACGUUGCAUACAUGGACUAGACCAGUUGAUUAUGAUAGUGAGGUGCCAUUUUGCACCCAAAUUCGAAUUCCCUUUACGUAGUUAGAUUAAUUUAGAGUAGUUUAGACUAAGAGAAUCUAGUGAAAACCCCACAAUAAGCAGCCUACUAUAAACAAACCCAAUUUUUUUUUUUUUUUCAAAAAGAUGGAAAAACCCGUUAUCUUCAGCACCAAAGGCAUGCAAGUCUUAGGCUCAAAGCAACAUGUGAAGAUUUCGUUUUUAUUCAGCAACAGUGCAAUAACAGUGUUAGCAAUUGCAGCAACCCAUUGUAAAAAGUUUUCUUUGUUUGUGCAUAUGUUUGAGUGCCUUUUGUCUUAGUAUGCUUGUCAAUUCAUUUGCUUGUAAGGGAUGUGUGCAUGUGAAGUAAUCUGAAAUAUAUGCUAAAGGUUUGUAGUUUUCUACAAUGUAAAUCCAUAAGGCAUCAGAGGUGUUAAAGUGAUAGGGGGUUGUUGUGUAUUAGGAAGCUUCGAGGAGAGAAGUGCAAUAUCAGAGAAGAAAAAAUCUCAGUACUCUUCUUCAGCUUUCAAUCAAUAAAAUUCCCUUUGUUCAUAUACUUUCCCUUAUUACUAAUUCUCUCUUCAUACACUAAUCACUGUUAAAACGCAGUUAAUACCCCGACCACUGUUAAUAUGUAGACUGCAGAUGUACUGUUAAUACUCAGGGCUAGCAAUUUCUACCAAUAUCAAUACUUAAGUAAGUCUUUUGUUCUUUUAUUUUUUGGUUUUCUUAGCAGACUUCUUGUCUAAAACAGAGAAACACUUAAUUAUGUUAUUAUCUUGCUAAACUGAUGAUCAUACUUUGUUUGAGCACUUGGUCAUAUUUAAUAUUUGUCAUAACAAUAACUAGAUGUCUGUCAGGGAACCUCUGAGUUCAGCUUUGUAGCCCUUUUAUGUUGGCGUCCUUGCAGUUCCAUAUUUUAAGCAUGGUAUUUGGUUGUUAUUUUGGCCUUUUGAGACCUUGACCAAGACCCCCCUGAAAAUUUUGUAUCAGAGCUUUUGUUUAACUCCUUAAUAAUAUAAUUAUAACAUUAUAGUACCUUGAAGAUAUAAGUUACCCAAUACAAGUAAUAAAAACCAACUUGUUAUAACAUGUUAAAUUUUUUGUUAAUUACCAGAUAAUUACCAGUUAAGAACAGUGAACCAUUUGCAUGUUUGGACCUUAGUGGAUACUUAUUAGAAUAAAAGAAAUGUUACAAGAACUAAAAAGGCAAAAAGUUGAAUACCAAGCAGAAAUUAGGAACCUAGAAGAAUUAUUAAUCUCCAUAAGUAAGUAAUUAUCCAAGAAGAAAAUCAGAAGUAUAGAACAAUAUAAUAAGAAACCAGUCUCAUUUAAAAGUUUGUAAAGAAUCCAUAGAAGCAUUUCAAGAGCAUUUAGGUAUCUUAAAAGAAAAAGGUAGACUUAGAUAGAUUUUAAUUAUAUGGUAGAGUACCUUAAUUUAGAAGAAAAAAUUAACUCUAGAUAAUAAUACAAUAGUUUGUUAUUUUCCACAAAAAAGAACACAAACAUCUAUUACAUAGCAGUAACAAUCCCUUCGAAAAUAAUAUUGUUGAUGUUUUAAACAUAAUAGACAUAAUAGACUAAUUCAAUAGUUAUUAGAAUAUUUUCAGAAAAAUUACCUAAUACCAAUUAGGCAAAACUUAGAUUAUAUAACAUCUCAAUUAGAAGAUAACAAUAAAAAUAUUCAAAAGAUUUCCUGGUAAGAAAGAAAUCAAAGAUCUCAUAGAUCUUAUAGAUAGCAAGCCAAAACAAGUAGAACUUCAAUCAUUAGAAAUUGUUGAGCAAUUAAAAAUACAAGUGCAAAAAAUACAAUUAGUGCAAAAAAACAUUAAUUGAACAAGUUCAAAAAUUACAUAAUAAAAUAGAUUUUAGUUUAAUGCCAAAUUCUAAAAAUAAUAAUAAAUAUAUCAAAGCAUUAGAAGAGGUUGGUAAACUAGAUAACGAACCAAAAGGCCUUACAUAAUUUACAACAUCUUUAGUAAGUAGUAAUACCCCUAUAAGACAAAAUAAUUUAGUUAUCCAAUUAAUUUUAAAUAUAGUAGAAAAAGUAGAUCAAUUAGAAGAACAAAUAGCAGAAAUCAAUCAAAUAGUGCACAAUACUACUUCCACAGUACCCAAAGCAUUAGUUGAUAAAUUAGAAAAUUUAGCAUAAAUCAAUCAAAUAGUGCACAAUACUACUUCCACACGACCCAAAGGAUUAAUUGAUAAAUUAGAAAAUUUAACCUUAGGAAAUAAUACUCAUAUAAGAAAAAGUAGAAUAACUCCAUUUGAUAAUAGUAAAUGGAGCUCUUUACGAAAAAAGUAAAUGAAAUAAUUAGAAUAGAAGAUAUACUCUAGUGAACAAGAAGCACAAGAAUUUCUUAGAAAAUAUUUUGAGAAAUCCCAGAAAAAUAAAUAUGAUUUAUAUCAAUUAGGAAGAUUUGAAAAUACAACAAUAGAGCAACUCAAAAAAUUACACUACAAACAAAUUCAUAUAGGAACAAUUAUGAUAGGAAUAGUUGGACUCAUAAGAGCGUAGGAACUAACCCAUUAGUUUACAUAUAUGAUGAUAGAUGGGAAAACCAUCAACAAGCAGCUAUAGCCACAACAGAAGUAAAUCUUAGUACAAACCUAGCUAAUUAUGUCAUGAAUAUUAGAGAAUUUAGUAAACAUAUUAAAUUAGUAUAAGAAAAAAAUUACAAUAUGAAAGGUGAAUAUAAAAAUUUAAGCAUUAGUCUUAUGUGUGUAGGAAAAGUUUCAGAUAAUUAUAAUUAUAAAUUUAAUGUAGAAUUUUAGAAUCUAGUAUAAGUAGUAAACAUGUCAAUAUGAUAGAAGCAAAACCAGUAGAUAAUAACUUUUUAGAAGGAACAAAAUAGACUUUACCCAAUUUACAAGUAGCAUAGUGUUUGUACCAUAACUGACCGAGCAACUAGCUAGGCUAGAUCAUUCGAGUGCCAUGCUUUGAGAGGUCAUCACCUUAGCCAAAGAAGCAUCACCACAAAUCACAACUCUAAGCAAAGCAAGAGGAGUCCCACAUCGGAAAACUACAAGAGAUGAAGACUCCCCCUCACCUAUAAAAGAAGACUGCUCUUUCCUUAGAAGAGGAUCCGGGUCUUGGAUCUAGACCCUUAGGCCUUGGACUUUCUCUUCUGGAUCCAUCUCUGGACUGGGCUUCUCACUUGUUAUCUUUAUAUUUGGGUCCAAUCCCCUUGUACAAAUGUAAACAAACAUUAUCAUAAUGAGAACACCCUUCUCCGUGGACGUAGCCCAUCAUUCGGGUGAACCACGUAUAUCUUGUCUUCUAUAUGUUUAUCGUUUGCCCAAAUCCUCACACACUUGGUGAAGGUCCUCACCUUCAUCCAUCAUCCAUCACACCUCAUCACUAAGUUGGACUCAAUCUUGGCCUAGCCAUUUUGAGCAUCAACACAUAGAAUAGACAACCUGAUAAAGCACAAAUUUUUAAAAAUCGUAUAGGAGAAGCAAUUGUAAGAUUUAGUAAUUAUAAACAAUUAAAUGAUAUAGAAGAUUAAGAAAGUGAAGCAGAAGAAAUUCAUAUGGUAUUUGAUGAUUUAGAAAUAAAUAUGGUUGAGCAAAAAUGUCUUUUCCACAUUAAAAUGAUUUAGUCGAAUUUGAAAGCAAAACCUUGGCAUGGACAAAAAUGUAUUUUCAUUGAUGAAAAGGAUUUCGCGAUUUUGAAACUGAAAGUUAUCGAAGGUUGACAUCAAACAGAGGAAAAAGCGAGCGGAAAGGGGAAGGGGAAAAGGGGUAGGGUUUCUUGAUUGCGAUGUUUCAAAGUGCAAUUUGUGGUCGAAAGUGCGAUGUUUGAAAGGGAGAUAGUGUUGAUUGAAGUAUUAGUGCAUUAUUGAAGAUUUGAGGGUUCGAUUUUGGGACAGUCGAAAGUGACAGUGUUUCAGUGUUUACAAAGUGUUACAGAGAGACUUCACAUGGGGACAGUGUUUAGGUGGUCUGGAGACCAUCUAAAGUAUGGUAAGUUACUACAACUUUAACUUAGUGCGUUGAAUAUUUUAUAGGUUUAAGCUUUGUCUGUAUAUGUGUGGUCCUGUGUUGUUGUCCUUGGUUUGGCUAUAUGUGUGGUCUUGUGUUGUUGUCCUUAGUUUGAGGCAAGAAAAUGUGGUUUCAAAGCUUUCAAAACAUUAUUUUUCUAGUCAGAUGUUGUAACCAAAGUAAUAUUGUUUUUUCUGUUUGAUAAACCCAAGCUCUGCACCUUAGAACUUCACCAUUUUGGUUUGUUGGAAAAUGGUGUAUAUAAGGGUGGGAAGGUGUGCUUUGCAGACAAUUGUGUGGAUGACCAUUUGUCACUAUUGGAUUUGAAGAAAAUUGAGGCAGAGCUUGGGUAUAAAGUGGAUAUAACCCAGAAGGUGAUGAGCCUAAAAGUGUUCUAUAAAGUGCAUGUAAAAGAUGUUGUUAAGGAGAUCUUAGAUGAUAGGUGCAUUGCAAACUUAGUUGGUACCAUUCCAUCAAAUAGAGUUGUUGUGUUGUAUUUUCAUGAUCCAACUGACUAGAACACACUUGGCAGUAAAAAAGAAGAGGUAUGGCCAUCAUUGGAUUCUGAGGAGUAUGCAAAUGUAGCUGAAGAAAAUGCAGAGCAUAUAAAUGGUAAUGAAGAGGAACAUGUGCAAGUUGAAUCUGAUGGUAAUGAAGUAGACAAUGAAGAGGAAAAUGUGGAAGUUGAAUAUGGUGGCAGUGAAUCUGAAAAUGAAGAAAAAGAGAAGGAUGAAGAGUUAAAGGACAGUGAUUAUGAAUACACUGAUGAUGAGAUGCCAAACAUUGAUCCUGGAAUGACAGCAAAAAAGGGAGCAAAUGUUCCACCAAAUGUGGGUGAAGAGGAACCAAACAUUAAUCCUGAAAUGGUGCCUCCUAAUGUAGGUACAUGGGCUAUCUCAGAUGAUGGUGUAGACAUUGAUGCACUCCCUUCUGAAGGUGAAACUUUGAGGAUGACCAAGAGAAAACUCAAAGAAGUCAAAGAAGAGAAAAUUACCAAACUUUAAACAAUUUAGAAGAGAGACUGACCUAAAAAAUCCUCAAUUUAGGUUAGGAAUGCAAUUUGCCAAUAGAGAAGAAGUGAAGGAAGCUAUUAAGGAGUAUGUAAUUGUCGAAGGCAAAUCUAUAAAGUUUGUGAAGAAUGAUAAUUUUCGGGUAUGAGCCAAGUGUGCUGGGCACAAGUAUUGCCCCUUUGUUGUGUUGGCUUCAAGGAUAGAUCGGAAUCAGCCCACUUUUGCAAUCAAGACUCUUUCUUUAGAACAUGAGUGUACUAGAGUUGAGAGGUUGGGGUAUUGCAAUGCAAGAUGGCUAUCCAUUAGGUUUACAGACAAAAUUAGGAAAAAUCCCAACUAGGAUGUAGCAGCAAUGCAGGAAGAAGUGUGAGAACAAUAUGUGAUAGAUUCAUAUUUUGCAUAUAUAAUCUAUCUUUAUUUGCAUUGUUUUCAUGUGAAAUUGGUUAGUUUAAUGUGUUUAGUGAAGAUUUUGUUGGCAAUCAUUCUUAGCAAGGCUUUGGAGCAAAAACUAUAAUUUUGGAAGCUUAAUGGAUCGAAAUAGGUGGAAUUAUCAACUCAACAAAAUAUCAAGAACUCACUCUGUCAUUUCAUCAAACACUUGGAGUGCAUCUGUGCAAGUGUCAAUUUAUAUCCACAACUGAUCUUAGUGACCAGCGCCAGAGAGAUAGAGUCAGAGAAGUUUACCAUCACUGUUGAAGCUAAAAUCAUGAGAAGCUAAUAUGGGCUAUGUUUAUCUGGGCUGCGUUGUCUGUUGCUGAUGAUAGAGAAGACAUGCCGUGCAGAAACAGUUGCUGUAGAGUUGGUGCAAAUCUGCUGAAAAUAAAUAUCAAGGCAAGUGAAAAUGAAAGCAUCUAGAAUGGAAUAUGUUGAAGAUUGAGUAACAUACCAAGGGAGACUUGUAGACAUUGGCUGAUGUUGGGGACUUAUUGCAAAUGUGUGCAAAUUUGAUUGCAUGAGUUAAGGCAUCACGUGGAUGAAGAUGAAUAACUAUUAGUUGGGCUUGAUUACUCUUGCCAAGAGUCCUCUCCACUGAAGCCGCUUAGCAGCAUGAUGUUUUACUCUUUUGAGUUGGAGAACUUUAAUUCCUUUCAGCAGCAACACUUUGUUUUAUCCUUGUCGAAUUGGGUUUUUGAUUUUCCAUUAUCUCCUAUUCACUUUACCCCAAAACCAAUUCCCAAUUUUUAUCUCAAGUGCCGUGCCUUUCUUUUUCCUUUUUUAGUCUUGAGAUCCUUUAUUCCUAUUUUCUUCUAUUUUCCUAUUUUGUUUCUACUACUCAAAUCCUUCUUAAAUAAAUAUUAUUUUCCUUAUUUUUGGAGGAGUCCCUCGGCCUAUAAAUACAAAGCUUUAACCUAAUAGCCAGAUCAUCUUUUUUCCAUCAUCAUCUUCUCUACCAUAUUUUUCCACCAACUUUCAUACAACUAGAGAAAUAUAAGAGAGAGCCAAGAAUUUGCUGCAGCACUAUUUGAGGAGCUUUCAAAGGUGUUCCUGUGGAGAUUCUGAAGAUCAAGUCCAUCGGCCAACUCGGUUUUAUGACAAUAAUUCUCUUGUUUAUAUUUUCUUUUGUCAUGAACUAAUUUCCUUUGCUAGGGCUACGAUGUAGCCUAACCAUGAAUACUUAAUUUUUAUAGUUAUAUUAAUUUUUGAUUAUUAUCCCAUGUUGAGUAUUUGUCACUAUUCUUAAUGAUUUAAAUAUCUAGCUAAUAUUUAAUUGAUGAUCCAAGCGGAGACCAAGAUGAGAUGUUUGGUGUUUGCUUCUUGUAACAAAUACCAUGACUUGAAUGAGUGCCCGAGAGGGACUAACAUGACUCAUGCAGUUUUCUUGUGGGUUCUCAUAGAACUUAAUGGGUUCUUGGCUUUCUAAAUCCGUUGCUCGAGAGAGAAUGGGUUGUUAAUUGAGAAUACUUUUGGUUGAGCCCGAGAGGGGAUAUCAAAUGAAUUAGGAGAAACCAACUGUCAACAUAGAUAGUAAUUAGGGUUAAUUGGCUAUAGGAAUUAAGUAGAAUUGGUUAUGGUGAAAUCGGAUGCUCUAGUGUCUCAUCAACUUGAUUUUCCAACAUUAAUUAAAUUGCUAUUUUUCAUAAUUGUUUUAGCUUACUUAAAUCAAUCAAUCUUCUUCAUCAACUGUGCAAAUAAACUUAUGAAUUAAUCAUAAUUGGUAGUUAAUAAGAAAUUACAGUCUUGGUGGGAAUGACACUCUACUUAUUUCUAUAUUACUUGUACGAAUUGUGCGCUUGCAAUAAUUUCACAAGAAGUUUUUGGCGCCGCUGACGGGGACUGUUUUAUUUUCUAUUAAUAUCAAUAUAUUUUAAUUCUGAGUUUAAUUUGAAUUUCUUCUUUUUGUUUCAGGUACUUUGAUCCGUGUAUGCACCGUUCUCGUACCCUAACUUGACCCAGAAAUUGAAUGUACGUUUCAUAAGCGGAACAAUGGAAACAAAAAGCACACUUUGGUGGAAUCACCAUCCACACCCAUGGCGGAGGAAGCAGAAAGAGCAGUGAGGGAAUUUGGCCCCCCAGUGGCAACUCCCUUAGCGAUCCGACAUCCUGCUAUUGCAGCCAACAAUUUUGAGAUCAAACCAGCCAUGAUCACCAUGCUGCAGAAUUCAUUCGUAUUUUGUGGUCUGCCGAAUGAAGAUCCAAAUAUACAUCUUGCGAUAUUUUUGGAGAUUUGUGACACGUCCAAGUUUUAAUGGGGUAACUGAUGAUGCGAUUUGUUGAAGGCUAUUCCCCUUUUCCUUGAAGGAUAAAGCCAAGCUUUGGUUAUUGUCACAGCCGCAAGACUCUAUUCGCACUUGGGAUGAUUUAUCUAAGAAAUUCCUUGCUAAAGUUUUCCCACCAGCCAAAACUGCAAAAUUCCGACAAAAUAAUAUGUCAUUCGCUCAAUAUGAUAAGGAGCCUCUAUAUGAAGCCUGGGAACGAUUCAAAGAUUUAUUGCGCAAGUGUCCUCACCAUGAGCUACCAACCUGGAUUCAAGUUCAGACUUUCUACAAUGGGUUAAGUCAAACAAGCAGAACACUAAUUGAUGCAGCUGCUGAAGGGGCUUUAAUGGCAAAAAGGGCCACCGAAGCAUUUGAAUUAUUUGGAGACCAUGGCAUCCAACAACUACCAAUGGCCGAGUGAGGAAUGAAUUCGAAGCCAGCCGGGGUCUUGGAAGUUGAUGCUAUGGCUUUGCUAACAGCACAAAUUUCUAACCUUACUCAAAAAGUUGAUUCUUUAAGUGUUAAUGCUAUAAACACUAAUACUAAUUUUGGUUGUGAAUUUUGUGUAGGCCCUCACCCAAGUUCAGAGUGCACCACAGGGAACCCAUUCACAUCCACUGAGCAAGUCAAUCAAGUUGGAGAAUUUAACCAACAAAGGAAUAAUCCUUAUUCCAAUACAUACAACCCCGGUUGGAGAAACCAUCCAAAUUUUUCAUGGAGCAAUACUCAGAAUGUGCAGAGACCACCACCUGGCUUUCUAGCUCAAGAGAAGAAAAUAAAUUUGGAAGAUGCGCUUACUCAGUUGACUAUGUCUACCACCCAAUUCAUGACUGAAACAAAAAUCCAAUUUCAGAAUUAGCACGCUUCUAUUUGGAAUUUGGAGGUGCAAGUUGGCCAAUUAGCUAAUGUCAUAAGUGGAAGAAACCAUGGAGUAUUACCAAGCCAACCUGAAGUUAACCCGAAAAAUCAAGAACAAGCAAAGGCAAUCACUCUUCGUAAAGGGAAGCAAGUGAAUACAGCAGUUGACUUGGAAAAAGAAGCCAAGAAGUCUGCAGCGGAAUUGGGGCAUGCAUUUUCACCACCAAUCACCACCACAGAAAAAGCUAAAGAAGAAGAAAAUUCUAUACCAAUUCCUUCUCUUCCAUUGAAGCCAUAUGUCCCACAAAUCCCUUUUCCGCAGAGGUUGAGGAAAAAUAAAAUUGAUGGGCAAUUCUCAAAAUUCUUGGAGAUGUUCAGAAAGUUGCAGAUCAAUAUUCCUUUUGCUGAAGCUUUGGAACAAAUGCCAAGUUAUGCAAAAUUCAUGAAAGACAUUCUCUCCAAGAAGAGGAAAUUUGGAGAGCAUGAGAAAAUCCAACUGAUAGAAGAGUGCAGUGCCAUCCUACAACGGAAGCUUCCACCAAAACAAAAAGAUAGAGGGAGUUUUAAAAUUCCUUGCACUAUUGGAAAUAAUUUCUUUGAAAAAGCUUUAUGUGAUUUGGGUUCUAGCAUUAACUUACUACCUUUAUUUGUUGUUAAGAAGAUUGGUAUUGGUGAAAUUAAACCCACUACUGUUUCUUUGCAGAUGGCGGACAGAUCAAUCACAUACCCGGACGAAAUUAUUGAAGAUGUUCUAGUAAAGGUUGAUACACUCAUAUUUCUGAUUACUUCACACACUCUGAUUGACGUAGAAGAAGGGUUACUGACUUUGAGAGUUGGAAAUGAAAAAGCGACAUUCAAAGUUUUUGAAGCAAUUAAAUUUUCAAGAGAAGCAGAGGACUGUUUUCGCAUGGAAUUAGUUGAUGAAAUUGCUUCCGACACAUUUGAAAAGGAGAAUCUGAGCCAUCCAUUGGAAUCUACAUUGGUCCAUGCUGCUACCUCCCAAGAUGACAACCCCAUGGUUGCUGAAUAUGCCUUGUAUUUGGAUGCAUCACAACUGUACAACCCAAGGCGAAGGAAUCAAUUUGAACCACUAGGAGCGGCACCUCCCAAGGCUGCAUCUUCUGUGAUUGCUGCACCUACAUUCACUCUGAAGCCAUUCCUAACGCACUUGAGGUAUGCUUAUUUGGGAACUUCUGAAACUUUGCCAGUUAUUAUUGCUACAAAUUUGAGUGAAACUAAAGAAGAAAAAGUGUUACGGGUUUUGCGAAAACAUUAAAGUGCAAUUGGAUGGACAAUCGAUGACAUCAAGGGUAUUAGCCCUUCUAUGUGUAUGCACUGAAUACUAAUGGAAGAGGAACAUAAGCCACCCAUGGAGCAUCAACGUCGAUUGAACCCCAACAUGAAAGAAGUGGUUCGUGCAGAGGUAUUAAAAUUGCUUGAUGCAGGUAUUAUUUACCCUAUAUCUGAUAGUAGUUGGGUGAGUCCUACACAAGUUGUGCCAAAGAAGGGAGGGAUGACUGUUGUGAAAAAUGAAAAUAAUGAGUUAGUCCCAACAAGAACUGUUAUAGGAUGGAGAGUCUACAUAGAUUACAGGAAAUUGAAUUCUGGAACCAGAAAAGAUCACUUCCCGCUGCCUUUUAUUGAUCAAAUGCUAGAAAGACUUGCUGGGCAUGCCUAUUACUGUUUUCUAGAUGGAUACUCAGGGUAUAAUCAAAUCCCUAUUGCGCUUGAAGACCAAGAAAAAACGACCUUUACAUGUCCAUUUGGCACUUUUGCCUAUCGCCGUAUGCCUUUUGGGUUAUGUAACGCUCCUGCCAAUUUUCAGCGUUGCAUGAUGAGCAUUUUCUUUGACAUGAUGGAGCAAUUUAUUGAGGUAUUUAUGGAUGACUUCUCUAUUUUCGGUUCAUCUUUUGAUUCUUCUUUGGAUAAUUUGGCAUUGGUGUUGGCAAGAUGUGAAGAAACCAAUUUAGUUCUUAAUUGGGAAAAAUGCCAUUUUAUGGUACAAGAAGGAAUUGUGCUGGGGCAUAAAAUUUCAGCUAGAGGUAUUGAGGUUGACCGUGCAAAAGUUGAGACCACAGAAAAGCUGCCACCCCCUUCUACAGUGAAAGGAAUUCGAAGCUUCUUGGGACAUGCUGGGUUUUAUCGUCGAUUUAUUCAGGAUUUCUCAAAAAUUACAAAGCCUCUUUGCAAGUUGUUAUUGAAGGAUUCUAAAUUCCACUUUAUUCAGAAUGUUUGGAGGCAUUUAAUUUAUUGAAGAAAAAGCUCACCACUGUACCAGUCAUUAUUGCACCUGAUUGGGAAUUACCAUUCGAGAUUAUGUGUGAUGCAAGUGAUUAUGCUAUUGGAGCUGUCUUGGGUCAAAGGAAGAAUAAAUUACUACAAGUAAUUCACUAUGCAAGUCGUACAUUGAAUGAUGCCCAACUGAAUUAUGCCACUACGGAAAAAGAAUUGUUAGCAGUGGUAUUCGCAUUGGAUAAAUUUCGUUCUUACCUAUUGGGUGCGAAGGUAAUUAUUUGUGUAUACGGAUCAUGCAGCUUUGAAAUUUUUACUUGCCAAGAAGGAAGCAAAACUGAGACUAAUUCGAUGGGUUUUAUUGCUUCAAGAUUUUGAUAUCGAAAUUCGAGAUAAAAAAGGGUCUGAGAAUGUGGUGGCGGACCACCUCUCUCGGCUAGUCUGUGAGGAUGAAGUUAUAGAAGAUGUUGCGCCCAUCCUAGAGACAUUCCCUGAUGAGCAAUUAUUUUCCAUCAAUUAUGAGAAAGAAUUCAUCACUCCUUGGUAUGCAGAUUUUGUCAAUUACCUAGCUUGUGGUAUUCUUCCCCGCAAUAUGUCUUUUUAUCAAAAAAAGAAAUUCCUGUCAUUGGUUAAACAUUAUUAUUGGGAUGAUCCAUGUUUGUGGACGCACGGUCCUGACCAAGUUAUAUGAAGAUGUGUACCUGAGACAGAGUUGGCUGACAUAUUAUUGCAUUGUCACACUUUGGCAUGUGGAGGCCAUUAUGGUGCUUCCAAGACUACGGCCAAGGUUCUACAAUCUGGGUUUUUUUGGCCUACUUUUUUAAAGAUGCUCAAGACUUUGUUGCAAGGUGUGAUCCCUGCCAACGUAAGGGAAAUAUCUCUAGUCAAAACCAAAUGCCCUUGAAUAAUAUUUUGGAGGUGGAAUUGUUUGAUGUUUGGGGUAUUGACUUCAUGGGUCCGUUUCCGGCAUCAUAUGGGAAUUUGUAUAUUUUGGUUGCUGUGGAUUAUGUAUCAAAAUGGGUCGAAGCAGCUGCCUUACCCACGAAUGACGCCAAGGUUGUGGUUAGAUUUCUAAGAAAGAAUAUUUUCACAAGGUUUGGGGUCCCGCGUGCAAUUAUUAGUGAUGGAGGUACACAUUUUUGCAAUCGUCAAUUUAAUUCUCUUCUUGCAAAAUAUGGCAUUACCCAUAAUGUCUAAUCCCUACCAUCCACAAACCAGUGGGCAAGUUGAAGUUUUGAAUAGGGAAUUGAAGAAAAUCUUGGAAAAGACGGUGAAUGCCUCUAGGAAAGAUUGGUCAUUGAAAUUGGAUGAUGCACUAUGGGCUUAUAGAACGGCGUUCAAAGCGCCAAUUGGGAUGUCACCAUAUAGACUUGCUUUUGGGAAAGCGUGCCACUUUCCGGUGGAAUUGGAGCAUAAAGCGUUUUGGGCUAUUAAAACGCUAAAUUUUGACAUGAGUUCGGCAAGUGAGAAGAGGAAGUUACAAUUGAAUGAGUUAGAGGAACUUUCAAAUGAAUCGUAUGAGAAUGCGAAAAUUUACAAGGACCGUACAAAGAAGUGGCAUGACAAGCACAUCUUGAAGAAGGAAUUUUAUGUGGGUCAAAGCAUUCUCCUCUACAACUCAUGGUUGAAACUUUUUCCUAGGAAACUUCGCUCUCGUUGUUCUGGGCCAUUCAUGGUGUUAACAGUGUAUCCUUAUGGGACAGUUGAAAUCAAGAAUGAUCGUGACGGUACAACUUUCAAAGUUAAUGGCCAUCGACUCAAACCUUAUGUGGCAGCAGCGUUUCUUGAGGAGGAAAGCACCGUCCUACUCGAUGACCCCAAGUAAACGCAUCCAAAAGUCGUGCUAUUGACUAUAAACUAAGUGCUUGUUGGGAGGCAACCCAACUAGGUACUUCGUUCCUUAUCUUUUUAAUUUUUAUUUGUGUGUUUCCCUCGUUCAUUUCUUUUACUAUUCUUUGUGCUUGCUCUUAUUUUCUAUUUAAACAUUGAGGACAAUGUUUCGUUUAGGUUUGAGGUGGGUAACAUUCGUGUUAUUUUAUUUUGAGUGCUGCUAAACGAACCCUAAAAUUAACUGAGUACACUCUACUACUAAACUACUUAUUGAAUUACUAAUUUACCAUAAUAUAAAAUGACCAAAAGAAUAUAUUGAAUUGUGAAACAACUAAAAUUUUAAUAAGUAUACCUUACUCACUAUAACAGAUUAAAACAGCAUGAUGUUUUCCUCUUUUUAGUUGGAGAACAUUAAUUCCUUUCAGCAGCAACACUUUGUUUUAUCCUUGUCGAAUUGGGUUUUUGAUUUUCCAUUAUCUCCUAUUCACUUUACCCCAAAACCAAUUCCCAAUUUUUAUCUCAAGUGCCGUGCCUUUCUUUUUCCUUUUUUAGUCUUGAGAUCCUUUAUUCCUAUUUUCUUCUAUUUUCCUAUUUUGUUUCUACUACUCAAAUCCUUCUUAAAUAAAUAUUAUUUUCCUUAUUUUUGGAGGAGUCCCUGGGCCUAUAAAUACAAAGCUUUAACCCAAUAGCCAAAUCAUCUUUUUUCCACCAACUUUCAUAUAACCAGGGAAAUAUCAGAGAGAGCCAAGAAUUUGCUACAGAACUAUUUGAGGAGCUUUCAAAGGUGUUCUUGUGGAGAUUCUGAAGAUCAAGUCCAUUGGCCAAAUCGGUUUUAUGACAAUAAUUCUCUUGUUUAUAUUUUCUUCUGUCAUGAACUAAUUUCCCUUGUUAGGGCUACGAUGUAGCCUAACCAUGAAUACUUAAUUUUUAUAGUUAUAUUAAUUUCUGAUUAUUAUCCGAUGUUGAGUAUUUGUUACUGUUCUUAAUGAUUUAAAUAUCUAGCUAAUAUUUAAUUGAUGAUCCAAGCGGAGACCGAGAGGAGAUGUUUGGUGUUUGCUUCUUGUAAUAAAUACCAUGACUUGAAUGAGUGCUCGAGAGGGAAUAACAUGACUCAUGCAGUUUUCCUGUGGGUUCUCAUAGAACUUAAUGGGUUCUUGGCUUUCUAAAUCCGUUGCUCGAGAGAGAAUGGGUUGUUAAUUGAGAAUACUUUUGGUUGAGCCCGAGAGGAGAUAUCGAAUGAAUUAGGAGAAAUCAACUGUCAACAUAGAUAGUAAUUAGGGUUAAUUGGCUAUAGGAAUUAAGUAGAAUUGGUUAUGGUGAAAUCGGAUGCUCUAGUGUCUCAUCAACUUGAUUUUUCAACAUUAAUUAAAUUGCUAUUUUUCAUAAUUAUUUUGGCUUACUUAAAUCAAUCAAUCUUCUUAAUCAAUUGUUCAAAUAAACUUAUGAAUUAAUCAUAAUUGGUAGUUAAUAGGAAAUUAUAGUCUUCGUGGGAACGGCACUCUACUUAUUUCUAUAUUACUUGUACGAAUUGUGCUCUUGCAAUAAUUUCACAACAAUAUGCUAUGAAUGUAAGCAAACAUCAAAUAUGAAGAGCCUAGAAGUUGUCAAGAGUGGUCAUUGAAGUUAGCUACAUAGAGCAAUACGCAGGGUUAUGAUAGUACGCAUAACAGUUGAAAGCUUCUAAUAAGGGUAACACAGUUGUAAUUAAGAAUGACAUGGUUGGGGAGGAACUUGUUUUUCAGAGAAUUUAUGUGUGCUUGAAAGGUUGUAAGAAAGGGUUUUUGGAGGGAUGUAGGCCUAUGAUUGGCGUGGAUGGGUGCCAUUUGAAGGGACCAUACACAGGACAAAUAUUAACAGAUGUUAGGGUUGAUGGGAACAAUGGAAUGUUCCGCAUUGCCUAUGUUGUAGUUGAAGCUGAAAAAUAAGAGUUCUUGGAUGUGGUUUCUUGAGUUGUUGGUAUUAGAUUUAAAAAUAGAGAAUGCGUCUGCUUGGGUGUUCAUAAGGGAUAUAGGGGUCUUUUUAUUCCAGCAGCCUGACGAAUGGGCUUGGGUUGUCGUAAGGAGAAACAGGUAAAGCUGCCCCUUGUAUCUGAGUUCAAGAACCAGGCUCCAAGAAUGUUUUGAAAAGUUCGUGAGAACCUUAGAAAACACCCUUGGUAUCUUUCACCAAUAAGCCAAAUGCACGUGGCAAAUUAUUAAUAUGACUUGCUUGAGGAGCUUGUGGCAUGGGAGCUAAGCCUUCACAAGUUUAGCAAUUAGAGAGAGAGAGAGAGAGAGAGAGAGAGUUAAAGGCAUGAACUUCUUACAAAGAGAAAAUGUUUAGAAUGGGGAAGAGGAAAUUUCGGAAGAUUUCUAUCUCAGGAAGAGGGAAAGCAAUGGAAGUAGAAGACAGGGUGUCUUGAGUAAAUUUUCAAUUGCUUGACAAAGCUUGGUCACACUCUGGAUGAUCUUUGUUGGGCAGAGGAAACUCCUUUUAUAGGCGCUUAGAACCCCAAUUUUAUCGAUCCUCUGUUCCCACUUUUCCUUCGCUUCUUUCCAUUCAAUCCUAUUUGGUGAAAUUUAUGUAACCAGGGAGCAUGGGUAACGAGCCCUUUGGGGUUCCAAGAGUUUUAUGUAGCUGGGCCUCUCUAUAGGGGUAAGGUGCCACCCACUUUCCUCCUUGAUUUUCAUUUUAGAGCUCGCAGAGGAAAAGAGAAGGGAUAAAGCAUUUGCCAAACGAGUAUUCCUCUUUCACACAUGAAUUUCCUUUGGUUUCUGCAAUGGCUUUUUGUUUGACUAGUUAUGGAGCCUUGACGAGGGCUGAAUAUGAUGCUAGAUAUUUUAUAAGGCGCUAGGCUGGGCUUUUCCUAAGGUAUUGGGUCGUUGGUACUCUAUUUCCAACGGUAUAUGAGUUUUGUUUCGUCAAGCUGCUAGAAGUAGCUUGUUUGCCUUGUUUUGGCAAGGUGUUGGGCGCUUUAACUAAUGUGGGGUUUUCUAAGUGUUGCAGCAGACCCUUAUAUAUUCUCCUAAGGCAUUGGAUCACUUUUCUCUCUCUCAUGCUAACCCAUGUACUUGGGCCUGAGGAAUGCGCUUGAGUUUUAGUGCCCCCAAUCGGCCCAAAACUUCAAUUCCUUGAACCUUAAUGGGCCUUGUGAGUGCUCGUACCCAUCUAUACCACAACCUUUUCAACAAGCCCCGAAUGUUUACAUGGCUUGAGCCCACUUAAGCCUGUAGUAUGGCUUGGCAUUAGAAUAGCGGUCCUUUUGCUUGGCAUCGUGUGUUUAUUUAGCAUGUUUGUGCUUGAAUUCAAUUAUGCCGUAAAAAGCCAUGACCGGGCCUAGUAGCACGUGAUAGGUCAAUAAACGUGAAUUCAUAGAGCCGGUGCAUUUUGAACUUCUUGACGUGGCAUAUGUGUGUGUUUGCUUGGCGUGGCGUGUGGUUCAUAACUCGUGCAGGUGCACCCACAAGUUCUCAUAUAUCCUAAUUGGGCUCCUUUUGCGGUUUCAUAAGCCUGGGCCUAACCUUUGGAUUUUUGGGUUCAACAAGUGACAAAAAAAAAGGGUCUGCCUCCAGCUAUGGAAACAGUUGUGCCUACAACUCAGCAUAGAAUGUGUGUGAGGCACCUUUAUAGCAACUUCAGAGGGCAACAUUCAUGGUCAACAUUCAGUUCUUAAAGCAUUGAAACUGUUUAAAAUGACCGCCUAGGUGUACCCUUUAUUUCCGUCAAUUCCUUAUAUUCGUCAAUUCCUUGCAUCACCAUGGGUGACACAUACUCGCAGGUCUCAGUGACACGAGGUCAGUCCGAGCCGCAACUCGCAGGAUUCAGGGGAUCGUAGUCCACCUUUAUCCGCAUUACUCGCUCCACACGAGUUCGAGUACCAAGGAACUCGUGGGGGAACUGUCAAGCAUGCUGACAAAACCAAAGGCAACUAAUAUAAUCCGAAGGUAACAUUUAACCUCUGGGUACAAGGUGGUUUAGGAAAAUAUAAAGUUUCUGAAUUUCUGUAAUCUUUAAACUUCUGCUGCCAUUUAACUAGAAUUUCUUUUCCUAUAUUCUUUAAAAGAGAUUUCACUCGGCAGCAUGCAGUAUAAAAUAUUUAACAGAAUAAAACAGCUUAUAACUGAAACCGAACUGCUUAAAUUCAUUUAUAAAAACAAAGAGUCCACUCACUGGUAGUCCGAUCUCGCUGGACCUCUUGAAGGUUCCUCCUGCGAGUCAACUGGUGCUCGGGUGCCUGAUUCAAUGACCAUAAUAUUCUAUUAAUACAGUAUAGUAUUAAUUUAAAAACUCUGACCCCCGGCUCCUAAAAGUACGUGCGUAAAAUUAAAGUUAUCUCUAUGCCCUUAAAAGCUUUCCUUCCAGUUUAGCAGUAUCUUGGGACUCAAAAAGCAUUAAAGUCUCAAAAUAUCAACUCAGGACCCCACGGGUCCAUGACCUCACAAUAUGAUCCGGAAGCCGCUUGAAUGUCCAAUAUGUCUAGGACACAUGUCCAGAGGGUAUUGGUGUCGAGCGGACGGUCGGAUUGAUCAUGAUCGUGUAAUCGCAUAAUUUCUAAACCCUAGCCCUAGGGUUCGCGUUUUCGGAGUAUCCGGGACUCCGAUUCACAAUCCGUCGAAUCCUACACGAUUCUGAAAUUAUUUAGAGUAACAUAUCUGAAAAAGAUUACGAUCCAACGGCUCAACCGUAUUGAACCCGGAAAUCGCACAAUAUGAAAAAUCCGUUCGAGGCUCAAACGGUAUCCAAAUUGAGAUCCGCGAAUUCCUACGCGCUCGUGACAACCUAAGGAUCGCAUCAAGACAUAGUGCCACUUCACUACCCUCGUCCACGCACCGCCGCAAAACGCCGGCAGCGCUGGGUGUCCAAAGCGAUUACGCAUCGCAGGAAAAUCUCAAAACCACGGCUCCAAACUCCUACCCUAGGUAUAACACCCUAUUUGGAACCACUUUUGUUUUGGACCUACCCCAAAAACUGACCGGAAGUGGCCGAACACGGAGGUUGAAAAUCGGCCGAAUUCCAAUUUGAAAACUAGGCUAGUUACAGUCAAAAUCGAUUGAAACCUACCCAACCAUCAGCUAGAGCAUGGAAAAUAGGUAGAAAUCCAUACCUUACUCGACAAAUUUGGAGAAGAAUUGAGAGAGAACGAACGGUUCGAAGUUUCGGGAAAAACCACCGGAUUUCUGCAAAUUCCUGCGACACCAGCAGCGGAGUGGAGCGGCCGAGGGCUGAGACUUGUAGAGGAGGAUGAGCUGGUUCUUUUGGGACCGGCGCCGACGAAGGUGACGGCCGGACGUGAUGGCGACAAGGAGAAAACUGCUCGACUGUUGAAGGGGGAGGGAGUUGUUUGCGCGACGAGAGAGAGAGAGAGAGAGAGAAAAAAACUGAGGGAGAAGAGAGAGAAUGAGAGUUAAAAUCUGAUUUUUUUUUUCAGAUUACCAUUUUGCCCCUCGUGAUAUUUUAACCGUAUGUUCUUCAUUAAAGCUCCUAUUCGAGUCCACUUCGUGUCUACGAACUCGUUUCGUCGUGCUCUACGCGAUGGUAUAUGUGGAAUUGUCAAAUUCCUUCUCGGUCAAAAAGUCAACUUUUUGUUAAUAAAUUAUUCCAAGGGCAAAAUUGUCUUUCCUCAUAAUAAAUUACUAAUUAAAUAUGAAUUUUAGGUUUGGGUCAUUACAAUCCUAGUCAUGGAGCAAAUCCAUUCUCUCCUUCCUUUGCAACCACACUUGACAUGUGCACCUGUGUACGCGUCAAAUGAAGCCCUAGCGCAUAUGCCAUUGGGCCCGACGCACACCUUUCUACCCGACCUGUGUAGUCAGGUGGACCUUAACUCACAGGGUGAUCAACUCACAGAAAGGGUCGAAGAUCAAAACAAUAUGAUUGGCCAGCUACUCAGGCAAAUCAACUUGAAUCAAGGCCCUAACCUUGGAUCCCAUGGUAAGGAGAGGAGGACAUAUGAGCAUAUAGGCGAGCAGUUCGAGAUUGAGUGCUUGCCCUUUGUCGACGAGGUAGAAUGAGCUACACCGCUGAAGCGGUUCACAGCGCCGUCCAUCACUCCGUUCAAGGGGGACCCUGACCCCGAGAGCCAUUUGAGACACUUCAAGAGCGCCAUGAUCUUGUACAAGGCAGAUGACGCUCUGAUAUGCAAGGUGUUCACGAUGACUCUACGAGGGGUAGCUCAAGACUGGUUCCACACUCUACUAUCCGCAUCGAUAAGCAACUUCAAGGAGCUCGCCCUCAUUUUCACAAAGGAGUGCACCUCCUAUAGGACAGUCAGAAAGCAUGCAGACCACUUGUUCAACCUGCACAAGAAGCCAGACAAGUCUCUUCAAGACUACAUCAGAAGAUUUAAGGCUGAUAAAGGGAACAUCAUAGGAUGCAAUGACCUAGUUGCAUCCUUAGCUUUCAAGAACGGCUUGCCAACCGAACAUGAGCUAUACCGUGAGCUGACCAUAACUACAAGCCAAACCUUGGCAGAAUUCUUCACUACGGCAGAGCGCUACGCACUUUGGGAUGAUGACCAUAUUGCAGCGAAGAAAGCCAGCAAGCAAGCUGACCACCAGACAAGGCAAGCAAGUCAAAAGAGCAAUAAGUUCGAACACAAAACCUAGGACAAGUGCAGAUCACGGCCUAAGCAGGAGGCUCAGAAACAAGAACCUUCACUGAGCUUACUAUCCCGAUCCACCAGAUCCUCGGCAUAAGUGCAGGACAAACCUUGGGUGAGGAGACCGCCGCCUCUGAGGGGAGACCAGUCAGAGAUGACGAUUGCACAGAAUUCAUCACAAGGAAGGCCAUCUAGCAGAUUGAGGUCUGUGAUGAAGCUACCAAGGAACCUCCCCAAAAAGUCAUACGGAUCAACACCAUUCUAGCCGACUCCCAGGAGUCUGGGUUGACCACUAAGGAGCACAAGAGAAAGAUUGCUCAGACGACUUAUGUCUUCCAAGUCACAACUAGCGAACCAGUCAUUGAAGACACACUCGUUAUUGGCUUUCAGUGAAAGGACUUGAUUGGGCUUGAUUUGCUGCGUAAUGAUGCUCUGGUCAUCUGCAUUCAAAUCGAACAAGCUGUGAUUGAGUGAGUUCACGUGGACUAGGGCAGCGCAGCCAACAUCCUGCAGCUAUUUGCUAUAUAACAGAUGGGAUUGGAGCCCAAGAUCAACAAACUCUCCAGAUCGCUCACCGGCUUCUAUGAGGCCACGUCGAUCACUGUGGGAACAUUUAACCUUGACAUCCACUCACCCUAUUGGUUUGCUCACAGACCUUCGUGGUCAUUAACCUUGACAUCCACUCAGUAAGAUCGAAUCAGUAGCAUCUACACUAGAAGAUCCGCUACCCCAUCCUUGGAGGCGGGAUCGGGCAGAUCAAUAGUGACCAAGCCAUGGCGACAAGAUGCACAGCCCAAGGGCUCAAGAAGGGCAAGCAGUUGCAGUUCACACCAAUAAUACAGGUUGUUGAAGUGGCAGGACGUACUUCAAGUAGACAAGAAAGCCCGAAUGGGAAGGGAGUUGCUACCUCACAAUGGCAAUUAAGGAGACAGGAUCAAGGCUAGGGAAUUCGCCCAGAGGACUCCCCUGAAAAGUGUUGGAAGAUUGAGGAUGAUAUUGAGUUAGUACCCCCUGAUCCUGGCCUGCUAGAUUAAGGAGCGUAGAUCGGCUAGUGCUAGAACCCAAACGAGAAGGAUCGAGACGAGGGAAUCCGCUCCUUAAUUAAGGAUCGGGUUGUUACAAACUACACCCCUUAUAAAAAUUUCGUCCUCGAAAUUUCAUAACUGCCACUCGAAUCAGUAAAGAACUGGGCCCUUAUCUACUACUCGGUAAGUAACCUCCUCCACAACUUGAUAUGACAGGAUCUUAACUUCCCUCAUUCUACAAGCCUCAUCACACCUCCCUAGGAAAUAAUUUCAAAAAUGCUCACUCACCCACGACAUACUCAACACCCUUAAACCAAUUGUUGCAUAAUACUUCUAUCGGUGUUGGAUCCAUCUGGGCUUUGCCAACCUCAUUGCCUAUAUAAUUAAACAAAAGCUCACAACUUACUCAUACCCCUGUAACUUACUCAUCAAUUUACUCUGACAGUUUCGCCUCCCAUAAUUCCUUUUAUGAAAUAAUUUGACUUUUGGAAACUCCUACCAAUUUUUAUUUUUAUUUUAUUUUUUAAUUAUUUAUUUAUUUUACCUCAUCAUGAUUAUAAGCAACUUGAAUAUUGCUCACCUACUGCAUAGGGCACUAUGAGUUUCUUCCAACUCUUCCCUAAGUACUCUCUAAAGUACUCCUUCGGCAUCCCUCCAUGACUUAAAGGUGCAAUUAAAUGUCUCAAAAAUCAUAUAUUCCUAUGUGAUUUGCUUACUUUAACUAUGUUCACGAAGUUCACUAUUUAAUCAUCUGAAACUAUUGAAUCGACAUCAACUUUAACCCACCACCUAGGUAUACCCAUUUAUUUCCAGCAAUUUCUUGAUUUUCCGUAAAUUCCCUCGCAUCACCAUUGGUGACACGGCCUCGCAAGUCUCGGUGACACAAGGUCAACACGAGCCGCCUUUCUCACAGGAUUCAGGGAAUCUGCAUUCCUCUCCCCCACAGUCCGGAUAUCCCUAAGACUCGUGGGGCAAUUGUCAAACAUGCUGACCUCACCGAAGGCAACAAAUUUAUUAUUCUGGGGUACCUGGUGUGGUUUUAAGAAAAUAAGAUUUUCCUGAAAAAGAUUAGAAUUUAUAAUCUACCUCUUAAAUAACCUAAAAUCCUGCUGCCAUCUAAUCCAACAAAUUAUCUCAAUCCUUAUUUUCAAAUUAUGUAAAACAUUCUCAGCUUGGCAGCAUAUAAUAAGGUAUUGAACUCAUGCAUUCCUAUUUAUGCAUAAAUUACCAAACAAUAAUUUGCCUUAAAAUAUUGCAUGUAUAGUUCAUCCUACCACCUAGGUAUACCUAUUUAUUUCCGUCAACUCCUUUAAUUACUAUCUAUUCCUCGUGUCACCGUGGUGACACAUCCUCGCAAGACUCGGGAAACACUCGAUUAGCCAGAUCCGCCCUCCUUGCAAGACUCAAGGGACACUAGGCCCACUUGAGCAGCACCCCUUGCUCCCACAGUUCGAACCUCCAUGAACCUCGUGGGGCACAAGUUAAGCAUACUGACUUAACCGAAGACACUAUUUAAUAUAAAUAAAACUAUCUCCUCUCAUCUUAAAACUCUACCGCCUUCCUAUCCGAUUUCUAAAAUCCUUAUUUCCACCAUUCUAAUUUUGUUUUCUCCAAUCCUCGGCAUAAAAAUUCCAUGACCCUUGUUAUAGUUCCUCUCGAACCAUUUAUUUCCAACAUGUAUAUUACAAUUUCAUAUGAAAACCUCAACAAAUUUUUUCAACCCUUCCUGAUACCAUUUUACUCAACCACGUCGACGAGGUAAAAUAACCUAGAGAAAUGUCAAGCAAUACCAAAACCAGGAUGCACAUGUGGCGUUGAGUCUACAGGAAUAUAACCUAAUGCUCUGAUACCAAUUGAAAGAACCCAACCCAAAUUCCAUUUUGGAAUCCGAGCCAAACCCUGUGCGUGUCCGACACCUAGCGAAUGUCGGACACAAUUUACCAAAAUACCCUUCUAACCAAAAUUCCAAGAAAAAUCACGUGUGACUUCUAUCGAAAAUUCGGCAGAGUCCCCUUGUAAAUUGGACAUUUCCCAAAAGUUCCCACCUGUAAAACAAGCAUAUAUGUAUAUAUAUAUAUAUAUAUAUAACCCAACAACCAACAUGUAUCGAAUUAUAUACAAAUAUCAAGCAUCAUAUAAUUCUGGCCUCAAGCCUUCACAAUCAAGUAAAACAUUCUGCAAAAUAAGUUUAUCUCCACUUUCAGAAUAUCCAUAAUCCAUUAGAAAUCUCAAAGGCUCCAAUUUGUGGCAGCACCUUGUAACGUAUGGCUGCCUACGUACCCUGACUGAGGGAUCAAGCCACACGUAAUUCUUUCCUAUACUCAUAUCAGUCAUAUGCUAAAUAUAAAUAUGCCCUAUGAUGAACUCCCUUUAGUUUAGUUUAAGAAUAUCUCAGAACUGUAAUUCUCUCCACUUAGGCGUACCCCCAUUCCUGAUCCAUUACUUCCACUAAUACCGUCAACUCCAUCCUCGUAGGCAGGGCAGCAAUCCUCACAGGCCUCAGAGAUACCACUUCCAUCCGAGCCCCAACCCUCGCAGGCCCCAACCGCAUUUCUCGCAAGCCUCGAAAAUACCCCUUCUAUCUGGGUUGCAAUCCUCGCAGGCCUCAGCCACAUUCCUCGCAAGCCUCAGAGAUAUCCCUUCUAUCCUAGCCGCAAUUUAUAAAUAACUAUCUAUUCAACCCUUAACAUGACUUAGAUAACUUAGUUCCAGUCAAGACUCGUUUACAUGGUCAUUUUAUCACUUCUCAAUGAUAUAACUGCCUCGGGAGACUCACGGUCAACAGAGGGAUCUAACUGCCUUAACUUGGUCAACUAGGCCCGCAGGCCCACAUGCUCCUAUCACAAAUCCAGGAGUCCCUAAAGGUUCCAAUAUUCCUAGGACACAUGUCCAGAAAGUUUGGUCUCUAUCGGACGGUCAGAUUAACCAUGAUGGUACGAUCGGGCGGUUACUGUAAACCUAGCCCUACGGUUAGUGUUUCUGGAGUAUCCGGGACUUUGUUUUACGAUCCGUUGAAUCCUGUACGAUCCUGGCAUUAUCCAGAUCAACAUAUCUGAAAAUGACUACGAUCCAGCGGUUCAAAUGUAUCGAACCUGGAAAUCGCACACUAGGCGAGAUCCGUUCGGGAUUCAAACGUUGUCUGAAUUGAAAUCCGUGAGUACCUACGCGCUCUUGAGGACCAAGGGAUUAUUAUUCUAGGACUGAAUGUGGUCCCCACCAUGCUGGCGACGCGCCACCACACGCGCUGACAGCACAUGGGUGGCUUGAUCAAUUUCGAUGACCAGAAAACUACGAAUCGUAAGCCCAGUUUCCUACCCUAGGUUCAAGACAUGAUUUGGAGCCACUUUUGUUCUUGGACCUACUCCAAAAACUGGCGAGAAGUGGCCGGAAUUGCGAUCUCAAAAUCGGCUAAACUUUGGACCCAAAAUCAACUCACCUGCGUUUGAAAUUUCUCAAAUCCUACCCAACUAUCAGCUAGAGCAUGAAAAAUAGUUGAGAUUCCAUACCUUGGUUGCCGGAAAUGGUGGCCGGAGGAGAAAGAUUGAACGUUGGAGGUUUUCUGUCAAAACUGGCCGAGUUUCGAGCCAUUUCCACCGAGUUGGCGGCGGUUCGUGGUGGGAAGGAGCUGCGGCAUGACUGCAGGGCCUGGCCGGACGGAGUGGUGGCGGAGCCGUGGCCAGUGAUGGUGACUGGUUUAUCAAACCGGGUGGGGGGGUGUAUCGAGUUCGCAGGGGAGAGCCUGCGAGAGAGAAGGGAGAAUCAGAUUUUUAAAAAUAGAAUUCUCUAAAUUACAAUUUUACCCCUCAAAGUAUUUUGUAUUGUAAUUCCUUCGUUGUAACUCCGAUUCGAGCCCACUUUGUGUCUAUGGACUUGUUUCGUCGCGUUCUACGCAAUGGUGAAAUCAAAAUUCCCAAAAUCCUUCCCGAUCACAAAGUCAACUUAAAACUUAAUAAAAUAUUCCGAGGGUAUUCUAGUCCUUUCAUUGAAUAGCAUAAUGAUUAAGAAUUAAUUAAGGAUCGGGUUGUUACAUAAGUGAUAAUGAAAGCACUUAUAGCCUUAGACUCCGAAUUAGAAUUAAAUUACUCUAGUAAUUCAGAUAGUGAAUUAGAUGAAUAUAUAUGUGUUUUAAAGAACAUAAAGAGCAUGAGGAAUUUAAAUAUGUUAAUUUAGGAUGGCCUCAAGAGUGUAAUCAAUGUAAGAAAAUAAUUUAAUGUAAAUCUUGUUAUAAUAAUAGACCAAUAGAAAUAAAUACAGCUGAAAUAAUAGAUAAUAAUCAAAAGAACGAUAGCCCUAACAUAGAGAAACAAAAGACUAGUUCAUUAAUAACAAUUAAUUGUGAAUUAGAAUUGUCAAAAGAGCAUAAAAUUCAAACAGCAACUAUGAUACAUACAUGAAGUAUAAAAAAUGUAAUAAAAGAAGACUUAGUAGCAAAACAAUUUAGUAAAAAAUUGGCUAGACUAGUAAGAAUAAUAUACUUUUUUUUUUUUUUUUUGAAAAGGUUGAUUUCAGUCCAUUAGGAGGGGGAAUAAAAGGCAUGUAAUGCGUGGUCUCGUUAAAACCUUCCCAGAGAAAACCACAAGGGAAAAACUCCGUAGUAGAAAAAAGUACCAUCUAUGCCGAUAACGUUCACAACAAGAAAAUUACAUAGCAUCAACGAAGAAAACAUCUUGUAGGAAAUCUGGGGGAUCAGUAACCCAUUCUGCCGCUCCCUGAAAGUGUAGAACAUAACGAGCCAACCGAGUUGCAACCCUAAAGAAUAAUAUAGUUUGAUAAAAGACGUGUAUAUUUAACACAUUGCAUUAAUAAUAGGCUUAUUUACUGUAGUGCUCCCGAAACUUUGGUCAAAUCUCACAUUACCCUCUGAAAGUUAAAAUGACCCACUUUGCCCCAUUGACCGAUGUUUUGCAUCUCAAUUUAUCCCCUACCGUCAAGUCAGUCAAUAACCCUGUUAAAGAUGCCGACGUGGCACGAAUAAAACCCCACUUUUUUUUUUUAAAUGCAUGCCACGUAAUUACAAUGUGUAAAAAAACAAAAAGAAAGAAUUUUCUUUUAAAAACAAAGCUCAACUAUUAAUAAUAAGGGAGCUUUAGUUUUAAAACACAAUAUAGUUUACUAAUUUGGAAGAUAGUAAUACAAUUUCAUUAGCAUAAGGCAAAAGACCAAAUUGUGGUACCUAAUUUUACAAAAAUAUCAUUAAAAUAUAUCAAAAUUACACACAAUGCCACUCCUUCUAAGGCAAGCAUACUAUGCUACAUGUCCAUAUCUAGCCAAUCAUAUCUCGCCGCCGGCCACCUGCCACCACCACCGUUGGCCGCCACCGCCCGUCGCCGGCCACCUGCCACCACCACCGUUGGCCGCCACCGCCCGUCGCCGACCACCACCGUUGGACUCCCGCCGCCGGCCACCACCGUCGGACUCCCGCCGCCGGCCACUUGCCACCGUUGGCCGCCACUGCCCGUCGCCGACCACCACCGUCGGACUCCCGCCGCCGGCCACUUGCCACCGUUGGCCGCCACUGCCCGUCGCCGACCACCACCGUCGGACUCCCGCCGCUGGCCACCUGCCACCACCACCGUUGGCCGCCACCGCCCGUCGCCGACCACCACCGUCGGACUCCCGCCGCCGGUCACCUGCCACCACCACCGUUGGCCGCCAUCGCCUGCCACCGUCUGUAGAUGACCAACUCCGUUGCCCUUUAUCCACCUUUAAAAGAAAGAUUGUGUCAUUGAAUGGACUCGAACCUUGACCCUCAAAGGAGGAAGGCUCACUCACAAACCACUACACCAAACUUGAUUUUGUAAUAUUUAUUCAAUUAUACAAUAUUUAUAUAAACAAUCAAUGGUUUAUUAAAAAAAAUAAAAAUAAAAAGCAUUUCAACACUUAUUCACACAAAAACUGCAAAUAAAAACAGAAACUGCAACAAAAAUAUAAUGUAGAUAUCAAUUAUGUUAAAAAAACAAAAAUAAAAACGAAAACAGCUACAAAAACAAUUGUAAUUAAAUGAAAACUGCAAUGCAGUUUCCGGUUUCCAAAAGUCCAAUUUUGAGUUCUCUUGCUCUUAGGUAGUUCUACUCUUCUCUUGCCCACCUAAUUCCUCAUCUAGGUAGCUUCUACUCUUUAAAUUGGUGAGGUUGAAGACCAAGGAAAGAGCAAAAAUCCAAUUGUAGUUAAAUGAAAACUGAAAUGCAGUUUCCGAAACUGCAAUGCAGUUUCCAAAAGUCCAAUUUUGAGUUCUCUUGCUCUUGAGUAGUUCUACUCUUCUCUUGCCCACCCAAUUCCUCAUCUGGGUAGCCUCUACUCUUCAAAUUGGUGAGAUUGAAGGCCAAGAAAAGAGCAAAAAUCCAAUUGUAAUUACAAAAACUACAAUGCAGUUUCCAAAACUGCUAUAAUGCAGAACUUGUAUAAAAUUUUACUGAACUAAAGCUUAAAUGGUAUUGCAAAAUAUCAUAUGCCAGUUAUGUCAUAAACAACAAGCAUCUCUAUCAUAAGAACCGCAAUAUGAUCUCAAGUUUCCAGGUCGAAAUUGAAAAUAUAGCUAGAAACAAAACAAAAUUGAAAUAUGCAUUGCUGCAAACUAAAUAAUUUAGAUAGCAAACUCCACAAGUACAAAGAGAAGGGAAUCAAAUCAGCACUAGCUUAACAACUCAAUAACCAACAACCUAUGGAUUACGGGGCAAAACCUCCAAUGUAUCUCUACCAAGCAUAAAAAAGUCACAAAUAAAAGAUAUCAUGAAAAUGUAAAGUAAUUACUAGUCAAAACCCAGGCAUCAAAAUUCUGUAAACCAAUAAAGAAUCACUGGUGAAACCCACAAAUAAAUGAAGGUGUCAAAUAGCAGUAAACAUCUAGCAUGUAAUAAAAAAAUGCAACAAACAGAAACUUCAGUGCAGUUUAUUAAAAAAAUAUGCCCAAAAGUGAAAAGAAACCAAAAGGCAAAGCUAUGAUCAAAGUACUAAAACUAAUUUCAAAACACAUAUAAGUAGAUGAGCAGUUGUAAUAUUCCCAUAGACUUGGAAAAAUUAUUCUAAAAUCGAAAUAAGGAACAGGAAACUGCACUGCAGUUUCUUAUCAAAAAUUGCAACAAACUGAAACUGCAAUGCAGUUUAUGACAACAUUUGCUCAAAUGUGAAAAGAAACCAAAAGGCAAAGCCAUGAUCAAAGUACUAAAACUAAGUUCAAAACACAUUUAAUUCGAUGAACAGCUGUAAUAUUCUCAUAGAGUUGCAAAAAUUAUUCUAAUAUUGAAAUAUGGAAUAGGAAAUUGCACUGCAGUUUUUGAUAAAAAAAUGCAAAAAAAAAAAAAAAAAAUCUGCUUAAAUAUGAAAAGAAAGCAAAAGUCAAAGCCAUGAUCAAAGUACUAAAACUAAGUUCAAUACACAUAUAAGUAGAUGAGUAGUUGUAACAUUCCAAUAGACUUGAAAAAAUUAUUCUAAAAUCAAAUUAUUGAAUAGGAAACUGCAUUGCAGUUUCUGAUUAAAAAAAAUGCAACAAACAGAAACUUCAGUGCAGUUUAUGAAAAAAAAAAUAUGCCCAAAAGUGAAAAGAAACCAAAAGGCAAAGCCAUGAUCAAAGUACUAAAACUGAGUUCAAAACACAUAUAAGUAGAUGAGCAAUUGUAACAUUCCUAUAGACUUUGGAAAAAUUAUUCUAAAAUCGAAAUAUGGAACAGGAAACUGCACUGCAGUUUCUUAUCAAAAAUUGCAACAACGGAACUAUAAUGCAUUUUAUGACAAAACAUCUGCCCAUGUUUGCAUAGAAACCAAAUGGCAAAGCCAUAAUUAAAGUACUAAAACUCAUUUCAAAGCACAUUUAAGUCGAUGAACAAUCAUAAUAUUCCCAUAGACUUGCAAAAAUUAUUCUAAAAUAGAAAUAUGGAACAGGAAACUGCCCUGCAAUUUCUGAUCAAUCUACUACAACACUAACAAAACAACAACCCAAAAACUUCAUGAAAACAAGCAUUGAAUGACAGUUGCAAAGGAAUAUCCACUAAUGAAACAAUUGCAUAAUUUUCAUUAACUUCAAAAAACAUACCUCAGCAGCAGAAAAAUUGAGCUUCACAUCAAAAUUUGAAUAAUGCAAUAGAAGAAGAAGAUCGAAAAAUAUACUGCAAUUUCUAGAAAAACCAAAAGUUCUCGUAUGUGCAAAGAAAACUGAUGAGACCUUAUAUGUACAAGUAAAAUAACAAAUUUUAAAUUUUUUAAAUUUUAAAAUCCAUAAAUUAAAUAAAAAUCAUCCUUAGUGGCAUCACUUACAUCUAUGUUGCAUACAAAAGAAAAUUGAAGAUAAAAAAAAAUAAUAAAGCAAGUACAAUCAUCAACAAGCAGCAAUCAAGAACUCAAGAAAAUACAAUCAUCAACUAGCAAAAAAUUCUAGUAAAAUAAGUACAAAAAUAAUAUAUGAAAAUUUCUACUAAAAACAAAUUAUAUAUGGAAAGCAUUGACCUAAUCCAAAAUAACAAUUCUUUCUUAGGUAUUAAAACCCAAACAAUAAUACCCAAUAUCUCAAAUACUAAUUAAUAAAAUUACUUAUGUCUAAUACCUAAUUUUUCUUAAUAAUAAUAUAUAUAUAUAUAUUUUUUUUAAAAAUCCCCAAUUCCCUUCCUUCCCUUCUCUGUUACGCAUACCCAAUCUCUCCCUCUCCCUAUCCCCAAAGUUGCCCAUCAUCCUUCAUCCUCCCUCUGCAACCAACCACCACCCCACAUCAUCCAUAACCAUCCAACCACAAGCCAUACCCACUGCCAAAAAGAAAAAAAUUGGAAAACUCUACACUCACAUAAUACAUUGAAAAUAAAUAAAAAUCAAGUAUUUUAUUCAAAUUCGAUUAUUCCAAACCUAAAAUCAAUAACACAACACAAACAAUUGUAUAAAUUUAAUUUAUUUUUUCCAAGUAAAAAUCAUAUGCACACACAGAUUGAACAAUUGAAGAACUUAAACUACAAUCUCAUUCUUCUUCUUCCUUUAUUUGAACUCUGGUUUGCAUAGGGGAUGAGUUUAUUGGUUGUAGGGGGUGAAAAGCUUGACAAUAAAGACGGUGGCGUGGCCUUGGGCUUCAAGAGUUGGGUCUACUGUUGAGGUUGGGUUGAGUUCGUAACAGAUCUGGUAUGGCGGUUGGCUUAGGGUGGGGGAGGUUGGGAUGGAGGCCUCCUCCUCUCUUCACUGCCCUGAAAGAGCAGUCAACCCUUUUACACCCUUGUCUCUCUCCUUACGGGUCUCUCCCAACCCAUGACUCGAGGAAUCGAGCGCAAGGCCCGGUCGUGAUGGCGCACGGGGUAGGUGCAAGAUCUGGGUUAGCUAGGUACGAACGGAGAGGGUGUGGUGAUGAAUCUGGUAGGGGUUGGCGGGGUGUGGAGAAGACAGUGGCUGCUUCAUUUUAAUUUUUUUCUUUUGUUUUUUUGUAAUUUUAUUAUUAUUAUUAUUUUGUAAUUUUUUUUAUGAGCUGUAAUUUUAUUAUUUUAGGGCAAGGUCUAAAAUAUCGGUGAUAUCGGAAAUAUCGAUAGUCCAAAAACACGGAAAUUUCGAUGGAAAUAUCGGGAUAUUAUCGAUAUCGAUAAAAAUUGAAUAAAAACCACGGAAAUUGUAAGAAAAACUUGGAAAUUUUUAUUGAAACUUUGGAGGAUGCUUAUUUAGUCAAUUAUCUAUUAGUUUAUCACAAAAAAUUGGAAGGAAAUGCAUUGCAUGAUGGAUUUAACUAAUUUAAGUUGAUUAUAUAGCGAGCUGACAAACACUGUGAGCGUAGAAAAUAUGUAGUAAUUAAUGAAAGAAGAUUAAACACACCACAAUUAAUGACAAACACUGUGGUGAAUAGUUGAAAAGUUGAAACUUGAAAACCAGUUCGCAAGUAGUGUAUUAUAUAUAUUAGAUUACAGAGAUUAUAAUCACAAACUUAUGACCAGCGUGGUGGUUAAGAGGCUGCAAUUUUCGGAGGGGAGCUGGGUUCGAGCCCCAGCUUGCGCAAGAGGGUGAGUGAGUUUAAUUGUUUAAUUUUUGAAAGUUCAUAUCGCGAUAUAUUGACCAUUUGAAGUUGCCAAUUGAACGAAAAAUAUCGUAGCCGAAAUAUCGUCAAAAUUAUCGAUAUAUUGACGAUAUAUGGAUGGAUUUGUGCGAAAAUAUCGCUGGACAAAAAAAAACGAUAAUUUCGCCGAUAUUUCGGCAAAAUUAUCGAUUUUUAAUACUGUGUUUUAGGGUGGUGGUGCUGUGGAAAAUCUUUUUUUUUUUUUUUAUCGCACACAUGGCAAUUAUGUGUGGUAUGCAUUUCAGCAAAUUUUCGGGUCCCAUUCGUGCCACGUUGGCAACUUUAACAUAGUUAUUGAUUGACUUGACGGUGGGGGGUAAAUUGAGAUGCAAAAUAUCGGUCAAGGCAGCAAAGUGGGUCAUUUUAACUUUCAUGGGGUAAAGUGAGAUUUGACCAAAGUUUUAGAGGGCACUACAGCAAAUAAGCCUUAAUAAUAUACCUAUUAGAAUGGAAAGGCAACAAUUUAAUUUACCCAUAACAUUUAUAUCUAGUAGGAUCAUAUCCAUUUAUCUUAGGAUUAAACCUUGUAAAAAGUUUAUAAGGAGGAUUUUUGUAUACACCUCCAAAUAUUACAUUUUUUAAGAAAGGCACAAUCACAAAUGAUCAAAGUAACAUAUUAGAAUCUUAUAGAAGAACAACAUUUUAAAGAAUACUAUAAUAUGGAAGAAUUAGAGGAAAUAAAUGAAGAAUUUGGAAGAACUAUUAGAAGAACUAUGAUAACCAAAAGACUUUAGAAGAACUAUUACAAUUAGCUGAACAAACAAGAAUCCUAGGAGAAUAUCCCCAAUUACAUUGGAAUAAAAAUUAGAUAUUGGAAAAAUUAGAUAUUAUUAAUCCAUACUUAACAAUUAAAAUGACAGAUAUGACAUGUAACUUACUAGACAAACAAGAAUUUGAACAACAAAUAAAAGAGCUUUUAAACUUAAAAGUAAUUAGACCUUCAAAAACUAAGAAUAGAUCAGCAGCCUUUGUAGAUAGAAAACACUUAAAGCUUAAAAGAGGUAGAGCUAGAAUAGUAUAUAAUUAUAGAAGAUUAAAUAAUAAUACAUAUGAAGAUAAUUAUAAAUUACCAAAUAAAGAUGAACUUAUGAAUAAAAUUCAAGAAAGUAAAUAUUUUAGUAAAUUUGAUUGUAAGUCAGAAUUUUGACAAAUUAGACUAGCAGAAGAGUCAACUCAAUGGUCAACAUUUACUUGUCCAUAAGGACAUUUUGAAUGGUUUGUUAUGCCAUUUGGAUUAAGAAAAUGCACCGUCGAUCUUUCAAAGAAAGAUAUAUCAAAUUUUUAAAAAGUAUGAUAAAUUUUGUAGUGUAUAUGUAGAUGAUAUACUUGUCCAUAGUAAAAAUAAAAAUGAACAUAGAAAACACUUAGAAAUAAUUUUGCAAGAAUUUGUUGAGAAUUGUAUAGUUAUAAGUAGAAAUAAAGUAGAACUUGAAAAGCAAGACAUAGAAUAUUUAGUCAGGAACCGUACAAUUACAAGAACACAUAGCUAAAAGAGUGUUAGAAUUUCCAGAUAAAUUUGAAGAUAAAAAACAAUUACAAGCAUUUUUAGGAUUUAAAUUAUGCUAGAAUUUUUAUCCCUGAUUUAGGAAGAAAGAUUGCAGCAUUGUAUAGUAAAACUAGUAAAACUUGUCAAAAAUAUUUUAAUAGUGAAGAUAUUAAAUUAGUUCGAAAUAUUAAGCAAGACAUAACUCAGCUUAAGCCUUUAGCAUUACCAUUAGACAACAAUUAUAAAAUAGUUGAGAUAGAUGCAUCAUCAAUAAGAUGGGAAUGAAUUUUAUAUCAAAAGAAGCACAAAGCAUAAUCUAAAUAUGAAUAACAAGUUUGUAAAUAUGCAUCUGGUAAAUUUAGCGAUAUACAGGCUAGACUUCCAACCAUAGACUUAGAAAUUUUAGGUGUUAUAAACUUGCUUGAAGCAUUUUCAUUGUUUUGACAUAUGAAAAAUUUACUAUUAUAACAGAUAGUCAAAAUAUUGUUUCUCAUUAUAAUAAAAUUACUACUAACAAACAAGCAGUCCAAAGAUUGGUUAAUUUUGUAGAUUCUAUUAUAGGAAAUGGAUUUAGACCAGCAUUUGAGCAUAUUAAAGGUAUACUUUAGUAGACAUCUUAUCUCAUAUUAUUCAUUAACAAAACAAUGGUACACCAUCACAUGGUGGUAAUCCAUUAAGCAUGAGUAGUCAAGCAAGGCCAGUAGUAAAUACGUAUUAUUAUAAUGGAAUUCCAGUGCAAGAAAUUAGAAACCAUGUUUUAAAAUAUCGUACUCAAGCAUCUUCGGCAGAAAAAUAAAAAGUGCUUUUAGACAAUUUUUGGAACAUUAGAACUAAUAAUGAAACCAUGAGAAAAGGGCAUGAAAGACUUAUCAAAGACCUUGAGCAAGAAUUUAAGCUUAUAAUUAUGAUUAUAAAAGAGCAAAACGACUGUUUUCUUGUUUGCAGGAAAAACAUGAAAAAGCAAAAGAAAGAGUAUGAGGCAAUAGUAAGAAAUUUUAGAAUUAUUAAUUUAAGAUGUCAAAAUUUAAGCAUGAUUUUAUAAGAAAAAGAAGCUAAUGAGUCCAACUUAUUUGAGCACAAUAAAUAAUUUUCACUUAAGCAAAAAGCUAAAAAUUCAUAUUUUCUUCAAACCUUAGCUAGAGAAAGGUAUAGGUUUCUACCAUAAGAUAUUAAGGGUCAUAUGAUUAUAUUAGAAUAUGAGAAAAUGAAACCCUUCAGUUAUAUAUUCGAGCAUUUCUUUUCAAUUUGAAAAAUAAUCUACAACAUGGUAUCAAAAUCAUUACGAAAAGUUGUUAACCCGUUUUGAUGUAGUUCCUGUGGUGGUAGGGUAAAGUUCUCCAUUUACCUGAAAACCAUUAGCGGUCAACAAGUCAAAUUUUUUUUUUUUUUUUUGGGUGUGCGAGCGUGCCACUGUAACGGUUAAAGACCCUAACAGACUACGGAAUGUAAUAACUUGCAACCUAAGCUAUUAUCUUUGAUCAAGUGAUUGUGAAUUUGGGUGAGGAAUAGCUCCCAAGAAAGUUCUUUUCUUGUCUCAGAUGAGUGAGGACUUUAUAAUUUCCCACAGUAAAAACUAGUAAGUUUAGCCAAAAUAAGUGUUUGAAAAUAAAACAAACAAUUUCAAAGAGAACUACUUAUUAUAGAUUUAAACAAAAAGAAACUGCCAAGUUUGGAAUGACAACAGAACUUUGGGCUUCGAUUUUUGCUUAGAUGGUUGUCUGUGGCUUAGCCUGGACUGGAUGCAUCUGUAUUGGAAUUGCACGUCAGCACCUUCAACUAAUAGAGAUAAGCUAGAAAUCGAUACUAAUGUUGAGAUUGGCAACACUAUAAUUAGUUUGAGCUAUGGAGAGGCUUGUCGAAUGGCAGAACUGGGAUUUCUCCGGUCUGGACUGGAUUAAGAAUGGUUGAAUUGACAGUUGGUGGUCUGGAAUUGCACUCUAGUAUCUGUUCUUCUUGGCUGAAGAUCACCUGUGAGCUAUUCUGAGGAUCUUAAGACAUAAAGAUGUCUCUGAAAAUUUGUUGAGGUUUUCAUAUUAUGAACAACCUGAAUUGAAAAGAGAGAAAUCUCGUUUUCCCUAUGAACUAUUUCUCCAAGCUGGAUUGAAAUAAGAGAUUCGAGUUUUGCCUAUUUUGUUGAAAGCCUGAUUGCUCUUGAGUUUGAAGACUUUUAAGAUCGUAUGAUCUUGCUUGAUUUCACUACUACAAAAAAGCAAAAAGACGACUGUAAAUCACCGUCGUGUAUUCGGUUUUUCAAUGGUCGUGGAAUCCACCGUCAUCUUUUCCCUCAUAAACCACGACGCUAAAUCACCGUCGUUGUUAAAAUAUACAACGUCAUCAACAAAUACAAAACGACGUCUUUGUACUGCAAAAAGAUCUAAAAAAGCAAUCGAGGAUGAGAAUAGACGACCAACUCUCUAAACAAACCGUCGUUAAAAAGGAAAAAUAUGACACAUAUUAACAGAACAAGGCCGCAAGAUAGACAUACAACGACGAAAAUUAAAAUAAGACGACGUUAAAUAUCAUUUUCACGACAAUAAAAAAUAUGACGUCUUUAAAUACAUUAGAAGACGACGUUAUUGAUACCUACUACGUCGCCUAUAUAAAAACAGCCGUCGUAAAAUAAAUUUUCCACUUCGAUUUUUCUAUAAAAGAUGACGUGGAAAUAGUUGUCAGUGUCAUUAUUUACGACGUAUGUAUUUAUAGAGUAGACGUUGAACAACGAAACAACGUCGGUUACAAAUAUAUGAGAGUCGUAUUACAAAAUUUAUACGUCCUAUUUUCAGAAACAAACAACGACGAUAAAUAUUAGACGUUGUUAAAUAAAACAACGUCGAAAACAAAUAAAAACAGACAUGUUAAGUCUGCUAAAGUUCUAAAAAAUAGUCGAGGAUGAGAAUAGACGACCAACUCAAACAAAUCACCGUCGUUAAAAGGGAAAAAUAUGACACGACAACUAAAACACUACGCCGUUAAAUAUAAUUUUUACGACAAGAAAAAAUAUGACGUCUUUAAAUACAUGAGAAGACGACGUUAUUGAAAUCUACUACGUCUCUUAUUUACAAACAACCGUCGUGAAAUAAAUUUUCCACUUCGAUUUUUCUAAAAAAGAUGACGUGGAAAUAGUUGUCAGUGUCAUUAUUUACGAUCUGUCAGCUAUUGUGCCAGAGCUGGCACUAACUGUAGCAGGGUCGAUAAAGCCAACCAUGCUGCACAUAUUUGCUUGUUUCAAAACAUCGUGUAAGUACCUAAAUAUAUAAAAUAAUAUAAACAAGUCAGCACAAAAAAACACACGACGGUUAUGUAUAACAAAACGACGUAUUAUAAAAUUUCACACGACUUACUGAAAUAGACAACGACGUUAUAAUAUAUUUAUCACGACAGUACAUACUAACGACGUGGUUAGUUAGUUAAGACGACGCAAUAAAUAAACCAACGACGUAUUAUUUUAGAAUGACAAACCUCAUAUAUACAGCAAUGACAGUAGCUCCUAUUUCCUCCAUGCCUGCAAAUUGUGUAAUAUCUUCAGGCAGGAGGAAGGUAUCGCGCUCUAGACCAAACACCUCCUUAUCAAUUGUAAAGUGCAGGGUCUUAUCCUCAGGCACGAGUGUCGUUUCCACAUAACGACAAAGGGAUUUUAAAGAAGAUGGGGCCUCCAUAUUUGAAUAAUCAACAACUUUAAUAACCUGUUUAAAGAAAUAAAAAAAAUGACGUGGUAAUUCAAUAAAAACGACGGUUUAAGGAAUAAAACGUCGUCUGAAAAGAAUUUAAACGACGGUGAAAAAACCGUCGUGGUGAAUAAUUUAUUACGUCUUAGAAAAAAAUUCCGCCGUCUAAGUUGUAAACAAACGACGGUUUAAAGAAAAAUAUCGACGUCUGAAAUUUUGAAAAACAAAUAAAAAAGGCAAAGUUAUGUGAACAUACCUGGUCGUCAUCUUCUUUCUCCUUUUCAUCUUGUUUUUCUUCUUUCUUCUCUUCAUCUAUGACGUCGGGAAUGACUAACACCGUCGUCUAAAAACCACAAAGUUUUAAAAAUAACGACGUUUAAUGGCGUGUAAAACAAGUAAACUAAAUACGACGUGGUAUUGAAAUACAAACGACGGUUUAUUUUUAAAAUCGUCGUGGUAUGUAUUUCAAACGACGGUUUUAUUAAUAAUAACGACGUCUAAUGGUUUUUAAAAAAACAGAGAAUUCAAAGUUCAGAUAUGUUACCUUUUCUUCCUGAUGUUUCCCAUUUUUGGCAGUAUCAUCCUCAAAAUGUAGGGAUCUCACAUCACCUCCAGAGCAGCUUGCUUUGUCAGACAUUGGAUUUUUGGGACUUUGGCUAAUUCUGGGUUUAAGCAUGCUUGGAUCAAAAUUGGGAAUUAAUUGGGAAAGCUGACUCAGGAAAUGCUCCCUCUCAGCCUCUACCAAUUGUUUCGUUCUAGCCUCCAUCCUUAAAGCCUCUUCCCUUGCCUUAGCUUCCAUCUUUUUAGUCUCUUCUUGAAGGAGAACUCUUAAACUGUCCUUCAAACGGUCGUCAAAGCUCACUCUCUGUGGGGGUAAAUUGAAAUAUUGCCUUGGUGAGAUCCCAGCACCUACUCCUCUCACUCUGCCUGGAUGCUCGGGGCCCAAAGCCAUGGUCAGCACAUCAUUGCUGCCAGAUAUACUGACUUUGCCUUCCGAGACUUGUUUUUGCAAUUCAUCCUAAAACAAAGAUAUAUAAAAAAGUAAGAACAAAAACACACGACGGUUAUUUAUAUACAAACGACGUAUUAUAUAAUUUCACACGACGCAAUAACAUAUAAAUCGACGUUAUUAUAAUUUAUCACGACGGUAGUUAUACCGACGUGGUUAGUUUUUAAAACGACGAAAUGAAUAAACCACCGACGUCUUAUGCUUUAUUUACAGAUAACAGAGGGAUGAUUCAAUAUUCACACCUUUAACGACCUUGUUUAAAACAUUUCGACGUAGUAAUUUAAUACAAACGACGCGAAAAUGAACCACCGACAUCUUAUGCUAUAAUUACAGAAAACAGAGUAGUGAUUCCUGAUUUAGACCUUUAACGACGUUUUUUAAAAAAUUUCGACGUGGUAAUAUCAUUCACACGACGCAAAAUAUAACAUAAGACGUAAAAGAAUUAUUCACAGUUUAAUAAAAAUUUAAAACAGAGUGAGUAGGCUUACAAUUAAUUUUGCUUUCUCUGCCACCUUUGGAUCCGGGAUGUUACCAUGUUUGUCCUGUCUAGCUCUCUUCCAUAAGGUAGAUCGAUCAAUUUCUACCCCAGGCAUGGUUUCCUCCAAUUGAUCCUCCAAACCAGCAUAUCCUUUUCGAGACAAUCGAUGAUUGUACUCGAGUUUCUCCCUAAUCUGUGCAUGUUGAGAAUACACAGACUCAAAAUCUUUGGAUAACCUUGAAGCUACAAAGGCAUCCCAUUGUGCUUUCUCUAUGAAUUUAUAUGUUUCAGGGGGUUGGCUUAAUCUCUCCCUGUCAUUGGUGUAUGGAAGGAUAUAAUGCCUCGUUAGUGUAGACUUGAAAUCCUUCCAUUUCUUGGCAGCAGAAGCUAACACAGAGUUCUUGCCCCCUUGACCUACCACAAAAGCAAUGUCAACUGCUUCCCAAAUCUGCUCCUUUAUAUCCUUGGGGAUUUGAGCCCAUUUCAUGUCCACAAGUGGAACUCUGGAGCGUGCCAACACACCAAUGUAGGACUGCAUCUCACUAUGUGCUUGGCCAAUUCCUUUCCCCCUUUUAUUGUACUCAACAAUUGGCCUCAGUUUCUGAAGUUUUCUCUUCACAACACGAGGCCUUGUGCUCAUACCUCGACCAGACUUUGAAUCAUCAGAGAUUGUUGUCGUGCUGGUUGGUUCUGUCUCAGCAGAUGAUGAAGCAAACUUCAUCUUCUUCGAAGACUUCUCUUGAGGAGGUACCAUUCCAAGCUCCUUACCUCCAUUUUUCUUGGAGCCAGAAUCCUUACUUUGGUCUUGGUGAGAAACCAUUUUUACAGACAAAACUGCAAGUGAAAAUAUUUCAGGAAAAGAUUAAGAACACAAACGACGGUUAUUAAUAAAAUACGACGUAUGAUAUGAUUUUAAACGACGCAAUGAAAUAAUCUCAGACGUAAUAAAUGUUUAAAACCAAGGUAAUUAAACAACGACGAAAUAAUUAACUAUAAACGACGUGAUAAUUAACUAUAAACGACGAAAUAUUUAUAUAACGUCGUGGUAUUGAUGUUCACACGACGUCAGUAGUAAUAUACCGUCGUCUAUAUAAGGAUCCAAAACCCUUCUUUCUUUCUCUGUGAAUGUUUGAUUGCAGAUUUGAUUUUUCUGAACCAUGGUUUUUGUUUUCUAAUUUGAUAAAAUACAAGGCCAAGAAAGAAAGUUUUGGAAUCUUAUAUAGACGACGGUAUUUUAAUAUGACGUCGUGGUAUUAACAUUCACACGACGUAAAACAAUAAGAUACUGUCGUCUAUAUUAGAUACCAACCCUACUUUCUUUUUCUUUAUAUUUUAUCAAAUUAGGGAAAAACAAAAACCAUUGUUCAGAGAAAUCAAACCUGCAAUUAAACAAGCAAAUAAAAAAAAGACUAUAAUUUUAAAAACAACUUUGUCAAUUUUCAGACGACGCUAGAACGACUGACGAACCGUCGUGGUCUACAUAUUUAACCACGUAAAUAAGAACCUACCGUCGUCUUAUUUAGUUGAGGUAGUUGUCUUCAAAGUUGGAAACUUUCCCUCUUUGUCUGUAUAUUUUAUCGAACUUGGAAAGAAGUAAAAUGAUUUUGGCCAGAAAAAAGGUAAAAAGAUUUUUCAAACAAAAAACGUAUGAGCAUGCAAAACAGCAACCAAAAUAGUGAAAAUGAAAGCUUACCUUUUGCGUGCAAUGAAAGCAAGAGGAAGACGAUCGAUGUUUAAGUUCAGAGACGACGAAGAAGACGAGAGGAAGACGAUGAGAUACUCUGACAGUGCUCUGACAAGGAAAAAAGUCUAAAAGUUUUCUCUGGGAGAUUGAAAUUUUUAAUCGGGUUUGGAAACAGUGCAUGUGUAAGUCAGGUAGACGAAAAGUUGCUUACAUAUAAAACCAUUUCAAAAAAAUAAUACGGCAGUUACAUAUAACUACGACGUAUAAAUUACAGAAUACGACGGUAAAUUUAACUUCGGACGUGGUAAAUAAAUACGACAGUAGUGUUGUAGGUACCGUCGUAGUAAACUCAAAAAUUAAAGUACAUAAGUAAUAACUCGCGUCAUGGUAGAUUAUUUAACACGUCGUUUUUAUUAAUGUACCGACGUGGAUUUAUGUAAUAUACGUCGGUCAUACCGACGUUGAUUUUACAAUUUAAACGGCAGUUUUUUGUAAGGACCGCCGUUGGUUUUAAAAAUUUAUUCUAUAAAUUUGUCGCUUUCAUUCAUUUUCGGUUUACAUUUAGGGUUCCAAGUUCUUCCUCUCUCAGAGACACUGUCUCUCACGUCUCAAAGACAAUAAUUUGGAUGUCUUUCUCAAAGAGAAAUUGAGCUUACUCGCAUCAAAUAUAUGUCCACAAGAAGAAGCUUGUCAACUAGCCUUCUCACUUCCUUGAUCAAGCCUGAUAGGACACUUAGUGCUUCUAAAUACUCCUUGCUUUCCAUCAAAAGAGAUGCAAGCCUGGCCUCCACUCGCUGUCGAAGGAAAGUUCGCUUCUCAGGGAAAUCUGAAGAUCAGAUGUGCCUGAUCCUCUGCUUGAUUUUCUUGGCUAAGAAGAUCCGUCAGAUUUGUGAUAGCCUCUUCCUUUAUCCGUAGAGCUUCAGAAGAAGAAGAUGGGUUUCAAGAAUGCGAUAAAGAAUAGAAAUGGCUUCAGAAUGCGAUAAAGCAUGAGCAAUCGAAUCAGUGCUUUGAACUAUACUUUGAACUAUACAAGUCAAUGCUUUGAACUAUACAAGUCCUGCAGAAAGAUAAAGGACCAAACUGUUAAAGAAACUGAAACUGUUAAAGAAACCCUAAACUAACACGACGCAAUAUUUGUUUUGCGACGUGGAAUCUUUUCAAUUAACGUCGUUAGGUUUAAUAUAACCGACGUGGAUUUGAAUUUUUAAAUUAUGAAUAGAAAUUUUUUUCCCGUGACCUUUCAGUUUAUUUUUCAAUUACAGUGCGUUAUAAAUAGAGUUUUUUUUCCGGAGGAAAUUUAAAAUGAAGGAAACUAAUGUUCUGGAAUAUGUAAAGUUUCUUUUUUGGAUGACAGAUUUCAAUUCUUGUCAUUAAGUAGAUCUACCGACGUAGGAUAAGAAAAUAAAGGAAAAAAUUGUUAACAAAAAUUCUUAUUAAGACGACGGUUUAAAUUAAAGGUACGACGUAUAAAAUGAAUAAAUACGACGUUAAAUUUUAUAGUACGAUUUAAAGAUAACGUCGUAGAACUAUACGAGAAUGACGUCGAUAUAUUUAUAUUUUCCGUCGUUGUACAUUAAUUUAAUACGGCGAUAUUUUGUAUUUUAAAGCCGUGGAUUUGUUUGUAAUUAUACGGCGUCUUAUACGAAAACCUCGUUGUGUUAUUUUAUGAGUAAAAACGGCGGCUUUUAUUGAAAUCGUCGUCUUUACUUUCUACGUCGGUCGAUUCAUAACUUCUGCCGUUCUUUGUUGGCUUUGAUUUUACACUGCGGAAAUCUGUUUCAAAUAGACGUCGGUUGUUUAAUUAGGUACGUCGUUGUUUUUGAACAGCCAUUUGAAUCUCCAUUUUUUAGUUGUCUAAGGUGGUAUUACACGACGGUGUUUUUAGAACCGUCGUCUUUUGAAAAACCACGACGGUUUUCACUUAGACCGUCGUUGUUUUCUAGUCGUCUUUUUCACUUUUUGUAGUAGUUUUUUUGUCAACAUGACUGAGAGUUUUUGUUUUGAUUUGAUUUUUUGCUGUCCUCUCUCCAGUUCACAUUCUCUUAUAUUUAUAGGAAAUCUUUAUGAUGAUGAUUCCUUAAUAUUUGGAGGAUAUUUGUUGAGAAGUGUUUGCUCCAACAAAUAAGGGAGUAGUACUUAUUCUGACAGAAAGAUUCACAUCAAGAGUCAGCUAGGGUGAUUAGUUUUGACUUUUUGUUAACCAACUCCCUUGAAUGCCUCUUGCCCAUUCCUAGCAAACUAGAAUUAAAUGUCUUACUGACAAAUCUUCAUAGGGAUGGAAGGAAACCCAGCCCGUUUUCCUGGAAUUUAAUGGUUAUUGUGAUAUCCCGUUCCUAAAUUAAUAUUCAAUUCCUAAAUUAUUCAAGUAAAAGAUAAUUUCACCCGGAAAGUAUUUGGGGAUUUUAAGUAACAACACUGCAUAGAGCGCGUCGAUACGAGUUCGUAGACAUGUAGUGUGCUCAAAUAAGAGUUUUAAUAAAGAAGUUACGAUCAACGGAAGUGUAGUGGCACAACCGUAAAUAUUGCAAAGUCAUAUUUUUAAAUAACCAACCAACUUAUCUCUCUCUCUCUCUCUCUCUCUCUCUCUCUCUCUCUCGCGCACGCAUGAAACAGUCCUGCCGACCACUCUUUGGCCGGUAGCACUCUUCUCCGCCACAACCGCCACCUCUGUCACUGACGGCAGCUUGAAAACCGCUGGAUUUUCUCUCGAAUUUUUCUUCUUCGUUUUCGACGAUUCUGGCCACCAAAUUUGUUGAUUCAGGCAUGCCUUUUCAUCUAUUCCACAUGAUCUAGCUGAUGGUUGGGUUGGUUAGGAUCGAUUUUGAAGUUUUAAAGCUCAAUUUACUAUUUAAGUUUUGAUCGUUUUUGGCUUGAAUUUCCGGCAAGCUCCGGACACUUUUUGGCUGUGGCCCAAGAACAAAAGUUGCUCCACUAGUUGUCCUGAUCACGUAGGUAUAGAUAUUGUUGGGUGUUUUGAGAAUUUUCUCAAGCCACUCACGCAUUGUUGGCGCUUGUGGCGGCGCGUGGGCCAAGGUUGGUUAGCCUAUUUGGUUCCAAAAUGUUCCCCAUGUGAUCCCGAGCACGAUGUUAUGCUCGGAUUCAAAUUUGGUUAUCGUUUGACGGUCGAACAGAUUUACACAUAUUAUGCGUUAUCCGGGUUCGAUAUGUUCAGACCGUUGGAUCUACUCCAUCUUCAAGUAGUUGAUCUGGGAACCUCUGGGAUUGUGUAGGAAUUUACAGAUCGAAAAUUGAAUUCCCGGAUACUCCAAAUCAAUGAUUCAAAGAUUACGUAAAACGGUGACCGUCCGAUCGUGCGAUCAAGAGCGAUCCGACAUCUCGAUCUGAACCAAACCUGCAAGAUAUAUUUAGUAAACUUUGUUGAACCCGUAGUAACUUUCGGAUGAUAAAUCGGAGGUCGUGGGCCCCACGGUGGACCGAGUUGACCAAUAUAAGAAUUUAAUCAUAUAUUUAAUCUCGGGUUUUAUCAGACCAUUCCAACUGUCAGAACUAUUGAAAAUGGGCCUAGGAACUGUUGAUUAAAUAUUUGUGGUUGAGAUAUUUUAUUACUUAAAUAUUUUAAUUGUUUAAAUAGGUAUUCAGGCUCCACCAAACCCGUAGGAAAGACCCUAGAAGGGUCAGUGAGCUCGGAUGCAUAGUGAGUGGACGUUUGUUUUAUAAAUGAAUUUUAUGCAGUAAAAGUUUUAUUAAUUAAUCAUCAAUGAAUUAUUUAUGGUUUUUGUUUUCCAAUCAUACAGUUCGAAUUCAAAGGCUUUUACAAAAUUUUGUUUAUAAUUAAAUGAGAAUGGCUUGGAAAGUAGAAAAGGAAAUGGUAACAGGAUUUAAGGAUUGAGUGAGAAACAGUAUUAUAAUUUUCAAGGAAAGGUUUUUAAAUCACCAUAGGUACCCAAAAUGUUGCCUUCGAAUAAACUAUUGCCUUUGGAUAUAAUGAUGUCCACAGACAUCAUAGUUGCCUUCGCUUGAGUCAGCGCUCAUUUGACAGUCGCCCCAAGAGUCCUAGGGAAACCCAGACUGAGAGGGGCGAGGAAUGCGACUCAGGUUGACUAAGUGUCUCUUGAGUUCUGCGAGGAAUGCGACUUGGGUAAACUUUGUGUUUCCUAGUUUUGCGAGGAGGUGUCGCUUAUGUGAUCCCGGAAUUGACUGUAUGAUGUGGGAAAUAAAUAGAAAAAUCAUGGAAUUGACGAAUUUACGAAGGUUACACCAAGGUGGAAAGGAAUUAUUAUUUUUCAAUGCUUUCAAAUGGUUUUGAUUGAUUGAUUGAAUGUAUGAACAAUUAUAUGAAUAUAAAUAUGCUUGCUUGAUUUUUGUACGAAUAUAGAACAUGGAUUAAAUGAAUUUUCAAAUGGUUUUAACAGUGGGGUUAGUAUGUUGAUAUUAUAUUUUGCAAAACUUUCUUUUGUCCAUUUACGCUUUAUAUUUUGCGCCCCCAGGCAGUAAUUGAGUACCGGAGCACCACCACCGGGCAUUCAUCACCCACCACUCAUCCACUUCCAUUAUGUAGGAUAUCCUACUGUAACCGUAUUAUUUUGUAAAUUAAAUUAAUUAGUAGGCUCUAAUAUUGCCCUAGGAUAUCUGUAAGGCCUAAGGCCACACAGAUUUGUUGUUGCAUUGUGUGUGCUUUAACAUUGUGCACGCUGAACACUUGUGGAUAUAAGGGGUGCAUUUUGUACGGGUGUAAGUUAUUGGGAAAACAAGCAAUUUACAGGGGACUCUGUCGAUUUUUUGGCAGUAGUCAUACAUUGAAAGAAUUUUUUAGUUUUAGUUUAAAGGGCAAUUUGGUCAAGUGUGUCCGGCAUUUGACAGGUGUUGGAUACGCACAGGGUUAGACGCAAAUUCCAAAGUGGAAUUUGGGUCGGGUCCUGUCAGUUAUGGGGAGUGGUUUCUGCUUCCAAUUUUUCUACUAACUCCCCUGAAUGUCCUCUGUCCGUUUCCUGUAGAUGUCUUGUCAUUGAAAUCACGUGGGUUGCGGAAAGAAACUCAACCCCUCUAGCUCUAGAGUCGCUGAUCUGGCUUUGAAUCGAUAACCAAAGGUGAUGAUCAAACCUCAAGCCUUAAAAAUGUAAACUGGAAACUAGGUAAAAAUUUAAGGGAGCUUCACUAAUAUAUCCAAAAUAGGAGUUGAAAUUAUAAAAAAACCCUACAUGGAAUGCACUUUAGAAACACACCCAAAAUCCAUUUACUAUAUAAGAAAUUGGUGUUGAAGUUCCUAUAAAUUACAGGACUGCCACUGAUGCCCAACAAAAAAAAAAAAAAAACUCAAAAAACACCUAAAACAAGCCCAGCCCAAUUUUAUAAAAACACCCAAACUUUUUCUUUUUUUUUUUUGUUACAAAAAGUCCAAACAUUUUAUUACAACAUAAAAUUGUCUCGAAAACCGUAACUUCAAGCAUGCAUCUUCAUUAAACCAUCUUUGCAAAACGUCUCUUCAUUUCACCAUCUUCAUCAUUUAUGCAAACUGAAACUCCAUAACUACCACCAAACUUGAUCUACUUUCAAAAACCAACACCACACACUAACCUCCACCUACAAAACAAAGACAAAAUUUCAGAGAACAAUUUCAACAAGAAAAGGCUUCAGAGGUAAGACAUUUAAAAACCAAACCUUUAUUGUAAUGUUGACUAAUUGCUAUAAAGUUCCAGUCUAUGGUAAUAACAGUAUUUUAGAUUCGAAUCCAAGACAAAAUCUUCACUAUUGGACUAACUGCAUAUGACUAUAAAAUAGUCAGUUUUCAGCAACUCAAAAAAGAAAGAGAUAUUUAGUCAAAUACAGAUUCUUAACACUUUACUGUCAUGUUGAUUAAUUGUUGUAAAGUUCCAGUAUAAGGUAAUAACACUGCUUGUUUCUUAUGGAAUCCUAUUUCUAAUGCAUGUCGACCACUAUAAAGUUCCAGUCUAAGGUAAUAACACUCUUAGUUUCCUAUGAAAUCCUAUUUUUAAUGCAUAUCUACCACUGUAAAGUUUCAGUCUAGGGUAAUAACAGUAUUUUAGAUUCGAAUCUAGGACAAAAUCUUGAAACUAUAUUGGAUUUUCAUUAUUGAAUUGAUUGCAUAGGACUAUAAAAUGGUCGGCUUUCAGCAACUCAAAAAAGAAAGAAAUAUUUAGUCAUAUACCCAUUGUUAACAUUGCUAGUUUACUUUCAUGUUGAUUAAUGGCUGUAAAGUUCCAGUAUGGGGUAAUAACACUGAUCGUUUCCUCUGAAAUCCUAUUUCGAAUGCAUGUCUACCACCGUAAAGUUCCAGUAUAGGGUAAUAACACUGUUUGUUUCCAAUGAAAUCCUAUUUUGAAUGCAUGUCUACCACUAUAAAGUUCCAAUACAGGGUAAUAAUACUGCUUGUUUCCUAUGAAAUCCAAUUUCUAAUGCAUGUCUACCAUUGUAAAGUUCCAGUAUAGGGUAAUAACACUACUAGAUUCUUCUGAAAUCCUAUUUAUAAUGCAUGUCUACUCCUUGUAAAGUUCCAGUAUAGGGUAAUAACACUGCUAGAUUCAUCUGAAAUUCUAUUUCUAAUGCAUGUCUACCCCUUGUAAAGUUCCAGUAUAGGGUAAUAACACUGCUAGUUUCAUAUAAAAUCCUAUUUCUAAUGCAUGUCUACCACUGUAAAGUUCCAGUAUAAAGUAAUAACACUGCUUGUUUCCUACGAAAUCCUAUUUCUAAUUCAUGUAUGUAAAGUUCCAAUAUAAGGUAAUAACACUGCUACCUAACAACAAAUUAUAGUCGACUCAAAAAUCAAUAGUGCAUAAACAGAAAAAACACGAAUAUACUCAGAUUCAAUUAAAAAAAAUACCUCAAUUAAUAUGAUAACCGAAUCAAAUAUCACAAAUUUGUAACCACAACUCAAACCAAACACAAAAGCAAAUCCACAACCAAACCGAAUCUGAAAUCAAUCCAAAUUAUAAACAAAAAGAAAUUAAAAUCACAAUUUAAAAUUCAAACGAAUAUCUAAAUACAAAUUAGAACGAAAUCAGAAAAUCCAAUAGCUUAUCUCCAAAUCGACAAUAACAAAAAUAAACAUAUAAAAUCAAGAAGAAUGAGAUCUACAUUUCAAAUUUAAACUCCAAAACUGCAAAAAUUAUGAAAACUUAACCAGCAACUUAAUUAAUCGAACAUGAAAUCACCCAAAUCAAACUACAAUAAAAUCAAAUAUGAAUUCAAAUUUUAAAAAAUCAAAUACCUCAAAAUCGAAGAUCGCAGAUCGAAUAAGAUUUUCUACUGAGCCAAGUCACCAAUGCACCAUGAGCCAUUUCAUCCCCUGAAUCCGCCAAGUCAUUGUUCAUUUGCUCAUGUUGCAAAUCCUCCAAAUUUUUCACAGAUCCAGCAUCUAAUGGAUUGCCAAUGCCAGUGCCUCUGACUUUAGCUUUUGUCGUGCCAUUUGGACUAACAUGCUUGAAGGCAGAGCCUUCGUCAACUCCAUCUUCCAAAGCAUUACUGCUUGAUGUUCCCUGAAUUGAGAUGGCUACAAGUUUUGAUCCACGGGCUUGGAAAGGGGUCUCCUAGUUUUCCUAUAUCCAAAAGACGAAUUAAGUAGAAUUAGAAGAAAUAGUUACCUUACACAAUCAGAAUCCUAUGACGUCAUCAUUCUUAUUCUUUUUUAGAGAGAGAGAGAGAUAUAUAUAUAUAUAUAUUUGAGAACAGAGCUUAGGAUUUCAUCGUCAAAACUGAGGUGGAAGAACAAAAACUGAAAAUUGGGGUUGAAGAUGAAGAUGAGAGACUGGAGGUCGUGAGUUCUGAUAUGGUGUUUAUUAGGAAUUCCAAUUUUAUGUUAAAAGGGUAAUAAAGGUAUUUCAUCUUAAUAAUUAAAUUAAAAAAUAUACAGCUGUUGAUUUUUGGGUUUAUUUUGGGUGUGUUUAUAUACAUUAAAUAGUAUAUGGUAUUUUUAUAGUUUUAUGUCUAGAAAUGGGUAUUUAACUAAUUUUCUAAAAAUUUAAACCAAUUAAAUCUGAGUUUUUAGAUUAAAUCACCAUUGGUGGUAAUUAAAAUCUAUCUCGUGAAAAUUAGUUCGGGUAAUUGGUUUCAUUUUAACUCCCCCUUCUUAAAAUGCCUUGGGCUGAUCUCCAAUUUUGGUAAAUAGAGCCGAAGUCUGUUUUGUCAAAAAUAGCCCAAUAGCUAGAUGGGCUGGCACGCAGAAAUUAGGCCCAAAUAAAAUUUGUUCUCAUUAUAAAGAACUACAUUUAGAGCAUAAAUAGAAAACCUUCUCAAUCACUCCAUGAUUCUUAGUAGAGUAUGGUUAUUUAAGUUAGCUUUAUGUUUAAAGUAGUGAUCACUUGUCUUCAUUUUCUUCUAAACUAAAAGAAGUAAUAAAUAUUUGUCUCCCUCUUUGGAAAAAUGUAAAAUUAGAUUUCACUAGUACAUCUUCAAAGUGGUUUAUAGAUAAGUUUUAUCCAGAUAGAGCACGACAUAAUAAUUAUUUCUCAUGAUGAGUUGCUUAGUUCAGCAGAGUCUUUAGAUACAAAUAUUCCAAUCAACACUACUACAAAAAGUGAAAAAGACGACCAGAAAACAACGACGGUCUAAGUGAAAACCGUCGUGGUUUUUAAAAAGACGACGGUUCUAAAAACACCGUCGUGUAAUACAACCUUAGACAACUAAAAAAUGGAGAUUCAAAUGGCUGUUCAAAAACAACGACGUACCUAAUUAAACAACCGACGUCUAUUUGAAACAGAUUUCCGCAAUGUAAAAUCAAAGCCAACAAAGAACGGCAGAAGUUAUGAAUCGACCGACGUAGAAAGUAAAGACGACGAUUUCAAUAAAAACCGCCGUUUUUACUCAUAAAAUAACACGACGAGGUUUUCGUAUAAGACGCCGUAUAAUUACAAACAAAUCCACGGCUUUAAAAUACAAAAUAUCGCCGUAUUAAAUUAAUGUACAACGACGGAAAAUAUAAAUAUAUCGACGUCAUUCUCGUAUAGUUCUACGACGUUAUCUUUAAAUCGUACUAUAAAAUUUAACGUCGUAUUUAUUCAUUUUAUACGUCGUACCUUUAAUUUAAACCGUCGUCUUAAUAAGAAUUUUUGUUAACAAUUUUUUUCUUUGAUUUUCUUAUCCUACGUCGGUAGAUCUACUUAAUGACAAGAAUUGAAAUAACCACGACGGUUUAUAUAGAAAACCGCCGACAUAAUCAAUUUGUCUGAGAUCCCAAGGGUUACGAAAUCUUACCAGAUGGAACUCUGUUCCACAUCAUAAUCUUAACAGAUGACACAGAUUUGCAAUCAGAGAGACAAUUUUUUGGAAGUUGAUGAUGU